rnacentral:lncRNA from 1 species
UCAUAUUACAGCACCGAACAUCGUGAGCUAUAAAUCUCAGACGCAGCCACCAGCUAUUACAAAAGCUUCAGUCCGCCUGUUACAUCAUCCACCAGAUCAGCAGGUCCUGCACAUUUUUAGGUGCUAGAAUGAAUCAAAGGAACUCAAAGGAGGUUGAUGGAUAAAUUUAUGACAAUUUGAGUUCUCAAAAGUGAAAUUUCCACUAGACUCAUGGGGUUCUAAUGAAGAAAACCAAAAGGGUUGCCUGAUAGGAAGCUACUGGAUAGAAACUAAGCUUGCCAAGAAUCACCAUCACCGUCCUUGGAUCUGAAGAACUGGAAAUAAUGAGAUAGAUUAGAAUUUAAAUUGGAUAAGAAGCAUAAAUUUCAGAAACAACAAGGUAUUCGGAAUAGAAGUGAGCUUUUCUGAAGUGGGAAGAAUUAUGCCUUCGAAAGCUUUCAAGGAAGCAGAUUGCAAAUCCAUAUUGUCAAGGCUUCCUCAUUCCUCAAGAAUCAACCAAAUUCUCAAAACUUGUCCUUUCAAAGUUACAAUCACGAAAUCAAAUUCCUCAUUCCUAUCUCGAGGAUGGUUACUAUUGUGAGGAAGAUAUUAUUUGCUUUGCUAAGAUUCAUGACAAAUCAACAAUUUGAUUACUAUAAAAGCAAUCAGCAUUCAUGAAUUCAUACUACCACAAAUUUUCACCAUUAAUAAUACUGCCCGUGCACUUGAUUUGUUAUUCAUGUUGAUUUCUCGAUUCUAGAAACUUCCUAGCGUCUAAAAAUUGAUUACAAAUGCUUCCUAGGCAACUAUUGUGACAAUCUUAUGAUGCUUCUUAAUAUCAAUCCCUAAUACAUUCUACUUUCUUCAUCAAUUCCCGAGACCCUGUUUCCGGCUUCUGCAUCCCAUGCAGCACUAUUCUGCUAUGUCUGACCCAAAACAGCAAAUGCUAACCAUUUCAAAUCCCAUAUAAGAAAUACGCUAUUAGCUUUCUCCCACCCAACUCGUAAAAAUAUGCCAACUAUGGUUCUUAAGAACAGAAUUGAAGAAUGGUUCCACAGUAGUCCUAAGCUUACACGGUUGAAGGCCAUAUCUACACUCCGAAACAGCUUUAGAACUUCUGAUUACAUGUAUGUUAAAAAAGCUGAUCAUCUACUGAGCCCAUGAUUAACCUACGACUAAGGAAAAAUGUUUUUACAACUCACUUGGUGCAAUCUGUGUUCUUCCUGCAUCAAUGGUCAUAUGGUUCGGCAACUGGGGUGAUUUUGCCCUCCCCUGUUGAAGUUGAGAAGCACUAUAUUACAAAAUACAAAUAAGACUGUAGAUAUGACAUGCAGAUAAACACUAUUAACAAAGCGAAAGGCAAAAGCAAAGGGACAGAAUAUUGGCACGGAGAAAAAACGACGACUGUCAGAAAUUGACAAUGAGAAAUUUCAAAUGAAAAUUAACUCAGCGAAUCAAGUGGGAAAACCAAAAUUUGCAGACUUUUAACUCAUGUUACACCAUACACAAAAAAAAAAAAAAAAAAAAAAACUAGGAGUAGAGAGGUGAUGCUUCAUAUGAAAGGAUAGAAAACAACAACUCCAUGUGUAGAAAAUUGUCGAUUAGCCCACAUUGUAAAAUGUGAGAAGGUUAAAGAAAUGUGUCGAGUGAUGGAGCACAAAAGUUGUUUUAUAGGGGCUUGAUGAAAAGUUUCACGACUGAAUAUAAAACAAACCCAGAAAAAGUUUUGAUUUUUAUUAUUAGCUUAUGCAACACCAUAAGAAAGUCCAGACAAUACUGACUUUUCUUAGUUUCAGUCUUCAAAACCACUUUAACCUGCCCGCAAUUCUCCCACCUGUACAUCAAUAAAACUAGGUCAAAGGAAAUAGAUGGAGAACAAAAAGGCAAAACAAAGGGGAAAAGGUUAAAAAAUAAAAUAAAACUAAAAGGGGGAAGAGUUCCAACCCAACUAAAUUCUUAGCAAUGCUAGAAUGUACCCGACGAAGGAGUUUUUUUUAGAAACCCAAAGUUGCAUGACUGGCGAAAGUAGCAGACAUUUGGACUAUGAAUUAGGACCAGUUACACCACUAUGGGAGUGGAUUAAGACGAUAAUAACCCAGGCCUUAAUAUCUUAAUUAUGCCAUGUCAAUCCCUCAUUAGAGGGACCGACUAUUGCAGUUUCAUUUGCAAAAUGCAGGCCAUCAGACAAUCUGAAUUUUCUUAUGUAGAAUAUAAACCUGACCCUAUAAUAAAUAUAAUUACCAGAAGGUAAAGGAACAAGGAACAAGGAUUCUAUUACCUUUUUUACAUGGAUAAAAAAAUUCAUUAGAUGAGACUUGAACAUACAAUCUCUCCCAUAUCCCCAUGGAGAUGGUGGCUCAGCCUCAGCUCCACUGUCUCCUCCACCAUCACCGCCAUCACCAGCAACCCCACCAGAUCAACGGCCCACUGCCCCCAUCUCUACCCACCCAUGACUCCUCCCUGCCCUCCGAUCAUCAUCUUACUCCCUGCUGCUGAUGGUAGAAAACUGUUUAAAAUUUUUUUAACGUUAUUUUGUUAUUGUUAUCUGAAAACAAUUUUUAAAAAUAAAGAAAAAUAGAGAAAUUUUUUUAGAAAACAAGUAAAAAUUGCUUUCAAUGGUUUUAAAAACAAAAUGAAAAAUGUAGAAAAUUUUUAAAAACUCAUAUAAGAAUAAAUAAAAUUGAACAUGAUAUUAUUUUUAAUUCUAAUACCAUAAAUCUUAAAAUAUAAUUUUAUUUUAAAUGCGUAGGUUAGUUUCUUCUUUCCAUAUAUAUAUAUAUAUCAAAUAGUGAAUUACUUAAUACAAGAAAUUUAUGAACAAAAAUUGGUUUAAAUUUAUUAUUUCUUUUGUUAUAUAGAAUCAUUAUUUUUUUAUUUUCUUUUUUAUUAAGCAAAUAAACUCCAAAUUAAAUAAGACUUAAUGUAUUGGAUUCAUUAACGAGUCUAACAAAUUUUUUUAUGGUUUAAAAAACCGAACUGGACCUGCCGGUCAUGGUUUUGGUUCAAUCCGGUCAAUUGAGUUGUCUAAGGGUUGAAUCGGCAUUAGACUGGGUGAACCGACGAUUGGACUAGCCAACUAGUCGGUUCCCUCCAAACCGAACGGUUCAACCCAAUUUUAUUUUUUUUCUCUCCCUCAUCAAAAUAACGUUGUUUUCAUGUUUCUGGCAUCGAAAUGACCUCGUUUUAAUUACUAUAAAAGCUUCCCUUUUCUUCCCCCAAUUGCAAAGCCAAACCUACCCGUCGCCCCUCCCCACAGCCUAAGCUGCCAGCUCCCCAGCCAGUCGCUGCCGGUGCUAGUUCUGCUAGACUCUCUUGCUGCUGCCGACAGAACCUUUUGGUGGCUGUGACAGUGAGUUUUUAGUGUUUACAUUUAAGUUUUUAUUAGUUUAAGUUUUAAUAGUUUAAGUUUUUAUUAGUUUAAGUUUUUAUUAGUUUAAGUAUUUUUUUUUAAUUUAAUAUUUAAUAUUUUUACAUUUUAUGUUUUUAAUAUUUAAUGUUUUAAUUUUUGUUGAUGUAUAAUUUCUGUUGAUUAAAAUUUGUUACCCUCAUUUAUUUAUUGCAUAUUGAAAUAUCAAUUUAUUGAAAUUUUUUUUAUUUAUUUGUUAGAUUUUAUAUAUUUUUUCACAUUAUGUUCAUUUUAUUUAUUUUAAUUUUAUAUUGAUUUUUUAAAUAUUUUAUUUGAGUUUAAAUAAAUUAAUGAAAUCAUUGAAAACAUUAGGAAUUAAAAUAAAAUUUUGGAAACAUUAAGAAUUCAAAUAAUUGUAUGAUUUUCAAAUAAUUUGCUGAUUUUCAAAUAAAAUUCUAUUUUUAAAUUUUUUUACUUUUAAUAAUAUAUAAAAUAUUUUUUUUUUAUGUCACCGAUUUGACUAUCAAUCCAACCAGUAAACCAUGAACCAAUAACAUUUCCUGUUUAAUGAUCGAUUCGGUUUUGAAAAUAUUAAUUUUUUUUAAAAAAAAGAUAACUUAAAACUUAAAUAAUAAUCCAAUCAAUAUUAGAAAUUUAUGGACAAAAAUUUGUUUAAAAUGACUAUUAUUUUUCUUUUAUAUAAAAUCAUCAUUUUUUUUAUAUUUUUUUAACCAAACAAAUAAGCUCUAAAUUAAACAAAACAUAAUAUGUUGGAUUUAAUAACAACUUUAGUAAUUUUUAAAAGUAAUUUGAAACUCAAAUAAUAAACUCACUAAUAGUAGAAAUUUAUGAAUAAAAAUUGAUUCAUAAUGAUUUUGUUAUUUUUUUCAUCCACAUAAUUAUAUUUUUAUAAAUUUUCUUAAAAUCAAAUAAUACUUUGUAUUUAAUUUAUUAAUGGAUUUAACAAUUUUUAAAAAUAUUUUGAAACUAAAAAAAUAAAUCUAAUCAUUAAAAAAAAGAAGAAGAUCAAAACUGAUAUAUUAUAAAUCAUGACUUUACAAUUUCUCCAAUACACACAAAUAUCUGUAUAUAUAUAUAUAUAUAUAUAUAUAUAUAUUAAAUUUAGGUAAUUAAAUCAUAAAUUAAAUAGGACAUAAUCAAUAAUUUAAAAAUUUUAAUGAUUUUUAUUUUUAUUUUUAAGAAUAAUUUUGAAUUCAUAAAAACUGAUCUAACUAAUUACAUAUUAAUUAAAAAAAUUCUAGAAUAUUAUUUAAAUAAAAUAAAUUUUUUGAUUCAUUUACAUGUUAAAAAAGUUAAACUUUAUCAAAGAAAAAACAAGAAAAAAUUGUGGUAGUUGGAGGGUUAGAGGUAGUUUUGAGCACAUAUUUCUUGGUUUAUUUUUUCCAAAAUGUAUGUACUUUAAAGGUCAAAAUUCAAACUUAAAAAAAAAAAAAUAGCAUGACUUCAUAGCUAAUUUGUUUUCUUUUUCUCUUUCCUUUUCAUUUUCUCAUGUUUAUACACAAUUGGUCAAUAUUUAAUUUUCUUUUUGGGAAAAUGGAUGAUUUUAUGAGAAUUUGUGUUAGGAGUUUAUCAGAAAAGUAAUUUUUUUUUUAAAAAUAUUUUACAUCUAGAUUGUUUUUCAAAAUAUUUAUCAAAAUAAUCUUUUAAUUUUAUUUUAUUAUUUUCUUUUAUAAUAAAACCGCAAUUGAUCAAUACGGUUUCAAUCUUAGCGCUAAAAUCACAGUCAUUAGCUAUGGUUUUAUCAUGAAAAAAAAAGAAAGAUGUAAAUGCUAAUAUGACAUGAACUUAAUUACUUUGAUGGAAAAUUUAAAAAUAAAUCAAUAUAUAUAUAUUUAAAAAAAAAAAAAAAAAGCUUAGUAGAAUGAGUAGGAUGUUGGAUACAAAUAGAAGAAAAAGAGUGAAAGAAAAGGUGGGAUUGAAACCGAUGUUUGAUGAUUUUAUAUGGUCUACUUUUGGACUUUCCAACUUUUUGAACCUUUUAUGAUUGAAAAUUGAAAUCGAAACAUCAAAGUGUCCUUUUGAACCUACUUUAUAUCGUACUAUUGUUGGCAACUUAGUACAUCUCACCGUUACACAUUUGAACAUUACUUAUGUUGUUCAUAAUGUUAGUUAAUUUGUUGCUUCUACUACAGUUCAUUGUGUUGUUGUCUUUGUGCUUUGUAGUAUCUUCAAGACAUUAUAUUUCAUAGUCUUUUAUUUUCAUCUACUUUUUUAAGAGUUGCAUGUUCUGAUGUUGAUUGAACUAGUGAUCUCAAAUAUCACAAGUCUACCACUAGAUUUUAUACAUUUUUUUUUAAGGAUUCCCUUAUUUCUUGGAAGAACAAAAACAGAUUAUCAUUUCUCGAUCUUCCAUAGAAGCCGAGUAUCAUAUUAUAGCAUUUACCACCAAUAAUAUAGUUUUGUUAUAUUGGUUACUUGUUUAUAUGAGUGUUUCUCUUUCUUGUCCUACUCCAAUGUAUUGUAACUACAAGAGUAUUAUUCAAAUUGCUCAAACUUGAAAGGUGCACAAUUUUAGCAUAUAAAAAUUUUAAUUUUUAAUAAAUUAAGAUAAAUUAAUAUAAAUGAUUAAAUACAACUUUUUAUGGAAAAUAUAUUUUACUUUAUUUUUAUUUUAUAUAAAUUAAAAAUUAAAAAUUUUAAUAAAGUAAAAUGUUAGAACAACAAUCAAGUUUUUAUCUUAUACAAUUAGAAAUAUUAAAUAAUUUAACCAAAAAGAAACUUAAAACUAUGAUCAAUUUAGAUCCAUGAGCAAAAAACUAAAACUAUUGUCAUCGUCUCUAUUUUGCAUAUAAAAGUUUAAAAUUUUUAAAAAUAUAAAUAAUAAAAUAAUAUAACAAUGUAAUAAAAUUUAUAAAAUAAAUAAAUAUUUUAUUUAGCAAAAUAUAGAAAAUCUUAUGUUGUAAACUUUUAGAUUUGUUUGUUAUGUAUUUAUUUUUAUAUUAAAUUUGUUCUCAUUAAUUAUUUAUUAUAUAUUAUUAUUUUGUCUUAAAAAUAUUCAUAAAUAAUUAAAAUCAAUAAAUAUAGAAAAAUGAAAAAGUGAAAAAAAAAAUCAAAAUUAAAAAGAUUUUAUAAAAUCUACACAUUAAAAAAAAACAAAAAGGUGGAGGUAUUAAUGAAGGAAUAAAAAAAUAAAAAAGGAAAAAUCAUAUCACAUGAUUGAUUAUCACAUGCCAAUGUUUUUUAAAAUAAAAUAAAAAUAAGAGACAACUCUUUGAGUUGUCAUGUGUGAAUGAGAAAAGGAAAACAUUUCGGUAGUUGUUGGCAUUAGUGGAGCUUUAGAUGGUAAUUUUGAGUGCAUAUUUAUAGGAUUAUUUCUUUCCAAACAUAUGUACAUUAAAAGUCAAAAUUUAAACUUCAAGAAAAAAAAAAUUAGGUGGUGCAUGAUUAUCUAAUCCCACCGCAUAAUUUCACAGCUAGUUUCCUUUUUUUUUUUUUUCUCUUUCCUUUUCUGUUUUUUCAUGUUUAUAUACUAUUACAUUAGGAGAAGCUUUGAUGCUAAUAUCAUUAAUCAACAACAUAAAGAUAAAAAAAUCAACACAAACGGUACAUGAGGUUUUAAUGUGGUUCGAUAAUCAUGUAUUCGUCCACGGAUGAGAGAUAAUCAUUCCAAUAUACAAUAUAGAAUAUUACAAAUGAUAGAACUAGAACAUUAUAAAGGAUAAAACCAGAACAUUACAAAUAAUAGAAUCAAAUACAAUUAUUGGGUUUUUGAAACAUCUCAUGUUUCCUUACUCUUUAUAUCCCUACCCUAUCAUGACCCCUCUCGUUUCACCGGGUACCUCUCGUUCUUCCUCGCAUCUCUAUCAACCUUAUAUAGUCUUUAUAGGCUCAUCUCUAUCUCAUAACUUAAAAUAUUUAUAGAGAUAUUUCUUUUUUAAGAAAAUGAUGAUUUUGUGAGAAUUUGUGUUAGGAGUUUAUCAAAAAAAUAAUCUUAUUUUUUUUAAAAAAAAAAGAAUAUUUCACAUCUAAAUUGUUUUUCAAAAUAUUUAUUAAAAUAAUCUUUUAACUUUAUUUCAUUAUUAUUUUUAUAAUAAAACCAUAAUCGGUAAUAUCGAGGAAAUUAAAGGGGAAGUAUUCAUGAGACGGAUGAGUAGGAUGUCGGAUACAAACGGAAGAAAAAGAGAGAAAGAAAGGUGGGAUUGAAAUCGAUGUUAGGAUGAUUUUAUAUGGUCUACUUUUGGGCUUUCCAACUUUAUGAUUGAAUAUUGAAAUCGGAACAUCAAUGUACCAUUGUUUCCUAUUUUUAUUGCAAUGAUGGCCGCCCCUCUGCCCUCAGGCAUGUUUGUUCCAAUAAAACCUCUGUGUUCGUUGGUGUCAGUUAGGUAUAUAAUUACUAAAGCUUUGGCCCACCUGGCAAAUUCAGUUUGGUAUACAUUUGCAAAAAAAGUUUGAUUUUAUUUGCAAAAUUAAAGUUUUUAGGAUUCAAUUUUAUUAAGAAAAAUGAUUUUUAUAUUUUUAUUAAGUAUUGAAAUCAAUUUUUAUUAAAAGAAAUAGUUCUAGUUUAAUUUAUAUUUUCAAAAGAAUGAUUCCAACUAUUUUAGUUUCAUCAUUGAGGAAAAUGAAUUCAGUUUUAUUAUUAAGAAAAAUAGUUUUAGUUUUAUGUUUUAAGAAAAAUAAUUUUUAUUAUUAUUAUUAUUAUAAAAAAAUUCAUCUCAAUACUCCUUGAAAAAUGUUUGAGGUUACAUUAGAAAAAGAGUUCAAUUAAAAAAAAAACAAAAAAAAAUUGAUUUCAAAUUUUAUUUUAUUUACAAGUUUGAAAAAAUAUAUACAAAAGAUCACUAAUAAAAUCAAACUGCUGUGUAACACAAAUAAACAUACAAUAAUAAUAAUGAAUCAAAGGGCCUACAUAAAUCGAUGUGGCCAAUCCAAAGUAAGAAAACUAGCCAAUAGGGAUGGCAAUGGGGCGGGGCGCCCUCCUCCAAACCCCGCCCCGUUUAUUUAAAGCAAUUCCUAUUCCCGUCCCAUUUAAAAAAUUAAACGGGGCGGGGCGGGCGGAUUUCCGCCCCGUUUAACUUUUUAUUUAAUUUUAAUUUUUUUUUAAAAAUUACUUUUAAAUUUUUUAAUUAUAUUAAAAUAAAUAUAUUUUAUAAAUAAUUAAAUUAUUAUAUUUUUUAUAACUUAUUUUAUUAAAAAUAAUUUAUUAUUAUCUAUAUAUUAAAAAUUAAAUUAAAUUAAAUUUAAAUUUUAAAUUAAAUUUAAUUUUAAUUUUAUUUUUAUAUAUAAUCGGGGCGGGGCGGGAUGAGGCAAUACCCGAACCCGCCCCUGGUUAAAAAAAAAAUCCUAAACCCGUCCUAUACCCGUUUAAGAAAAUAAUAUCCCGCCCCAUUAGGGGCAGGGCGGGGCGGGUACCCGAAAUGACCCGCCCUAUUGCCAUCCCUACUAGCCAAGAUGAAGUUUCAUCGGUUUAAGGUUAUUGAUAUCUUAAUUUAUUACAUUAGAGCUAUGUUAUGAUCGAUGCUUUACUUUAUGACUUUUCAAACAUUAUUGUAUUACAGCUAUGUUAUGAUCGAUGCUUUACUUUAUGACUUUUCAAACGUUAUUGUAUAACCAUAAUAAACUUAUAGAGCAAUAACUUUUAAGGGUGACUAAGCAUAUUCUUUAAAAUUGUUUUUCUUUUUUAUUUUUUUAUUUUAUUUAGAAGUUAAAUACAAAUUUUAAAAUGAAGCAAAAUAUUACAAAUCUGGCCUUAAUUUGAUACCACAAAUUUAUGAGGAAAUCCCAUUUGGUAUGUAGCUUAUCUCCUAUUAGAACCAAAAAGUGGAGACAUGCAUGCACCAUUUCCGUUUGGCGUCAGUUUGGCCUCAAAGCUUAUUUUUCAUCAACACUGUUUUAUUGAAAAUCAAUUCCCUCUCGUGGUCUACCCAAUAUUUUAUUUCAUAAUGCUUUGUUGCUGCUGUCGAGAAAAUUUCUACCCAGACGGAACUAAAGGCAUAUAGACCCGAACCCAUGUCGCCACACCAACGCUAUUUAUAUGAAGCUAGCUCAGCCAAGCAUUGCAUAUCAAUCUCAUUAAAGCUCAGUCAUUGUAAUGUUUAUUUAUUUAUUUGUUUGUCUGUUUUCUUGUUGUAUAUUUCAUGGAAGCAGCUUCAUCGGGUUCAUAUGUUCCAUCUUUGCAGGGAAAUCCGUAAUGACAAAACCACCGCAGAAGAGGCAGAAGAAACGGCCAUGGACCCCAGAAGAAGACAAUAAGCUCAAACACUUUAAGACAGAAUACCCUAAUCUACCUUGGGGAGAGAUCAUAGAGCUGGCGAAGCUAGAAAGGGAUGUAAAGAGCUGUUCGGAAAGGUGGAAUAACCAUCUGAAGUCUGAUUUCAACAAAGAGAAAUUCUCCCCACAGGAAGAUGAACGCAUCAUCUAUCUAAGGCGCCAUGAUGUGGGGUAAUGAGAAUCAUCCUCAUAUUUUUCCAUGUAAUAUGAUAGUGUGGUGAUCAGCUUGAGUCUAAGGUAGGAGUUCCUGUGUUGUGUUGCUUGCAGCUGGGCAUCUAUGGUAACAUUUUUUCCUGGGCGAUCUUAUAAUGAUGUGAAGAACCGAGGUUACCAGUUGAAGAAGAGGCAUGCGCCUAUAAGUGACUCUGUCCAGGAUGACCUUGAGGCUUUGAUGGCCGAGUUAGCUUCUUUGAUUCCCAACGUUGAUCCAAAUGCAAUUAGUUCGGAUGAUCAGACUAGUGAUCACUCUAUCCGGGGAGAUGACCUUGAGGCUUCUACGUCCGGUGCAGCUGAUUUGAUUCCCAACCAUGGUCCAAAUGCAACUCGUUCGAUUCCUGGACCUACCAGCUGAAGAAAUCCCCAAGUUAAGGGUAAUGAGAGUCCUAAGUACGUGUCUUUGAAGUUAGGGAUAAUGAGAGUCCAGAGUACAUGUCUUUGAGUGUCAUAUAUUUGCUGCUAAAUUAAGCAUCAUCUUCUCCAUGGUGAUGAAUCCAUGCAGCUUAUAAUAAAGUUGUAUGUAUUAUAUUAUGCUGAGGGUUUGGUAGGUUGAUUUCUGAGUUCUCAUAUGAUAAUACUAAAUCCCACUCAUUCUCCACCGUUUUAUUAUUCUUCCGGCCGUCAGUGAUACAGCUGUCCUUCUGAUUAUUAUAAACAAAAAAGAUAAGUCAAAAUAGCUUUAACUAACUACUUUUAAUCAUUAAUAAUUUUCAAAAGACUCAUGUACCAGAAAUUGAAAGACAACCAUCACUCCCCACUCUCACUACGUAUUAUUGUUCAGUCAUACUUCUAAAUAUUCAAUUCUUUUGAAAUGACCUUUAAUCACGUAAUUCAACCUUGGGGUGUAUAUAUAUACGUUCUAAAUCUUUUUAAUUAGGUUUUAUUUUUCUUGUCUAAAAAUCAAAAGGACUAAUACAGCAUAAUUAAUUAAUAUAAAGUCAAUUGGUUUACGCAUCUAUCAUCCAAUCUCCCACCAUAUCAAUUCUAGGUCAGGCUAUCCUGCACAAGCUUGCACUGAGAGACGAUAAUAUUUAUUCCACCGGGAGAUCGUUUUGAUUGGCAUUUGAACCCACUUCUAUCAUCUUCCUAUCUUGAUUGUCCUGGACAAAUACAAAACGAUUGGCAUUUGAACCCACUUCUAUCUUCUUCCUAUCUUGAUUGUCCUGGCCAAAUAUGUCCUUGAUUCGACUAUUCUUUACAUUAUUAUCUAAAAAACACCUAUUAGGAAAUAAACAAUCUCGCCCACAAUAGUUGGUUUUACUUAUUUUCUUUAAGACAACUGUUUUAAAAAAUAAUGGGAUAAAUAUGAAGAAUAAUUAAAACCCACAAAUUUUACCUUUUUUAAAAAAAAAUAAUGAGAUAAAUAUGAAGAAUAAUUAAAAUAAAAUAUUAUAUAUAAAAUUCAUUUUUUAAAAAUAUUUGAAAACAUAGAAAAUGAUUUGAAAUUAUUCUAAAUUCAUAAAUAAGUUUUUGCUCUCAUAAGCAUAAAUAAGUACUAUAUUUAAAGUUGUUUUCAAAGAUUAUUUUUUGGGAAUAAUUUUCAAAAACCUUCCCAAGAAAACCCUAUUUCUUCCAAACUAUGUUUCGCUAUAUUGAAUCCUCACCCCCAUGGACUUGGUUUGCAUGCAAGAAACCCUACUAAGAUGCUCUCUAGUCUUCCUAUUACCUCAAACCCUCAGUUUUAGUUCCUACUUUUUUCUUCCUAAUUGUCUAAAUUGCUUCUACUUUUCUAAAAAUGUUGAAGGGGAAGAACAAACCUUUUAAGACCCAGAAAUGUUUAGAGUUCAUUUUAUUUUUGGGUUCACAGCAAACCGAUUGAUUUUUCACUUCUUAAUUAUUUUGUCCAAAUAUCAUAUUUUUUAUGUGGAGGGAUAGAAGUCGUAAUUAUUUGCUUAAGCUUUGUGAAUAUAAUGUACGAAUUUUUAUUUCAUCUGUUUUUUUAAUUUGAUUUUGUGGAAAGUUUACCAGAAAAAUAAAUCUAAGAGAAGGUAACCUUCCCCAACUAUAUAUGUCCUUAAGUCAUUUUCGCUACCAUGUUCUAAUCCAAAUUUGGAAGGUUUUAAACAAAUUACACCAAGUUGUAAAUCCAAAUAGGUCUAGUUUGGUUGGACUUCUAAGAAAUAAAAAACGCAUUUUUAGGCUUAAUAAGAGUUUCACACUUUACCUAAUUUUGUUUAAAGAGUUUAUAGCUCAAAAAAAAAAAAAGUUUAAUGUGGGAACCAAGAAAAUAUUGGUUUUUAUGGAAGUUCUAUUUUGACUUAUACAUCUAAGAAGUUCUUUCCUAUGAACUAAAACUUUCAUAAUAUUGAUGAUCUCAAUCUAAAGAGCUUUUAGCUUUUUUAUCCCACUUAGUAGGAGAUCUUUUGAGUUUUUGAUUCCCAAACCCCUUUGCCUUGUUCCUACAUCUAAUGCUAUCGAUAAUUCGUCUACUCUUUCAUACAUUUAUGUAUUACUUUAAUAUACAUUAUUGGUUAAUUUACUAAAAAUUCAAGCUUUUGAUACGAUGAAUCAUUUUAUUUGUUAGGGGUUCAAAUUAUUUUUGUUCUUUAGUUCAUAUAUAUAUAUAUAUGAGAUUAAUAUUUAAUAAGUCAAAACUCUUCCUUAAAUUUAAGAAAAAACAUCCCCACAUAGAUGGAUAGACAUUUAUAUAUAUAUAUAAUCAAAAGGACAAGUUUUCUUUAAACUAAGAGAGAUGAAGAUAAGGAAGGAGUGUGUAAAAAGGUAAGGUCCAACAAACAAUAUGGUCCAAAUAUAAUUCCCAUUUUUAAGCCAUGAUAGAAGUUUAUUUAUUAUUAAUAAACUUUCAUAAUAUCAAAAUUACCCUUUUAAAAGUAUGACUUUGGCUCUCAGUUGAGACCAUUUUUUCUCUUUACUUAAAAUAAAAAUUAAAAAAAUCAUAAUUUUUAAAGGACAAUUUCGGUAUCAUAAAGUAUUAAGAUUCUCUUAACUGUGAAGAAUAAAAUUCUGUUAGUUAGUUAAACAAUUGUUUUUGUAAGAAGAUGGGCUGGAAUUAGCUACAGAUUAGUUUCAGAUUAGUUAUAGCAUUCUUUGUUUCCGGCCUCCUAUAUCUAGAGCUUUUCUGCUCAUAUUUCUAAUGAAAGAAAUAGAACGGUAUAGAACACUCUGUUUCUUCUUUUCUCUUCUUUGCUAUGUUUCUUUUUCUCUUUUCUACUCUGUUUUUUUUUUCAUAAUAUGGUAUCAGAGCAAUUGUUUGCUCGCCAUACUCUGUUUUGUCUUCUUUCAUCACUGAUGACUCGAGGAAUCACAAUCACUCGUGCUACCACCAGUGUCCCUAACUCAUUGUCAUCUAUGGAAGAUUCAACAAGUCUUUAUUUCCUCCACAAUUCAGAUCAUCCUGGUAUUGUUCUCGUUUCCCAUCAUCCCACUAGUGCUAACUAUAAUACUUGGAGCAGAGCCAUGGUUUUGACACUCACUGCCAAGAAUAAGUCAAUUUCAUUGAUGGGAGUAUCCCUCGCCCUGAAUCUGAUGAUCUUUUUUUUUGGUAUGUGGAUUUGCUACAAUAGCAUGGUAAUUUCUUGGAUUCUCAAUUCUGUUCAUUAGGACAUAGCCGAUAGCCUUUUUUACUUUGAUACCGUUGUGGGAAUUUAGAAUGAUCUUCGGGAUAGAUUUCGUCAAAGUAAUGGUUCAAGAAUUUUUCAAGUCAAAAAACUUCUUAUAGAUUUAAAUCAAGGAUCCUUGGAUGUAGAUACUUACUAUACCUGACUGAAAAUUCUUUAGGGUGAGCUUAAGGGUUUCCAACCCCUUCCAGAAUGUGCUUGUGGUACUAUGAAGACUUGGAUGGAAUUUUAGCAACAAGAAUAUGUGAUGCAAUUUCUUAUGGGCCUCAAUGAAUCCUUUGUUCAAACACAUUCUUCGAUCUUAAUGAUGGAGCCUCUUCCUCCAAUUGAUAAAGUUUUCUUACUAGUUGUACAAAAUGAACGACAACGCUCCAUUAAUUAUGCGUUAUACUCCACCUGAUUCAGUAGCUACAAAUGAUUCCAAUUCCACCGUUGCAAUUUCAGUUGCCAAAUUGAAUUUCAAGCCUAAGAAGGAUCGACCCACUUGUUCUCAUUGUGGAAUUUUGGGUCACACUGUUGAUAAGUGUUAUAAACUUUAUGGAUAUCCACCUAGAUAUAAAUUCAAAUCCAAGAAUCCUCAUGCUAAAGCUCAAGCAAAUCAAACUAUUUCUAGCACCAUUGAAGCCUCUGGUACAGCUAAUUCACCACUUGCUUCACUAACUCCAGCUUAAUGUCAACAACUCAUUGCUCUUUUGAGCUCUUAGCUCCAUGAAAAUACUCCUGCCACUCUUGAAUUGCAACAGCUUGGACCAUCAGUCUCCAGUUUCAGCGGUAUAUUUUUCCUUUCUUCAGUUUUGUUUCCUAAUUCCCUUGAUUUCUUGGCUUGGUUGUUGGACACAGGUGCUACUCAUCAUGUCUAUUGCUCCUUUGUUUCAUCAGUCCCAACAUCAAAUUCCUCUGUUACUCUUCCUAAUGGUCACUUGGUGUCAAUUAAUAGAAUAGGAUCUAUACAAUUAUCACCUCAUAUCACCUUGAUUAAUGUUCUUUUUGUGCCUCAAUUUCAAUUUAAUCUUUUGUCCGUCAGUGCUCUUACACAAAGCCAUAAAUAUUCUACUAAUUUUCUCUCUCAUUCUUGUCUUAUUCAGGACCAUUCACAGGCCAAAAUGAUUGGGAUAGGUAGACGACACGGGAACCUCUAUGUCUUGGAUUUUUCCAGUUUAGUGUCUCAAUCAUUUGACAUGUCAACAACUUGUAAUAAUUUUUCUUCAUCCCCAAUUGAACUUUGGCAUUAUCGUUUGGGACACCCAUCAUACGCAAAAAUUCAUACUCUAAAGGAUGAUUUGAAUGUUUCUCAAAUUUCUGAGACUCCAUCUCAUUGUUCAAUAUGUCAUUUGGCGAAGCAACGUCGUUUACCAUUUAUGUCUUCAAACAAUUUAUCAAAUUCUCAUUUUCAAUUGAUUCACAUUGAUGUUUGGGGUCCUUUUCAUACAAUCACCACUGAGGGAUAUCAUAGUUUUUUUACCAUUGUUGAUGAUUGUACAUGAUUUACUUGGGUAUAUUUUCUAUGUGCAAAAUCUGAAGUUUUGUUGUUUUUCCAAAAAAAUUUACUCUUAUUCAAACUCAAUUUGAUGUGAAAAUAAAGUCUAUCAUCUCAGAUAAUGCACCUGAAUUGGCCUUUUCUGAUUUCUUUCGUGCCCAAGGAAUUUUGUCCUUUCAUUCUUGCAUUGAAACUCCACAACAAAACUCUGUUGUGGAACGGAAACAUCGACACAUUUUGAAUAUUGCUUGGGCUUUGUACUUUCAAUCAAACUUGCCUUUGCCUCAUUGGAGUAAUUGCAUUCUCACAACUGUAUAUCUUAUUAAUCACACUCUUUCACCAUUAUUGAUAAAAAAAACCCCAUUUGAGUUGUUGUUUAAAAGGAAACCUUCAUAUUCUCAUCUUAAGGCCUUUGGUUGUUUGUGUUAUGCUUCCACUUUGAACCAUUCUCGUACAAAAUUUUCACCUCGUGCUAUCAAAGUUGUAUUCCUUGGUUAUCCCCCUGGUUAUAAAGCCUAUAAACUACUUGACUUGUCCACUAACACCAUUUUUAUCUCUUGUGAUGUCAUUUUUGAUGAGUCAAUAUUUUCUUUCCAAAAUGAUGACUCACAACCCUAUCAUUCUAAUUUUUUCUCUGAUCUUGUUUUUCCCCUUCCUAUUUCCAUUUCUUCCAAUAAUUCAACAAAUCCUUCCUUUAGUCCAAUUUCAUCCUCUAUUGAUCGUCCCACCCGGUUUAGGAGAACACCUUUUUACCUUUAAGAUUAUCAUUGUUCCUCAACUUCCUUUGCUUCACAAUCUACUUGCCACCCUUUAUCUCAAGUACUUGAUUCCCAUAAAUUAUCCACUCCUCACACAUCUCUUGUCAAUGUCAUUUCUUCAAAUUUUGAGCCUACUACUUAUUCUGAGGUUGCAAUUAUUCCAGAGUGGCAAGUAGCAAUGUUUGAGGAAUUGAGAGCUCUUAAGGAAAAUAGAACUUGGUCAUUGACCACACUACCUCCUGGUAAACACAUUGUUGGAUGCAAGUGGAUCUACCGAAUCAAGUAUCGACCCGAUGGAACCAUUGAACGAUGUAAAGCCCGUUUAGUAGCCAAAGGCUACACUCAACAAGAAGGUGUUGAUUACCUUGACACUUUUUCUCCCGUUGCAAAAUUGGUAACUGUUAAGGUUCUUCUUGCUCUAGUUGUUGUUCAUGGCUGGAGUCUCACUCAACUCAAUGUCAAUAAUGCAUUUUUGCAUGGUGAUCUUCAUGAGGAAGUCUACAUAUCUUUACCACCUAGUCUUCACCAUGAGGGGGACUUCUUACCUAUCAACACUGUUUGCAAACUUCACAAGUCCCUUUAUUGGCUAAAACAACCAUCUCACCAAUGGUUCUCUAAGUUCUCUAAUGUUCUUAUCAACACAAGUUUUAAACAAUCAGCUUCUACCAAUUCUCUAUUUGCUAAGAUGAAUGGUAAUUAUUUCAUUACAUUACUAGUUUAUGUUGAUGACAUUGUCAUAACAAGUAAUAAUCAAGAAAAUGUGGAUGAGUUGAAGAAGUUUCUUAAUGGCUGUUUUAAACUUAAAGAUCUAGGAAAUCUGAAAUAUUUCCUUGGUCUUGAAGCUGGUAGAUCCUUUAAAGGAAUUUCUGUUAGUCAACAGCACUAUGCUUUGCAACUUUUGUCUGACACGGGAUAUCUUGGCUGCAAAACUAGAAAGACUCCUAUGGAUCCAAAUGUUAAACUCUCACAAGAUGAAGGAGAUUUACUUGAUGAUCCUUCUAUGUAUAGAAGAAUGAUUGGUAAAUUACUUUACCUUACAAUAACAAGACCAAAUUUAUCAUUUUCUAUCAAUCGAUUGAGUCAGUUUCUUGCCAAGCCUCGGAUUCCUCAUUUACAAGUAGCAUAUCAUGUUUUAUAGUAUGUUAAAGCUACAAUUGGUCAAGGUCUCUUUUAUUCCUCUUCAUUUGCCAUUGAAUUGAAAGCUUUUGCAGAUUUUGAUUGGGCUACUUGUCUAGAUACCAGGAGAUCAAUUAGUGGAUUUUGUGUUUUCAUUGGUGAUUCCUUAGUCUCUUGGAAGUCAAAGAAACAACACACUGUGUCUAGAUCAACUGCUGAAGUUGAAUACCAUUCCAUGGCAAAUGCCAUUUGUGAAUUAAUGUGGUUGUUUUCCUUAUUCAAAGAUUUUCACAUAAAUCAUCCACAAUUAGCAUUUUUGUUUUGUGAUAAUCAAGUUGCCUUGCACAUAGCAGCAAUUCCUAUUUUGCAUGAAAGAACGAAACAUAUUGAAAUUGAUUGUCACUUAGUGAGGGAGAAAGUCUAAGAUGUCAGAUUAAAAACACUUCAUGUUUCUUCUCAACAUCAAGUAGUAGACCUAUUGACAAAGGCCCUUCAUCUAACACAUUGCACACUUCUACUUGGCAAGAUGGGAACUCACAAUAUUCAUUCUCCAUCUUGAGGGGGAGUAUUAAGAUUCUCUUAACUAUGAAGAAUAAAAUUUUGUUAGUUAAUUAAACAAUUGUUUUUGUAAGAGGAUCAGCUGGAAUUAGUUACAGAUUAGCUACAGAUUAGUUUCUUAUUAGUUAUAGUAUUCUUUGUUUCCAGCCUCCUAUAUCUAGAGCUUUCCUACUCAUAUUUUUGAUGAAGAACACGAAGAUCACAGUGACCGUACCUGAAAAUCUCCUCUCCGAGUAGUAAUCUGUCUAUCUUAUAGUACUCUUCCUUUCCUAAACCCGACUUGAUCUCCCUCAGUUUCUCUGCUUUUCUCUUUGAUUUUUCCCUCUAUUUCUCUCUGCACCUCUACUCUCCCUCAUAGAGAAAAUCAGAAUACUUACCGUCCCUUCUAGUCUCCUGCCAGUCCUCCCUAAAAUCCUGUCCUUGCUUCCUUCCUUUUCUCAUAAGUUAACAAUCGUCCCCUCUCUCAAAAUAAUAAAUAAAUAAAUAAAUAAAUCAGCAACUCCCAUUUUGUGGUUGUGUGCUUCUCCUCCUCUGGCUUUACCCUUUUUUCCUUUGGUUUUCUCCCCUUUUGCUGUGUGAUGUGGAGAUGCUUUUAAAGGAUGCAAUGCGUGCCUUCCUUCUGGUGCCUGAUCUUAGUAUGUAUUCUCCUUGUUAUAUGUGCCCCUAGUUAGAAAAUAAGAAAAUCUCCUAUUUUUUUCCCAUGUGUCUAUCCGUCCAUGGAGAUUGCAUCCCUCCAAAAAUUCCUCUUUGUAUGGACGUUUCCAUAUAUUUUUGAAUGGGCAUCAACUUCCUCUCCUUCCUUGUAACCGUGUCUUUCUUAUAUGCAUGGUGGGGAUAUCUUUAUUCAAAGUUGUCACUUUCCUUUUUCAAAAAUUUUGGUGAUCCUCCUUCCAAACAAAUGGUAGCCCGUUUCCUCAUGCAAAAUAGAAUUAAAUAAAUAUAAGUUAGAAAUCAUGUAAUUGAGAAAUAAAAAAAAAUAAAAAAAAAAUAAAAAAAACAAAUAAAUAAAACAAACCAAAAUACAAAUAUCAUGUAUGCAACUAAAAGAAUCAAGAUAUUCAACUAAUGCAAUAUAUAAUAAUCAAAAUAUCAAACUCAUACAACCAAAGAUUGGAAAACCAUCUCAUGCAAUCAAAAAUCAAAUCAAAACUCACCUAAUCCUAAAAUUAAUCAAUCAAAAACUAAGCCUAGAAAAGUACCUAAGUGAAGAAAAACUAAACUAAACUUAAGGAGCUAUCAAGGUCACUAUGUGGGCUCUAGAUAAGUCCUUGAACCAAAGAGGCUUUGAAGGUAGCUCCGUGAGUGUCAAUGAGCCAUCAAGAAAUUAUUGUGGAAUACUAAAAAAACACUUAAUAGGACAUGUGUUAAGGGGACAAAAUGGAGGGUCUACAAGUUGGAUCCAUGAAAGUAGUGUAUAAGAUUAAACUCUCUUCAAUAAGAUUGUAAAUAAAAAGUUUCAUUAAAAUUCAAUAUUGCUCUUAUACCAAAUGAAAUCCAAAAAAGAGAAUGCAAGAAAAAAAAAAUACAUACAUAUAUAUAUAUAUAUAAAUAGGGUUUCUUAUCAUAGACACUCUUUUAAAAAAUAUAUAUAUACAACACCAUUAGAGUUUAAAUAUGUCUAAUAAAAACUAGCUUACCCUUAUUCCUAAAAAGAAAGAGAAUAAUUCUAAUAUUUAACUAAAUAAAUAAUUAACUCUAACAGAAUCUACCAUUUUCUAAGGAAAGAAAAUCCCAGCCUACCAUACAUAUAGCAAUAAAGGCUUAGUGAUCAUGGACGUUGCCCUUCCUACCCAGCAAACCAAUAAACUCAACUACAACCCUAACUGCAUUUGUAGCUGCCAAAGAAAAGCUUGAAGAUGAUAGUGUUCCUCCCAUCCCAGCUAUGUCUGAUAUGCCCCGAAAUACAACACUCGGCACUCCAUUGGACAUAGAUGCUUGUACAUAAUAUCAACCAUUCCAAAUGUUACAGAGCUAAAACUAAUAAAGAAAACCCUAGGCCUAUUUGGUAACUACUUUUUAAAACAAUUUUUAGAACAAAUAACCAAGAAACAUGUUUAAUAACCAGAAAUAGAAAGCAUGGUGGUUUAAGAGAACAUCUUUUAGGCUUUAUUUGAAAAGUAUUUUAAAAAAUAGUUCUAAAAAACAAAUUUUGAUAACGAUUUAUGAAAAUUAUUAUAUGGUAUUUCAUAUAACAAAAGUCUGUUUGAAAACUUGAAAUGAUUUUUUAUCUAUUUUCUAUAUUUUUAAAUAUCAUUCUUCAUAUUUAUAUAAUUAUUUUUCAAAACAGUCAUAAAAAAAUGAAAACAAGUGAAAAUAAUUAAAAAAUGUUUUAUGAAAAUACCAUAUUUCUAUUUUUAAGAAUAGAAAACCGUUUUUUAUUUUUCUAAUUGUCAAACAUAUUUUCUUGUUUUUUUUGUCUUGGAGAGCAUAUAUUUAUUUUCUAAAACAGUUGUCAAAGAGUGCCAAUUGUUUUUGGUUGUUUUCAUUCUAAUGAUUGCUUUAAAAAAUAAUUAUAUAAACAUAAAGAAUGAUUAAAAAUAAAACACAAUAUAUAUAAUUUAUUUUUAAAAACAUGGAAAAUAGAUUAAGAAUAUUUUAAUUUACAAAUAUACUUUUGUUAAAAAAAAUUAAAAUAUUAUUCUUAAAAACUGUUUUUAAAAAUACUUCCUGAAUAUAACACUUGUUUUACCAUUACUAUAGUCGCAUUCUCUUCAUCCACAAUCGAGAUGUUUAAGGUCUUGAAAAGGAAUUCAUUGUAUCCCGCAUUAUCGACAAAUAUAUGCGCAGAAGAACCUCUCAAUCCUUAUGCAACUUUUGGUUUUUCCGGUAGGCAAUAUGUCUCGUUUAAGCACCACUGCAACUUCACUUCCUGGGACAUGGAAAAUAGUGGUCAUGAAUUCACUUGGAAACAGGCCUGAAUUCACCAUAAAUAGUAGCUCAAAUUAUCAGAGGGAAGUUUGAAGAGUUGAAGAAGAUGGUGAACCUGAAGUUGAGUGGCCAGGUUGAACCAUUUUGGAUCGGUUUCAAGACAGAAGAACUCUUGCAUUGGCCGCCCAGUGGAGUAUAAUUGCACUGGCGUGAACUCCAAUUCUGCCAAAAGGUUUUCUCCCUUGAUUGGUAAGUUGUAGUCCCCAAAUUUCAAUUCGGAUAUUAAUGCUUCUUUCUUUUAUUUGAAGUUCUAUGCGUGACCAAAUUUGCAUCAGUAUUCAUUUGGAAAAAUGUCAACCCUAAACCCAAUCCAAUAUAAAAGAGAUGAAAUCCAAGCAUUGGGAAAGAGAAAUUAAUAUGUCUACAAUUCAAAACCAGUUUUAAUGGUUGAGGCUUUGAGUCAAGUUUCAACUCAUACCUUCCACUUCCAAGAACCUGUUAGAAAAAAGUUAGAACCAGUUCGAAGAGAGGUGAAAUCCAAACAUUGAAAAAAGCAAAUAUGCCUACAGUUUAAAACCAAUUCUAAUGGUUUAUCAUUUUGAUGCAGCUACCAAACCGAAAAGCAUAACCAAUCAAGUUGCACUAUAUAUAUUGUGUCCCUUUGUUUAUAUUUGCUCUUGUUAUUUUGUGUCUUGGUUCAUUGUUUGUACCAUUAUCUAAUGAUAGAUUUUAUCAUACGCUUCGAACAAGAGGCUAAAUUUGAUAGUAAUAGAGUUGGUACCUUACUUUUUUCCUUAUCAGUAAUAAAUAAAUAAAAAAUAAAAUAAAACAUGAACCCUAAAUCGAUUUUAGUACUAACGAGUAAUGAAACGUGUUUUGGAAAAAUGUCCCUCAAUCCAAUAUAUUUUAAACAAAAAUGGGAAUAUGUCUAUAUACGGUUCAAAACUGUUCCUAAUGAUUAAUUAUUUAAAAAAAUCAUAAAUAAAUCUAAAUCCUAAAUCAUAAUCCUAAUCGUUACAAUAUUAAAGAUUUAUGAAAUUCAAACGUUGGAAAAAGGGAUACGCUUGCGGCUCAAAACCAUUAUUAAUGGUUGAUACAAUAGUAGAAAGUGGUGAAAUCCAAAAAUUGUAAAAUAAUAAUAAUAAAAAAAGAAUUUGCCAACAAUUUCUUGGUUAUUUUUGGCUUCUAAGCUAGCCAAAGUUUAGCACUAUAUGAAGUUGACACUUUUACUCAUGUAAGUAUGACUAAAAAAGGUAAAAUUCAACAAAAGUAUAUGGUAAUUUCUGCGAUAAAAAUGAUGACAAAUUAGGUAUUAUCAUCAUACCAAAUUUCAUUUAUUAUAUAGGGAAAGCUUCACAAUAUUGGUGUCAUUGGAGUUUAGGGUUUAGGGCAUAGACUUUAUUAAUGCAAGUUUGGUAUGCAUUACUCGAUUAUGCAUAAAAAAAAUAAAAUAAAAUAAAAAAUAAAACUAAAAAUAAAAACCCUUAGGAGAAUAACAUGAGCAAUCCAUCUUGCUUCAUAAAACUCAAAAAUCUUUCAUCCACCAAAUGAUAUAUUGUGUCUUACUAUGGGUCUAUUUGGGAGUCAUUCUUAAAAAAAAUACUUCUAAUAAAAAAAAUUAGGUGUUUAGUAAAAUUUUAAAGAUCAUUUUUAAAAAUUUAAAGAAUGAAGUGAUUCUUGGAGCAACACUUAAUAUCUUUUGGUAUGGGACUAGAAGGUUUUAUUAUUUAAAUAAGGUUAUUAACUUAUCGAAUAUUCAUUUAUUAAGGUUUUACUCUAAUUGGAAAAUCGAUUCCAAAUAUGAUAAGGUAGUUCUAAAUCUUUCAAAAAUCCGCAACAUAUUUUGAGUAUAGCAAUCAACUUAAUGAGUGAGACUUUUAAUUUUAUUAUUUGCCAUUAGUUAUUUAGCCAUAAGUGAGAUUUUGAAAAAACUAAUAUGGGGUUUGCAAACUCCACAACUUGUUUUCUUAAACAUGAAGUGGAACUUGAUGCAAUUUUCUUGAGAGGAAGAGGACUAUGCAACCUAUUUAAAGAUCUUAGACUCUUAAAUGGUUGGGAAGUUAGUGGUCUUUAGGAUCUUAGGAUGAUCUAAAGGGCCAUGAUAAAGUGUUAAGAACUUAUUGGAAAGUUGAAGAGUAUGAAUAGGACUACAAGGAGAAGGAAUAUUAGCAAGAAGCAAUUUUUUUUGCUUCUUCUUCCAGCUCUACCUUAAUACUCCAAGGGAGUUUUCUGGUACUUAAAUUGUUAGAUGACUCCUUAGAAUGCUCUAAAGAGCUCUAACAUUUCUUAGAAGAUUAGGUUAAUUUGGAGGUCUAAGUUGCCUUUUCAUGAGGGGCUAUAUAUGAUUUCAUGAAUCCUAUGAAAAUUCAUGAGUAAGGAAAUUAUGAAUUGGGUUGUUUUCUUCUUUAAUAUAUUCCAUCUGAAAAUAGAAAAUGUUUAGAAUUUCUUGCCCUCUUUGCAAAACUAAUUUUGUUGUUUUGUAAUCAACAUGAACUAAAAUUUUUUUAUUUAAAAGAUCAUCUUGAAAUUUUGAGAUGUACAAACAAUGCUCAAAUUUUCUUUUUAUGUUAGUGUUAUAACUGAGUUAGGCUUUGUUCCAAGUCCCUGAGGUGAACUGUUCUAAUCUUUUCUUAUCACAAUCCUUUUGCUUAAGAAUCCCACCAUACCUUAUUUAUGAAGCAUCUACCUUAAUAAUCUUAAAGGCUUCAAGAUUAGCUAAGUUAAGGCAUGACAAGGUCCUAACUUUGUCUUAAUGGUGCAAAAUAUGACUUAUGUUCUUGAUAAAUUCUGGAAUAUAAUUGAGGUUUCUUAAGAAAUGUUGUAAUUGCUUUUUAUCGCUAAGAAACUUAUCAGCAAAUUGAAUUGUUUUUUGAAUAGAAGUUAUAGUCCCUUGAUAAAUAUGAUAACUUAAUAAUUUAAUCUUAGGUAGUAUUUGUUUUUUUACUUAAUUCUAAAUAGAACUUUAAUGCUUAAUAGUGUUAAGUAUCAAAGUGUUUGCUUUUUUAAUAUUUUAUUUCUAUUAGACAUAAAAAGUAAAGAAAACCAUCAUGUUCCUUUUUCUAUUUAGAAAAAACCAAAUAUUUUCACUUUUUGUAUUCAACAAAAAGUUUAUAAUAAGUCAUGAAAAAGUAAAAAAAAACAAACAACCUAAAGUCUAAAAACAAAUUGCUUUCGGUAAAAAGUUAAAAAAAAAAAAAAAACAAACGCCCUCUUAGUCUAGAAAAGAUUGAUCUUAAAGGCUAUAAACUUAAAUCAUUUUCCUUGAUAAUUUGGAUGAACUUAUUAAAAUGUUUCUAAUGUUCUUCUAUGGACGAAACAAAUAUUAAAACAUCAUCAAUAUAAACAAUAAGAAUUUCUAUAAAAUAUAUAUAUAUAUAUAUAUAUAUAUAUAUAUAUAUAUAUAUAUAAAAUAUAAAAUAAAAAAAAUAAAAAAAUAAAAGAUUAAAGAUCUCGUUCAUUAUAUUUGAGAAUUCUAAAGAUGCAUUCUUAACUUUGAAGGGCAGGAUAUUCCAUUUAUAAGGUCCAAAAGGUAUGGAGAAAAGCUAUCUUAUAAUAAUCCUUUUGAGUAAUUUUGAUUUGCCAAAAUCUUGAUUUUCAUAUCAAACUUAGAAAACAUCUUAGGUUUAACUAAUCUUUGGAGAAGAUCUUUCUUGUUAGGAAUAGAACAUCUCAUUAAUCCAUCUUAAUAUGUUAUUAUAAGAGGUUUGUAAUUAAUUACAAACCUAAAGUGUUCCUCUUUCCAACUCUACUUUUUUUUUAACAUAAAAUGUUUAACAACUCCAUGGAAAUUUAGAUUUUCUUAUUAAGAAUUUAUUGAAUUUCAUUUUGACAAUAUUUUAGUAAUUCCUUAUUCAUCUAAAUUGGUCUUGCUUUAGUGUGAAUAUCCUUUUCUCUAAAUUUUUUAUAAUAGGGUAAUUCUACCUCAUGCUUACUCCUGUGCCAAAAUGUAUUAGGGAAUUCUAAAUAGACUUCUUUAACCAAAUUUUCUUUAAAUCUUUUUAUGGCUUCUUGAGCCUUCUUGAUAUUCAAUGGAUCCUCAAUUCUCUUAUAAUUGGCUUUUUGGAUUAAAAAGUUAAUAUGGUUAUUCUUAGCUUAAUUCUUUUAGAAAUGACAAUGAAUCUUAAUUGAUUCAAAUUUCUUUUAUAUGAAGGAAUAACAAAUUCAAAAAGAAUCUCCUAGUUUAGGAGUUCUAUUCUUACACCUUGAUAAUGUGAUAUAUAAUGAAUAGUAAAUAGUUCAAUAAUAUAUAUAUAUAUAUAUAUAUAUAGAGAGAGAGAGAGAGAGAGAGAGAGAGAGAGAGAGAGAGAGAGAGAUUCUUAUUUCAAGUAACCUUAUUUUCCACUAGAAAUUAUAUAACCAUGUAACAAAAAUCAUAUAUAAAAAAUUCUUAUAAAAAUUAAAAGGGCAUACACCCAAAAUGCUUCAUAUCAAUUUUGAAGUCAUGUAUUAACACAUUAUACAAUUUAAAAAUGUACAAAAAGAAUUAAGCAAUUAAUUACAUUAAAAUAAAGAGAGAGAAAAAAAGAAGGAAAUAUAUGAUCAUACCAUUUGCUCCACGAACAUCACAUAAAUUACAUCUACACCCUUAAUCUUUCCAAUGUUGAGUCUCCUCCCUAUUCUGGGCCUAAGUUGUGCCAAGCCCAAAUUCUACAAAUAACUCGUCCCUUGUUUGGAACAAAGACAAUCAAAGCUAAAAUGGGGAUUUUUAAGAUGCAAUCUUAGUAUUACUCUACUAUAAAGCGCCCACUUUCAAGUUAGAAGCUCUUUCAUUAAAAUUACUUUAAAACAUAUCCGAAAAUCCUUAUUGAGUUAACACCCAUGUAAGGCACCCAAACUCUCCACAAGUCAUGGGCUAAGUUUGGACUACUCAAAUUAUGGGCCCAAGCCCAUAAACCACAUGUCUCCAAACUUCAACCAUCCAAUUGAAUCAAAACAGGAAGAACCAUGGGAAGAGAGUGAGAGAGAGAUAGAAGUAGAGAAACAUACCAGCAAGUUCAAGAAAAUCAGAGCUAGGAACAGAGAAACCAGAGACUUGAAGAGUAAUUUCUUCAGUGGGAGUAGUCAUCAAAAGCCCAACAAAAGGCCCAUUUCUCUCAUUCACUCUCUCCACAACCCCAUGCAGAUGGUGGCUCAGCUUCAGCUGCAUUGUCUCCUCCACCAUCACCAAUAAUCCCACCAGAUCAACGGCUCACAGCCCCCAUCUCUACCCACCCAUUACUCCUCCCCGCCCUCUGAUCAUCCAACUCCCUGCUGCUGAUGGUGAUCGGACGGUUGUGGAGGGUCCUGGGUGUAGGGACCCCUCCUCCUGAGAACACGUGCCACGCACCUCAUGGUGACACGAAGCACGUAUUACCAUCCGGAUACACGUGACGCGCCUCUCAUAUCCGGACUGCCUCAAGGAAGGUCGAACGACACUUAUAAGCAUAAAACACCCGGACGGCUUCCACAACAAAUACAUUCGGAUGACCAACAUAAGCCAUCCGAAUAUAAUUGUCCGGGUCAUUGACUGAAGUAAGCAAGUCUUACACGUUAUCACAACAGCCUGUCAUGGCCCACGUUCCACCACCUGUAGAGUGAAGAGACAGGAUGAAGUGACAACAAGUCACUUCCCGCGAUCACUUCACACGAUCACCUACCACGAUCUCUGUCAACCGCCCGUAGGGUGAUGAUAGCCCUGCCACCACCUAAUGUCAUCAUAACAACACAAAAUAUCUCCCUACCAUUAAAGAGGGAAUCAAAGCUUCUGAUACUAUAUAUAUCAACCUUCACGCAAAGAGGAAGGUAAGCUUGCGAUACUUAGUAAAAAAGCCAACUGCUUAUCUCUCUCUUACCAUGGCUGACAAAACCAUCGGAGAGUGCGUCCGGACGUCUUUUGCAGGUAAACCGAAAGAAUCAAGAACCUGUAUUGGUUGAGAACCGCGCAUCCAUCCAUUUGGCAACUACGUGGAUCGUCAGGGACGUGAGGCCUCAACACUGGGAAGUGGUAGAGAGUGAAGACUAGAGAGAAAGUUGAAGAGGGCUGUGAUUGGUGGGUGUGGGAUUGGGUGUGCGACAUGGGAUCUUUUAACGAUGUCCAUGUGACCUGUUGGCAGACACGUGCAUUCGCUAUUCCAUCACAUGGCUUUAUAAUUGUCGGCACCACAUAUAUAUUGGAUUAAAUAUAAAUACUUUUAACAUUUUUUUAAUGAAAUAAAUUUUACUCGUGAGAUAGGUAUACAAAAAUUGAAAAUAUAUAUAUUUUUUGCAUUUGUUUGGCAUGUUGGAGAAGUGUUUUAAAAAACUAUUUUGAAAAUUAACUUUUAAAAAUUAUUCUCCUAAAUUUGAAGAGCAUGUUUAAUCAUGUCAAAAGUAGAAAAUUGUUUGAUCAUUAUUUUCUAAAAAUAAUUUUUAAAAUUAAAGUAAAAUAGAGAAUAUUUUUUAGAUAACAAGUAAAAGUUGUUUUUAAUUGUUUUAAAAAUAAAAAUAUAUAUAUAAAAAAAUAUUUAAAACUCAUAAAAAACAAAUAAAAUUGAACAUGAAAUUAUUUCCUUUCUCCUUUCAUGGUUUUAUACUGAUAUCAUAAAUCUAAAAAUAUAAUUUUCCUUUAAAUUACCAGUGCUUUUUAAAAUCUCUUUUAAUUUUUUUAAAAUUUUUCAUUACGCAAAUAAAUUUCACAUUAAAUUGUACUUGAAAAAUAAAAUUUAUUAAUUUUGAAAAAUAAUUUGAAACUAAAAAAUCAUUUGAAAAUCAAAAAUUGAUUUAUAUAUAUUUAUAAAUUUUUUUAUUAGGCAAAUAAAUUUCAAAUUAAGUAACACUUUGUUUUGGUUUCAUUUACGAUUUUAGUAAUUUAAAAAAAAUAAAAAUCAAAUGGUGAACUACCUACUACUAAAAAUUUAUGGACAAAAAAAUGUUUAAAUCUAUUAUUUCUUUUUUACAUACAAUCAUUACUUUUCUAUUUUUUUCAUUAAGCAACCGAACUCCAAAUUAUUCACAAGUCUAAUAAUUUUUUUUUUUAAAAAAAGAAAACUUAAAACUUAAACAAUGAUUCAAUCAAUAUCAUAAAUUUAUGGGCAAAAAUUGAUCUAAAAUGACUAUUAUUUUUCUUUGACAUAGAAUUAUUAUUAUUAUUAUUAUUAUUAUUUUAACCAAACAAAUAAGCUUCAAAUUAAAUAAAAUAAAAACUUAAUAUGUUGGAUUCAUUGACAAGCUUAGUAAUUUUUAAAAAUAAAUUGAAACUCAAAUAAUAAAUUCAUUAAUGAUAUAAGUUUAUGAAUAAAAAAUUGAUUCCUAAUGAUUUUAUUAUUUUUUUUCAUGCACAUAAUUAUAUUUUUUAAAAUUUUCUUCAAAUCAAGUGAUACUUUGUAUUCAAUUUAUUAAUGGAUUUAACAAUUUUUAAAAAUAAUUUGGAACUCAAAAAUAAUUAUAAUCAUUAGAUAAAAAAAAAAAAAGAUCAAAACUAUAUAUUAUAAGUCAUGACUUUAUUGUUUCUCCGAUACACACAAAUAUAUAUUUUGAAUUUAAGUAAAUAGAUUAUAAAUUAAAUAAGACAUAAUUAAUAAUUUAAAUUCUUUAAUGAAUUUUUUAAUUUUUAAGAAUAAUUUUGAAUUCAAAAAAAUUAAUCUAAUUAAUUGCCAAUUAAAUAAAAAAUUCUAGAAUUUUAUGUAAAUGAAAUGAAAAUUUUAACUCAUUUACAUGUUAAAAAUGUUAAACUUUAUUCAUUAUUCAUUUUAAAUAAAAUAUCGUUAAAAAUUAUUAUUAUUUAUUUUUAAUCAAAAAAAUUUUAUCUUUAUGUUUCUAACAUAUACUAAAAUAAUAUAUUUUUUUUAUAAAAAUAUAAUUUAUGAUUUUAUUAUAAUAUUAUUAUUCAUAUUUUACUAAAAAUUAUUUUUUAAUUUAUUUGUAAUUACAAAACUAUUUUCAUCUUUAAUAAGACCUAAAUUAAAUUAAAUUUAUAUUAUAUAAAUUGAAUAUGUAAUGUUUUUAUAAAACUAAAAAAAUAUAUAUAUUUUAAAAAACAACUUAUCCAAAUAAAUUUUUUGUUUUUAUUUUUAAAUAUUAUUUUUAUAAACAACUUGUCAAACACUCUUAUUUUUAUAAAACACUACAAAAUUAUUUUUUGUUCAUUAACUUACAAAUAAUUUUUAAAAACAAGUUAAAAAAAUCAUGACCCAAUGAGACUCAAAUAUUUGAAACCUCUUUUCUAUAUUUUUAAAUAUUUUUUAAAUAUAAGCUUUAUUUAUAAUAUUGUAUUUUUUAAUCAUUCAUCAUAUUUAUAUAAUUAUCUUUUAAAGUAAUUGAAAAUAAUAAAAAAAAAUGCCCUCAAAGGUUGAAUUAUGCUACAUUAGUUAUGAUUAAAAUAAAACCAGUUGACUUUAUCUUAAUUAGCUAUGCUAUAUUAGUUCUUUUAAUUUUCAGACAAGAAAAAUAAAACCUAAUUAAAAAGAUUUAGAACAUAUAUAUAUAUAUAUAUAUAUUUAUAUAUAUAUAUUUAUAUAUACUCCAAGGUUGAAUUAUGUGAUUAUAGGUCAUUUCAAAAGAGUUAAAUAUUUAGAUAUAUGACUGAACAAUACUCAUAAAUCAACCUACAAACCCUCAGCAUAAUACAAAACACACCAUGAGUCUGUGGUAGGACUUCCUGUGUUGUGUUGUAGUUGGGCAUCUAUGGCAAAAUAUCAUCUUCCUGACCGAUCUGCUAAUGUUAUCAAGAACGCUGGAACAACCACUUGAAGAAGAGGCCUGCGACUACGAGUGACCUUUAAGUGACACCUUCUCUACCUUGAGAGACACCUUCUCAUGGAUGAUCACUCCAUCCGAGGAGAUGACCUUGAGGCUUUGAUGGCCGAGUUUGCUUCUUUGAUCCCCUACGUUGAUCCAAAUGCAAUUAGUUCAAUUCUUGAACGCAUGAUCAGCUAAAGAAAUCGCCAAAUUAAGGAUAAAUGAGAGUCCUAAGUACAUAUCUUUGAAAUUAGCGAUAAUGAGAAUCCCAAGUACAUGCCUUACGAAGUCCUAAGGAUAGUGAGAGUGAUCACCAGUCUCAUCAUCCGUGGGAAGGUUCCGCCCAUGGUAGAGAAGGUGUUGCUCAAAGUACCUUGUAAUCGCAAGCCUAUUCUUCAAAUGGUUGGUCCAGCGUUCUUGAUUGCAUUAGUGUUUAGCCGGAAGAUGAUUUUUUGCAAUAAAUGCUCACCUGCAACACAACACAACACAACACAAGAACUCCUACCUCAAAACUCAAAUUGAUCACCACACUAUCAUAUCACAUCACAUCAUAAUGGAAAAAUAUGAUAAUGGAAAAAUAUGAGGAUGAUUCUCGUUAUUUAUUCAUGAUUGCUGGAUUCCCAAUCCACAACAAAAUUUUCAUUUCAUCUUCCAAAGACAAUCCAAAUGAUUCCAAUAUUUCAUACAAAUAUCCCUCUUUAAUUCAUGUAAAUUAUGUCAUCAACAACUAAUUUCUAAAUUUUACUCAAACAUUAUUCCCACUAAAAUCAAUCCAAAUAUUCACAUAUUCACCGACAAAUUAAAAGAAUAAUCGUCCAUAUAAAACCUCAACCAACCAUCACAAUGAUAAGUAGAUCCAGUGUUUAACAACAUCCACAAAUUUUUCUCCGAAAAUUUUUUGGGAAUAAAUCAACCUACCAAAAUCCGAAAAAAAUUUGGGAAUAAAUCAACCUACCAAAAUCCGAAAAUCCAGCCAUUGGAUUCGGAAUCCGACUCCGCAGUGAUGCUCAUCUCGACGAAUUGAACUCCCUCUCAAAAUUUGAUACAGAUCGGAGCAGGUUUGGAGGCUCAAAGUGCGGGCUUUCCGUCAUGGAGAACGGGAACCCACGACCCCCCACUGCAUCUCCAUUUCUCUUGCUCUCUCUUCCUGGCAGUGGCUUCCACGCCACUGUGGUGCCCACUCCCCCAGAUAAUCUCCAUUUCUCUUACUCUCUCUUCCUGGCAGUAGCUUCCACGCCACUUUUGUGCCCACUCCCCCAGAUAUAUCUAUAUAUAUAGGUAUCCUUUUAACUAAAACACAGGUCCUUAUCAUUUCCCUUAAUUUUAUUUUAUUUUUCUUAUUUUAUUUUUAUCUUUAAUUUUAGUAUUCACCAAUGUUUUCAGAAUCGGACAAAAAAAAUUACUAAUUCACAAUUCACUGGUCGAAACCGACAAUCAAACCGCGGUUGAACCGGUGAUGUAAUAAAUAUAUAAUUUAUAUAUUAUAUAAAAUUAAAAAUAAUUAUAAAAAUUAAAAACAUAUAAAAUUACAAAUUUUAAUAAUGUUUGAUUUUUGUAUUUGGUAUAUUAAAUUUAAAUGAUAGAGUUUAAUAUUUUAAAUUUUAUUAAAUAGAAAUAUGUAAUAUUUAAGAAUGAAGAUAUAUUUAAGAUUGAAAAAAUUUAUAAUAUUUAAUUUUAUUUUUUUGUCUUUGUAUUUUAUUAUUUUUAAAUGAUUCUUUUAAUUAAUUUAUAUUAUUUUUAUAAUUAUUAUUAUAAAAAUAAAUAGAAAUAUAAAUAUUUACAUUUCUUUAAAGAUUUUAUAUGAUAAAAAUUUGAAAUAAAAACAUUAAUUUUAAAUUCUUAUUAUAUAUAUUUUUUAACAACAUCAUUUAAUAAAUAUGGUGCAAUGCUCAAUGGUUCAAAGAAUUCAAACUUUAAUUUUUAAGAGAUUGGUCCAACCCUCCAAGAAGUGAUGUUUUACCUCUAAUUAGUCUUAGUCCCAAUCCCACAUUGGAAGCACAUGAAUUUUAUGUGCUCUAUAAAUACCUUCAACAUCCCUUGUAAGCCAAACAUGUCAAUGAAUUGGGUUUGGAGGCAUGACCCAAAUAUAAGUUUAAUAAGUUUUUCUUGUCAUUGGAUUGGGCUAAUGACUUGGACCAAAUGUAGACUUAUAAUCAUUUUUGAUUUUAAAAGUAUUGGAUGUGGAAUGGACUUGAUAGAUAAUGGACCUCUUAAUAAACAAACAUUUGUAGCAAUUAAGAUUUGGUCGGUUUUUAAAAAAAUCGGACGGUUUGUCCAAUUCGACGGUUCAAUCGUCGGUUUGAACGGUUCAAUGUCGGUUUGACCAUGAAACAGCUCAUUGAGAUGGACCGAAUCGAAAAGUUUACCGAUCAACAAUUUGACCGGUCCGAUCCGAUUUUUAAAAUAAUGGUAUUCACAAAUCAAAUUUAAGUAUCCAAAAAACAAAAUAAUAUAACAAUUUAAACCUAUAAUUGUAAAACCUAAUUAGAUUUCAUAUUACACUAAAAAUAUAUUUCCCAUCAGAAUUACAAUUUAAUACUUUAUUUUUCAAAUAUCAAUAUUUUACUCCAUGAAUUACCACCUCUAUUAUUUAAUUCUUCAACUUACAACCAUUAAUUAUAACAUUUCCAUAUAAUAUAAAUUAAAUUGAUUCGUUAUAAUAUUAAAUUUAUUUUCUUUUUAACAAUAUAUUAUAACAUUUCAACAUAAUAUAAAUUUUCACCAAAUUUUUGUCACUAAAAGCUUGUUUGGGAAAGUUUUUAAAAACGGUUUUCUGUUUUUAAAAAUAGAAAACAAUUUUUAAAAAUUCACAACAUUAUUUUAUUAGUGUUUUAUGUUUCUAAUUUUUAAAAAUAAAGUAAAAAAGAGAACAACUUUUAAAGAUCAAAUAAAAGUUGUUUUUACUUAUUUUUAAAAAUAAUAGAAAAACACACACUCUAUUAUUUCUCUUUUAUAUAGAAUUAUUAUUUUUUAAUUUUUACAUUAUGCAAAUUAAUUUCAAAUUAAACAAGACUUAAUGCGCUAGAUUUGUUAAUAAGUCUAUUAAUUUUUAAAAAUAGUUUAAAACUAAAAUAAUAAAUUUUUUAACACCAUAGAUUUAUAAAUAUAAUAAAAUAUCAUUUGUUUUUAACAUAUAAUAAAAUAGUAUAUUUUUUACUAAAAAUAUAAUUUAUGAUUUCAUUAUAAUAUUACUAUUUAUGUUUUACUAAAAACUAUAUAUUUUUUAAAUUUAUUUGAAAUUAAAAAGUUAUUUUUUAUUUUCAAUAAGACUUCAAUUUAAUUUAAUUAAUUAAUAUUAUAUGAAUUGAAUUUAAAAUGUUUUUACAAAAAAAAAAAAAAAAUUAUCCAAACAACUCUUUUUGUUUCUUAUUUUUAAAAGCCUUUUAUAAAAGCAACUUGCCAAAUAUCCUUAUUUUUACAAAACAUUAAAAAAAUUAUUUGGUUCUUUAAAAACAAUUUCUUAAAAAAAAAACAGAAGAAAGAAAUCAUGAUCAAACAAGAAAUUAAAAAAAAUAAUUAAAGUAAUUAUUUGACUUCGAUUAAAAAUGAAUAUUAAAAUUAUUUUUAUCUUAUAGUAAUUUUAUUUCACUACAAUAAAAAAAAAUGUUUCAUAAUUAAAAUUUUAUUUAUUAAAAAAAAUAUUUGGUCUCUAUUUUGAAAAGAACUUUUAAAAACAAAUUUUGAAAAACAUUGUGAAACGGGCCCUAGGACUAUGUUUGAUCCCGGGAAGUAUUGAAAAAAGAAAAAAGAAUGUUAACAAAAAUGAUUUUCUCAAAUUUAGUUUCAUUAUGGAAAAUAUGAAAAUAUCUAUAUAUAUGAUUAAAAUUGAUUAAAUUUGAUAGAAAACAAGCUUACCAAGAAUCGCCAUCACCGUCCUUGAAUAAUGAGAUAGAUUAGAAUUUAAAUUGGAUAAGAAGCAUAAAUUUCAGAAACAACAAGAUAUUCAGGCUAGAAGUGAGCUUUUCUGAAGUGGGAAGCAUUAUGCCUUCAAAGCUUUCAAGGAAGCAGAUUUCAAAUCCAUAUUAUCAAAGCUUCUUCAUUCCUCAAGAAUCAACCAAAUUCUCAAAGCUUGUCCUUUCAAAGUUACAAUCACUAAAUCAAAUUCCUCAUUCCUAUCUCGAGGAAGAUAUCAUUUGCUUUGCUAAGAUUCAUGACAAAUAAACAAUUUGAUUACCAUAAAAGCAAUCAGCAUUCACGAAUUCAUAGCACCACAAAAGUUCACCAUUAAUACUAUCGCUCACGCAAGUGAUUUGUUGUUCAUGCUAAUUCUUGAUUCUAGAAACUUCCAAGUGUCCAAAUAUUGCUUACGAAUGCUUCCUAGGCACGUAUUGUGACAAAUCUUAUGAUGCUUUGUAAUAUCCGUCUCUAAUACAUUCUACUCAUUUCUUCAACAAUUCCAGAGAUCCUGUUUCUGGCUUCUGCAUCCCAUGCAGCACUAUUCUGCUAUCUAUGACCCAAAACAACAAAUGCUGACCAUAACAAAGCCCAUAUUGUUAAAAUUCAACCAAGAUGAAUACCCUAAUUUCAUAUAUACUGGAAUAGUCUUGUUAAAAUCAACCAAGAUGAAUACCCUAAUUUCAUAUAUACUGGAAUAGUUAACAAGGUAAAUACCCUAAUUUCAUACAUACUAGAAUAUUUAACAAGGUGAAUACCCUAAUUUAUAUAUAUACUGGAAUCUCCUGAUUAAAAACAAUGAGUAGAAAAAUAAUAGCGGAAGCAUACCUGAAUCCAUUGAAGAAGAAACCUUAUAGGAAGAAAACCCUUUGAGAUGGUCUUCCAAUUUUAGCCACUAGAUUCUGUGUCAAUUUCUCUCUGAGAGGAUUUUCAGAAAUUGGAAUGCGUAGUCGUAGAAUGGGGACCAUAACCCUAUUUAUAAACCGCUAGGGCAGUUUUAAUUUUAUCACAAUUAUAUUUCUGCCCCUCAUAGAAAUAAUAAUUGUCUAAUGGUAUCUACACAAUAAUCUCAUGACAAUUAUACCCUUAAGCCAAUUAAUCAAUUAUUAAUUAGAUCACUAUAUUUAGGCUUAAUUAAAUGAUAGCACACACAUUUUAAUUAUUUACAUGUGUGGCCCAAAUUAUAGAUUAAUUACAAAAAUUAAUCUAACAAUCUCCCACUAGGCCACAUGCAUAUGUAAUCAAAUAAAUGUGCUUAACCUUAUGAGCUCAAAAUUUGCUAUCAUGUCCUUAGAGUAUAUCCGAACAAUCUCGUCCAUUAACUAUACUGACAUAGGAUCAAAGUGGCCUUUGUUACAUCAAUCGUUACUAGACCAAUCAAUGGUCACAUAUAUCUGCACAGCUAAAUGACAUAGAUCAAUCAUGAGUGCAUAGCAUGGAAAUUACAUGCAAUGUGAUCUAUUCAUGCCUAUUUCCAACUGGUCCUACUUAACUUUAUUGAGAUCAAAUCUUUAGCAUAAUUUAAUAGACUGCAAUGAAAUGAAUACUUUAUUUCUGCAGAACACAAUCCAAAUGUAUAGAUAAAGUCUAAACAUAACAUAGAGCAAUAUACAAUGAAUAAUAUAAACUCCCACUAAAUUUGGAUAUCCUCAAAUGAGACAACACCCAUAUGAGCAGUGUGCUCAUGAAAGACCUUGGGUGGUAAUCCCUUUGUAAGCGGAUCCGCUAUCAUGGAGUUUGUUCCAAUAUGCUCUAUGGAUAUCUGUCCACUCUGUACUUUUUCUUUUACAACUAGGAACUUGAUAUCAAUGUAUUUUGAUUUUGUAGAACUCCUGUUGUUAUUGGAAUAUAAAACUGUUGAUUUAUUGUCACAAAAUAUCUUCAGUGGUCUUUCAAUACCAUCCAGAACACGCAGCCCAGUGACAAAAUUUCGUAGCCAUAUUCCUUGAUUGGAUACCUCAUAACAUGCUACAAACUCUGCUUCCAUGGUGGAUGAAGUUACGAGUGUCUGUUUGGCAGACCUCUAUGAAAUUGCUCCACCAGCCAACAGAUAAAUAUAGCCUGAUGUGGAUCUUCUGCUGUCUUGGCAUCCAGCAAAUUCAGAGUUGGAAUACCCAAUCAACUCUAACUGAUCCAAUCUCCUAUAUGUAAGCAUGUACUCUUUUGUUCUCUGUAAAUAUCUCAUAACCCUCUUGGCUGCUCUCCAAUGAUCCAUUCCAGGGUUACUUAGAUAUCUGCCUAACAUGCCAACAAUGUACGCAAUAUCUGGACGUGUACAUACCUGAGCAUACAUUAGACUCCCUACAGCCGAAGCGUAAGGAAUCUUCUGCAUUUCUUGACUUUCUAAACUAUUUUUAGGGCAUUGAUUAAGACUGAAUUUGUCUCCUUUAGCGAUAGGGGUAUCACCUGGUUUGCUAUUUUGCAUGCCAUACCUUUGGAGGACUUUAUCAAUAUAGGUCCUUUGUGACAAUCCUAAAAUACCCCUAGAACGAUCUUGGUGUAUCUGGAUUCCUAAGACAAAGGAGGCAUCACCAAGAUCUUUCAUCUCAAAAUGUUUUGAUAAAAAUCUCUUGGUGUCGUGCAAUAUGCUAAUAUCAUUUGUGGCUAGUAAUAUGUAAUCGACAUAUAAAACCAGGAAAAUAUACUUACUCCCACUGAAUUUGUGAUACACACAUUCAUCCAUAAGAUUUGCCUCAAAACCAUAUGAGACAAUAAUUUGAUGAAACUUGAAGUACCACUGACGAGAAGCUUGCUUGAGCCCAUAAAUGGAUUUAGUUAAUUUACAAACCAUAUUCUUUGAGUCUUCGGACACAAAAUUUUCUGGUUGUACCAUAUAAAUUGUUUCAUCAAUGUCACCAUUGAGAAACGCUAUUUUAACAUCCAUUUGAUGUAACUCAAGAUCAUAAUGUGCAACUAGUGCCAUGAUUAUCCUGAAAGAGUCCUUCGUAGAAACUGGAGAGAAGGUCUCUUUGAAGUCAAUUCCUUCUUUUUGAGUAAAACCUUUAGCUACAAGACGUGCUUUAUAUCUUUCUACAUUACCAUUUGAAUCCCGCUUGGUUUUAAAUAUCCAUUUACAACCAAUGGGCUUCGUACCAACUAGUAAUGGGACAAGUUCCCAAACUUUAUUGUCUUGCAUAGAUUUGUACUCUUCAUUCAUGGCUUCAAUCCAUUUCUGAGAGUUAGAACUUUUCAUGGCUUGUUGGAAGUUGAUUGGAUCAUCUUCCAUCAUUCCACUUUCUACCUCACGUUCCUGGAGAUAUACGAUAUAAUCGUCCGAAAUUGCAUUUCUCCUCUCUCUAGUGGAUCUCCUUAAUGGCAUAUUUUCUUGAGGUUGUUGAGUUUGUUCUUCAGGAGCAAUGUCCUCAUUUGCAAUUAAGGGUUGAACAAUAUUGUCUGUUGGUUGAGGAUCCAAAUUUACUUCUUGAUCAAUGAUAGGUAGUGAAACCUGUACAUUAUCAAAAGCAAUAGUAGAUCCCUCUUCCUCCUCAAAGACAAUAUUCCUAGCCUGAUUUCUCCCCCCAAACUCAACAUCCUCAAAAAAUGUUGCAGUUCCCGUCUCGAAAUUGACCUAAUAGCAGAUCAUAAAAUUUAAACCCCUUGAUCACUCUGCAUAGCCAAUAAAGUAGCUACUAACUGUUUUAGAGUCCNNNNNNNNNNNNNNNNNNNNNNNNNNGAGUUCAUCGGGUUUGGGCAUUCUCAAGGCCAAGUCUAUAUCCAUGCAGCUAAGAGAAUCAUCAUAUUCUCUUUCCAGUCUUUAAAAUUAGUCCCAUUUAACAUAGGGACAUUAUUGAUGUUGGCAGAUAUAGAAGUAGUUGAUAUAAAAGCUGAAUCCAAAACAAAAUAAAAUGAAUCAAAUAAACCAUCAUGCUCACAUAAAAUAAGCAAUUAAACACAUAAUCUUUAAAUUUAAAAACAAAUUAUGACAUUUCAAGAUACCUAGCACAACAUUAAUAUCAAGUCUUUGGACAGUAAUAUUAACUGUAAGUGGUACUCUUGUUGUAGUGAUCAAACAUUGAUGAUAAGUUAUGUCAAAUAAUAAAUCUAUCUUUGGAUUGAUUUAUUAUUCACAUUAAGUUACCUUUAUAAUCAUCACAUAUUUAUCACCACAAGUAUGUAUGCAAUUUGACCAAAUAUUAACUUUCCUUUGGGCCAGUCAAUACCCGCAUGAAUCACAUACACACAAAUAUCUAACACCCCGAACAGACUAAUCUACACGGAAGAUGUCACUUUGGUGAUUUUCCGCUUUAAUUAGCAUAUUUAAAAUGCUAGAUCAAUAACUUAAAUAUUAAUAUCAUAAAAUGCUAUUAAAUAAUAAUAAUAAUAAUAAUAAUAAUAAUAAUAAUAAUAAAUUUUAUCAACUCAAUAUUUCAUAAAUCUUAAUCCAUUGACAUAUAUUAAAAUAAUAACUCAAAGAAUUAAUCAAGGAGUAGGCUUUGAUACCACUUAUUAAAAUUCAACCAAGAUGAAUACCCUAAUUUCAUAUAUACUGGAAUAGUUAACAAGGUAAAUACCCUAAUUUCAUAUAUACUAGAAUAUUUAACAAGGUGAAUACCCUAAUUUAUAUAUAUACUGGAAUCUCCUGAUUAAAAACAAUGAGUAGAAAAAUAAUAGCGGAAGCAUACCUGAAUCCAUUGAAGAAGAAACCUUAUAGGAAGAAAACCCUUUGAGAUGGUCUUCCAAUUCUAGCCACUAGAUUCUGUGUCAAUUUCUCUCUUGAGAGGAUUUUCAGAAAUUGGAAUGCGUAGUCGUAGAAUGGGGACCAUAACCCUAUUUAUAAACCGCUAGGGCAGUUUUAAUUUUAUCACAAUUAUAUUUCUGCCCCUCAUAGAAAUAAUAAUUGUCUAAUGGUAUCUACACAAUAAUCUCAUGACAAUUAUACCCUUAAGCCAAUUAAUCAAUUAUUAAUUAGAUCACUAUAUUUAGGCUUAAUUAAAUGAUAGCACACACAUUUUAAUUAUUUACAUAUGUGGCCCAAAUUAUAGAUUAAUUACAAAAAUUAAUCUAACACAUAUAUGAAAUACGGCUCUAGCUUUCUUCCAUCCAACUAUGGUUCUCAAGAACAGAAUUCAAGAAUUGUUCUAGAGUAGUUCUAAGUUUACACAGUUGAAGGCCAUGUCUACACUCUGAAACAACUUUAGAACUUCUAACUUCAAGUAUGUUAAAAAAGCCGAUCAUCUACUGAGCCCGUGAUUAACCUACGACUAAGGAAAAAUGUUUUUGCAACUCGCUGGGUGCAGUCUGUGUUCUUCCUGCAUCAAUUAGCAAAUAUUGUAAAAUGUGAUGAGAAGAUUAAAGAAAUUUGUCGAGUGAUACAGGAUAGAAGUUUUAUAGGCUUGAUGACAAGUUUCAUGACUGAAUAUAAAACAAAGUCUGUUUUUUAUUAUUAGCUUAUGCAACACCAUAAGAACAUCCAAACAGUACUGACUUGUAAAACUAGCAUAUCCUCCUCACUCUCAGCUUAACAUGUCCGCAAUUCUCCCACCUGUACAUGAAUAAAACUAGGUUAAAGGAAAUAGGUAGAGAAAAAAAAAAAAAAAGGCAAAAAAGAGGGAAAAAUGUCAAAAAUAAAAAAAAAUAAAAAAAAAAGGGGGAAGAGCUCCAACCCAACUAAAUUCUUAGCAAUUUGCUAGAAUGUACCUGUUUAAAGCUUUUGGUGCCCGACGAAGGAGCUUUUUGUAGAGACCCAAAGUUGGAUGACUGGCAAAAGUAGCAGACAUUUGGGCUAUGAAUUAGAACCAAGUGCAAUUUAACACCAGUUACACCACUGUGGGAGUGGAUUAAGAUGACAAUAACCCAAGCCUUAAUAUUUUAAUUAUGCCAUGUCAAUCCCUCAUUUAGUGGGGACCAACUAUUGUAGUUUCAUUUGCAAAAAACAGGCCAUGGAUAAGAUGAUCUGAAUUUUCUUAUGUAGAAUAUAAACUUGACCCUAUAAUAAAUAUAAUUACCAGUAGGUAAAGGAACUAGGAUUAAUUACCCUCAAGGAACAAGGAUUCUAUUACCCUUUUUACAUGGAUAAAAAAAAAAAAAUCAUUAGAUAGGACUUGAACAUACAAUCUCUCCCAUAUCCUCUUGCACUCAAAUAAACAAAGGGUCAUAAUCCCUAAUUAUCACAUCCUUGUGUAGGAUGCCCAAUAUUUGCAGGUCAUUCCCCAAAAAGCAGCGCAUUGGAGGAUCUGAAUUUGCUCAUCUUGAAUAAACAAUGGCCCAUAAUAGAUAAAGCAACUGGUGGGGAAUGAGUGAAAGAUAUCUGUUAACACUUUUUUCCUAAUGCAUGAGACUUCAUGUGAAACACAAAAAUAUAAGCUUUCUCAAACCCUUUCUCAAAUUCAGUCAGCACUCAGAAGAACCAAGUUACAGCUUUUUGUUUCAAGAAAUUAUUACAUGAUCCAACAUGCGCCCAACAAUUAAGCUACAAACAAUCAUACAAAUAGUUAAUCAGUAAGUCCAGAUUUAGUACACUGCAGCCAUUUUUUUAUUUUGAUGGGCAUGGUGAACAAAAGCAUACGCCACGAAUAUAAAGGAGCCAAAAGGACACACAAAGCAGAUGGAUACACAAAAAUACACUGCAAGCCAUACAUGAGACAUGAAUAGGCCAAUCUGACAUUUGGGUGGGUUUGGGUAAUCAUUUUCAAUAUUUGAAUUGGGCUUGGGUUAGGUUUUCCAACCUGAGCUCAAUUUAGGUUGGAGUCGGGCCAAGGUUUGAGCAACUCAAGUCUAACCUAAACCCAAUUUAAUGUUUUAUAAUAUUUAUAAUGUAUAUUAUUCUAUAUAAUAAUAUUUAUUUUCUUUUUAAAUUUUUAAGAAAAAAAUAUCAAAUUAUAUUAUAUCAUAUACUUCUUCAUUAUUUUAGAAAGAUAUAUAAAUUUAUUUUUAUUUUUUUGUUGUUAACUUAAAAUUUUGUCACAUUUACUAUUUAAAUUUUCAUAUAAAUAUAUAUAAAAAAGUUUUUAAAAAAAAAUUAUAGGCAGGUUUUGAAUUGUGCAACCUGAUCAAUCUAACCACUCGAGUCUAACUCGACCAACUUGAACUCAACUCAAGCUUAGAAAAACAAGGUUAGGUUGAACUUGGAUCAAGUACCUUGAGUUAGAGGGCGGAUUAGAUUGGACAGGGCUCGGGUUGGUUGUUUGUUAAUUUGAGUUGAGCUUGAGUUAGCUAUCAAUCCAAUUAAUCCACCCAAAUUGCAACCUUGGGCAUGAAGUAGGUUCAUUGUGAUUAUUGAUUUUUUUUUCCUGAUAGGCUAGUAUGGACCCUGCAUUUCUCGCAUGCGUUCUCACUUGGUGGAGAGACUCACUUUUUUAUUUGAAAUUUUGAUUUUUGAAAAGUUUUUGGAGUUGCUACUUAUUUUUGUUUUAUUUUUAAAGGGAAAAACCCUAAGUGUGACUUUUGAAAGAAAAAUAGUUAAAUGAAAAACCGAGUUUGGGUCUGAGGGUCAGGUUAUCUAUCAGGAAGAUACGGUAAUAAGUUGUAACACCCCUAUAAGCCACUAAAAAUAGGUCUCUACUAAAUAAGUUAAGACAAAUAUGACAAUUAAUUGAUUAAUCGUGGAUACCAAACAAUGAUAAAAAAAAAAGUAAUAUGAUUAGAGUGCAAUGAAAAGUGACUAAACAAAUGAGAGAAGAUAGGAUGCGUACCUGAACAAUUAAUUAAUAAUGAGCUAUCAUGAAAACAUGAUUAGUAAAGAUGAUUUCUAUUUCACCUAGUUUCUUGUUUUUUGAAGAGUGAGAAAAGUAAAGUUGAGAGUGCCAAAAAAAAAAAAAAAAAGAGUGAGAUAGAGUCGUACAACAACAACUUGAUUUCUAUUUCACCUAGUUUCUUGUUUUUUGAAGCAGUAGUAGAAGAGAAGCAGCAGUAGAAGCGAACGAUGGCCUCUGAAACUUUUGUGCAACUUGCAAUUCCACGUUUUGAUGGUCACUAUGACCAUUGGAGCACGCUAAUGGAGAACUUCUUGAGGUCUAAGGAGUAUUGGCAUAUUGUGGAAGCAGGAGUAGCAAAACCAGUAGUAGGAACAACACUAAAUGACCAGCAGAAAUAAGAGAUUGAAGGGCAGAAAUUGAAGGAUCUCAAGGCAAAGAACUAUCUCUUCUAAGCAAUUGAUCAUCCCAUCUUGGAAACAAUUCUUAGCAAAGAAACUUCCAAGGAUAUUUGGGUUUCCAUGAAGAAAAAAUAUCAAGGCUCUGCUAGAGUGAAGUGUGCAUAGCUUCAAGCCUUGAAAAGAGAUUUUGAGACUCUACAAAUGAAGGAUGGGGAAUCUGUCACCAACUACUAUGCCAGGACUAUGGAGAUAAGCAACAAAAUGCGAUUUCAUGGUGAGAAGAUGGAAGAUGUCACCAUUGUGGAAAAGAUAUUGUGUUCCCUGACACCAAAGUUUGAUUAUGUCGUAUGUUCAAUUGAAGAAUUGAAAGACAUAGAUGCAUUCUCUCUUGAUGAACUGCAGAGCUCCUUGCUAGUCUAUGAACAGAAGAUGAACCAAAGUACAACUAUAGAGGAGAAAGCUUUGAAAGCUUCUACCUCUACUCAUUUCUCAAACUCUAGAGGAAGGGGUAGAGGUAGAGGAAGGGGAGAUGAAGGAAAAAGAGAUGGCAGCAAGCAUUUCAAAGCUAAUGAUGAUCAAUUUCAGGGCAAAGGUAGAGGACGAGAUCAACAUUUUGAAAAAUCCAAAGUAGAGUGCUUUAGAUGUCAUAAAUUUGGUCAUUACCGAUCUGAAUGUUAUGCCAAGCUGCCAAAUGACAAAGAGAAAGUGAAAAAAUUGAUUUUGCAGUAGAAAAGAAUGAAUCAGAGACUUUGUUGAUGGCUUAUCAUGUCAAUGAGGAACUCCAAUCAAACGUUUGGCAUGUGGAUAUAGGUUGUAGCAACCACAUGUGUGGAAGUAAGUCUUUUUUUUUUCUUAUUUAAAUGAAGGCUUUCAUUCUACUAUAAGUUUUGGUGAUUGUUCUACUGUGAAAGUAAUGGGAAAAGGUGAUAUUAAUCUUAGAACCAAGAAUGGUUUUGAAGAAACAAUAUCUAAUGUUUUUAUGUCCCUAACGUGAAAAAUAAUUUAUUAAGUGCUGGUCAAUUGCAAGAAAAGGGCUAUGUGAUAACUAUUCAAAAAGGCGCUUGUGAGAUUUAUGAUCCUUCAAGAGGAGCAAUUUUUGUUGUUCAAAUGAGUUCAAAUAGGUUGUAACCUUUGAAGAUAAGAACAUCUCAACCUUGCUUGAUGGCUGAAGUAAAGGAUCCUUCAUGGCUUUGGCAUUUCGCUAUGGUCACUUGAAUUUUGUUGGAUUAAAGACUCUACAACAAAAGGAUAAGGUGACAAGCCUCCCUCAAAUUACCAUUCCUUCUCAAGUUUGCGAAGAAUGUGUUGUUAGCAAACAACAUCGUUCUCAAUUCCCUCAAGGAAAGUCAUGGAGAGCAAAAAGUGUUUUGGAGCUGAUUCAUUCAGACAUUUGUGGGCCAAUAAAUCCAUCUUCAAAUGGGGGUAAAAGAUAUUUAAUUACUUUCAUUGAUGAUUAUACUCGAAAAACUUGGGUUUAUUUUUUACAAGAGAAAUUGGAAGCUUUUAGUGCAUUUAAAAGCUUCAAGGCGCAUGUGGAGAAUGAAGCAGAAAGAGUCAUUAAAACUCUUCGCAUUGAUCGUGGAGGAGAAUAUUGCUCAAAGGAAUUUGAUGCUUUUUGUGAUGAGUAGGGAAUUCGAAGGGAAUUUACAGCUGCCUACACACCACAACAAAAUGGUGUAUCAGAGAGGAAAAAUAGAACCAUCCUCAACAUGGUGAGAAGCUUGCUGGCAAGAGGAAAAAUUCCAAAAUGUUUCUGGCCUGAGGCAGUAAACUGGAGCAUUCAUGUGUUGAACAGAUGUCCUACUUUUUCUGUUUAAAACAUGACACCCGAGGAGGCUUGGAGUGGGUGCAAACCAGCUGUAGAUCACUUCAAGAUUUUCGGUUGUAUUGCUUAUGCACAUGUCCCAAAUGAGAAAAGGAAAAAGCUUGAUGAUAAAGGGGAAAAGUGUAGUGUAAGUGAAACAUCCAAAGCAUAUAAAUUGUUCAACCCACUCACAAAGAAGAUUGUCACCAGUAGAGAUGUCAUUUUUAUGAGAACACUUGGGAUUGGAAUAGACAACAGCCUACUCCAGUCAUUAUUGAUGAAGAAAAUGAUGAAGAAAGGCAGCAACCCCUACAACCACAAAUUCCAGCAGCUUAUGUCCUUGAAAAUUCACAAAAUGAAGCUCCAACAGCCGCUGAAACUUCACCAACAGCAACAGAAUCCACUGAUUCAGCAAUUGAAUCAUGUCUUCAUCAUGUUCGAAAGAGGCCUGGAUGGAUGAUAGAUUAUGAGGUAACAGGAAUUGAACAAUCUGAGGAUCCCAGUACUCACUUUGCUCUUUUUUCAGAUUGUGAUCCUACAAUUUUUGAAGAUGCUGUCAAAGAAUCAAAAUGGCGAAAUGUGAUGGAUAGUGAAAUUGUUGCUAUUGAAAUGAAUAAUACUUGGGAGCUGACUGAUCUUCCAAAAUGACACAAGACUAUUGGUGUCAAGUGGGUUUACAAGACAAAAUUGAAUGAGAAUGGAGAAAUUGAUAAGUACAAGGCUCGACUUGUUGCAAAGGGGUAUAAACAAGAAUUCGGUGUUGACUACAAAGAAGUGUUUGCUCCAGUAGCAAGACUAGACACUACUCGGUUGGUGUUAGCCACUGCUGCCCAAAAUUCAUGGCCUGUAUAUCAGCUGGAUGUAAAGACAACAUUUUUGCAUGGGGAAUUGGAAGAAGAGGUGUACAUUGAUCAACCACCUGGAUAUGUGAAGCCAGGUCACGAAAACCAGCUAUACAAGUUUAAAAAAGGCAUUAUAUGGACUAAAACAAGCACCUAGAGCUUGGUAUAGUCGUAUAGAUGCUUACUUUGUUAAGGAAGGUUUUCUUAAAUGUCCUUAUGAGCCUACACUUUAUACUAAAUUUGGAGCCGAUGGGAAGAUGCUUAUAGUUUAUUUAUAUAUUGAUGAUCUUAUUUAUGUUAGUAAUGAUGGAGUCAUGCUUGAUGAUUUUAAGAAAUCUAUGAUGAAUGAAUUUGAUAUGAUAGAUUUGGGGUUGCUGCGCUAUUUUCUUGGCAUUGAAGUAGUGCAAUCUCCUACUAGUAUCUUUAUUUCACAAAAGAAAUAUGUCUUUGAAAUUUUAGACAGGUUCCAGAUGAAGGAUUGCAAUCCAGUUUUGACUCCAACUGAACUUGGUCUGAAACUCACAAAACAUGGAGCAGGAAAAAUGGUGAAUGCUACUUUAUACAAGCAGAUUGUUGGGAGUCUCAUGUAUUUGACAUCCACAAGACCAGACAUCAUGUAUGCCAUGAGUCUAAUCAGUAGAUACAUGGAGAAUCCAUCUGAAGUUCAUCUCUUAGCUGCAAAGAGAAUUUUUCGUUACUUGAAAGGUACAACAGAUUUUGGAAUCAUGUAUAAAACUACUGGAAAAUCAAGGCUGAUUGGUUUUUUAGAUAGUGAUUAUGCUGGAGACCUUGAUGAUAGGAAGAGUACAUCUGGUUCUGUGUUUAUAAUAAGCUCUAGAGCUGUAAGUUGGUCAUUAAAUAAGCAACAAAUAGUGGCACUAUCAACUACUGAAGUUAAGUUUGUUGCAGCAGCAUCAAGCUCAUGUCAAGCUAUUUGGUUACAAAGGUUACUUGGAGUUCUACACAAUCAGCAACAAGGUUCAAUUUUAAUCUACUAUGAUAAUGUUUUUGCAAUUGAGUUGUCAAGGAAUCCUGUUCUACAUGGAAGGAGCAAGAAUAUUGAUGUGAGAUUCCAUUUAAUUUCUACGUGAUUUAUGCAAGAAUGGUGUUAUUGAGUCGGUGUUUUGUAAGAGUGAGGAUCAAACUGCAGAUUUGUUAACCAAGCCCCUCAAGCCUCCUGUCUUUAUGAAGCUUAGAAGAAUGAUUGGAGUAUGCUCUUCAAAGGAUAUUGUUUUAGAAGAAGCUUAGUAUUGUUGUUGAAUAGUUGAAGUCAUUUGUUCUAAACUGAUUUAUGCAUAUAUCAGUUUAAGGGAGGGUGUUAGAGAUUUAUUUUUAAUUUUAUUUAUUUGGAAGCUCCAUUAUUUGUUUUUUUUUUUAAGUUUUUUGCUUGACGGAGUCCUUAGUCAUUUGUUUAGUGGUUACAAGAAAGUAGUUUUUUCUUUGCCUAGUUUAUAGGAGUUAAGGUUAAUGUCUUAGUGUGAUAGACUUAGUUGUUUUCUGUUCUACAUAUACUUCCUAUUUAUAGGCCAUUAUUUUAUCAAAUGAAUAAUAGAGAGAGCCUUACAAAUUGCAUACGUUUCUUUUCUUUUUUACUUUGUAUCAAUUAUCACAUCCUUGUGUAAGAUGCCCAAUAUUUGUAGGUCAUUCCCCAAAAAGCAGCGCAUUGGAGGAUUUGAAUUUGCCCAUCUUGAAUAAAUAAUGGCCCAUAAUAGAUAAAACAACUGGCGGUGAAUGAGUGAAGAUAUCUAUUAAUACUUUUUUCCUAAUGCAUGAGACUUCAUGUGAAACACAAAAAUAUAAGCUCUAACAAUUAAGCUACAAACAAUCAUACAAAUAGUUAAUCAAUAAGUCAUUUUAUUUUGAUCGACAUGGCGAACAAAAGCAUACACCGCAUAUAUAAAGGAGCCAAAAAGACACACAAAGUAGAUUAAUACACAAAAAUACACUGUAGGCCAUACAUGAGACAUGAAUAGGGCCAACUCGACAUUUGGGCGGGUUUGGAUAAUCAUUUUCAAUACUUGGAUUAGGCUUGGGUUAGGUUUUCCAACCUGAGCUCAAUUUAGGUUGGAGUCGCGCCAAGGUUUGAGCAAUUCAAGCAUAACCUAAACCUGAUUUAAUGUUUUAUAAUAUAAUAUAUAUAUUAUAAAACAUUAAAUCAGGUUUAGGUUAAUAUUCAUUUUCUUUUUAAAUUUUUAAGAAAAAAAUAUCAAACUAUAUUAUAUCAUAUACUUUUUCAUUAUUUUAGAAAGAUAUAUAAAUUUAUUUUUACUUUUUUGUUGUUUUCUUAAAAUUUUGUCUCAUUUACUAUUUAAAUUUUCAUAUAAAUAUAUAUAUAAAAAAGUCUUUUAAAAAAUUAUAGGUAGGUUUUGAAUUAUGCAACCUGAUAAACCUAAUCAACCCGAGUCUAACUCGACCAACCCAAACUCAACUCAAGCUUAGAAGAAUGAGGUUAGGUUGAACUUGGAUCAAGUACCUCGAGUUAGAGGGCGAGUUAUGUUGGGUAAGGCUUGGGUUGGUUGUUUGUUAAUUUGAGUUGAGCUCGAGUUAGCUAUCAAUCCGCUCAAAUUGCAGUCUUGGGCAUGAAGUAGGUUCCCUGUGAUUAUUGAACUUUUUUUUUUUUUUGAUAUACUAGUGUGGACCCCAUAUUUCUCGCAUGCAUUCUUACUUGAUAGAGAGACUCACUUUUUUAUUUGAAAAUUUGAUUUUUGAAAAGUUUUUGGAGUUGUCACUUAUUUUUGUUUUAUUUAUAAAAGAAAAAAAACAAAAUAAGAAAGAAAAACCUUAAGUGUCACUCUUGAAGGAAAAACAGGUCUAUGAAAAAUCGAGUAUGGGUCUGAGGUUUAAAAUGAACUUCAACUGCCGUCCACGAACACAGACACCAGAAAAUCCCCAGGGAGCAAAAUAGAGCAGUUUGAAGCCAGCACAGUAAAUGAUAGAUAGAGAUGAGGUUUAAAAUACUAGAUGCAGAGGAAUGAAAUGUCCCAAAACAAAGUAUGGUCCAGAAUGACAGACAAAAGAUUCAUUAAAUGGAAACCCCAUUUCAUGUUGAAAUGCAAUGUAAUGAAAAAGAUGAAUAGGAAAUCCACAGUGCUCGCACCUGGGAGUGCUCCUCAAUGCAUCAGGUAUUUUACAAGAGAAAUCAAAGAUACCAAAAUAAAGCCAAAACUGAGCAUGCAUGUAAAGAGUUAAAUCCAACAAAGGAAACGAGUGGCCCUUGAUGUCCACACCAAUCAACAAAUCAAUGCUCAGAAAAGCAGUUGAAAAUGAGAGUAAAACAGUGUGAAAAUGAGAGACAAGAAGCUCACAGUAGUCAUACGUGGAAAGCUUCCCUCAAGCAAAGAGUUGCUUGGCUUCAAGCUCUACUUUCCUUCCCACGAAUCAGCAAGAUCUCCCUCAGAUUCUUUCCGCUGCUGUAACUCCCUCUCACUCAGUAUUUCUCUGCUCAAACGUAUCUCACCCAGCUUCCUCUAAAUCUCCUGCUCACUCUCUCACAGCCUGCUCACUCCCCACCUCUUUGUUUCACAGCUUUUUCUCAGCUCUCUCUGUCUAUGCUCAGCUCACCAUGGUUUCUUCUCCAGAAUCCUUACCCAGCUUACCCAGCUCAUCAUUAACAAAAAUGAAUGCAGUUUUGUUAAUAAGAAAAAUUAUUUUUAGUUUUAUUAUUAAACAAAUUAUCUCAAUAUUCUUUAAAAAAAUGUUUCAGUUUAGUUAAGAAAAAAAUGAUUUCAAGUUUUAUUUUAUUUUCAAGUUUGAUGAUUGAAAAAAUAUACAAAAAAGAUUACUAAUAAAAUCAAAUUGGUAUGUAAUACAAAUAAACGUACAAUAAUAAUAAUGACAAUAAAAAAAUCAAAGGCAAAGAACUGAACCCUACGACAAACCGAAGGGUGCACUCACAGCCUCCAAACACAACUCAUUCUAACUGAAGGCGGGCAUUUAUAAAACUAUGAGACUGCGGAACACACAUGGGGGUUAAGAAAAAAAAUGAUUUCACAUUUUAUUUUAUUUUCAAGUUUGAUGAUUCAAAAAAUAUAUAAAAAGGAUUACUAAUAAACAUACAAUAAUAAUAAUAACAAUAAAAAAAUCAAAGGCAAAGAACUGAACCCUACAAACACAAACCGAAGGAUGCACUCGCCUCCAAAGACAACUCAUUCUAGAUAAUUCAAACUGCACUGAAGGCGGGCACCCUGCAAACACAAAUGGAAGGAUGACGCACCGCAUCUAAAGGCAACUCAUUUAUGAAGCUAUGAAGAUCGACUGCUGAACAAUCACAGGGCUUAGGGUUUGCUUCUUCAAGCUGUCAUUGUAAUAUUUAUUUGUUUAUUUGUUUUUUUGUUUCCUGGUUGUAUAUUUCAUGGAAGUAGCUUUAUUUCAUUUCUUCCAUCUUUGCAGGGAAACCCGUAAUGGCAAGACCACGGCCGAAGAGAAGGGUAUGGACCCAAGAAGAAGACAAAAAACUCAAACACUUGAAGACAGAAUACCCCAAUCUAUCUUGGAGAAAGAUCGUACAGCUAGGGAAGCUGGACAGGGAUGAAAAAAGUUGUUCACAUAGGUGGAGGAACUACCUGCACCCUGAUAUCAACAAAGGGGAAUUCUCCCAAGAGGAAGAUGAGCUCAUCAUCUUUCUAAAGGGCGCUGAUGUGAGGUAAUUAAUAAUGAUAUGAUAUGAUAUUUGUGUGGUGAUCAGCUUGAAUCUGAGGUAGGAGUUCCUGUGGUAAUUUGCAGAUGGGCAUCUAUGCCGAAAUAUGUUCCUAGGCGAUCUGCUAACGCUAUCAAGAACCGCUGGAACAAUCACUUGAAGAAGAAGAAUGCAACUAUAGAUGACCUUGCUUAUUUGAUUCCCAACCUUGAUCCAAAUGCAAUUCGUUUGAUUGCUGGACCCAACAGCUGAAGAAAUCGCCAAGUUAAGGGUAAUGAGAGUCCUAAGUACAUGUCUUUGAAGCUAGGGAUAACAAGAGUCCAAACUACAAGCCUUUAAGUGUCAUAUAUAUGUAUGCAGCUAAAUUAACCAUCAUCUUCUCCACAGUGAUGAAUCCACGUCUCAUUGUAGUAUUAUAGGAUGCUAGAGUGCAAUUUAUUCUUUAUAAUGGGAUGUUGAGUAAAUUUUAGAAUUUCUUAUGGGUUCCAAUGAUCCUUGAUCAAACUCAUAUUCCUUUGUGACACAUUAUUUGAGGGAUAUUUGGGAUAUAAGAACAUUUUAGUGAAUAUGCAAUGUUGCAUAAGAGCUUAUGAAUUAUUUUUGGAUUAGGCUAAUUAAUUGAUUGGAGUUCAAUUGAGCUAUUAAUUAAUUUUGGUUUAAUGGGUUAAAUUAAGUAACUCAAGUCUAAGAUGAAAUUAAGUCACUUAAGCUCACAUGUAAGUCUAUAUAAACACCCUUAGAGGUUUAGUCUUCGACAUUUAGUCAUUUUAUUUUCGAAAAAAAUAAAACAACUCUUGUCUUCAUUCCCACAAAGACAAUUCCAUCAUUCUCAAGUGCUAAGAUCUAGGAGAGAACCAUCAGAUAGAAGAUUGCAAGGUUUUGGAUAUCUGUAUCAUCCUCUUCAUUGACUAUAACUGAUUUGGGAAGAUCUAUAUCAUAAAUAAUGUUUUUUAAGCACCUAGAUCAAGAGUCUUAUUGUUUUUAAUGCUUUCAUUAUCUAGAUUUUGUAUACCUACCGCCUUGAAUGCUCAAUAAUUAAAGCAUGGUUAUUUAUUGUUAUAGGAAUCAUAUCUUACAACUUAAUCACUCUCAUUCUUACUUCAAACAAUCAACUAGAUCUAAUUAUAUGGACUAAAAAAGGAAUUUGGAUAUAGUACUUAUUAGAAUAGAGCCCUUGAAAGUAAGACAUUAUGUAAUAAUAAAUAGAUUUUGUUAUUAUUUAUAGUAUGAUUUUAGUUUUUUUUCAUUAUCCUACUUCUAUAUUAUUUGUGUUGAACAUUUAAGCUCACAUCACUUGUAUAUACAUGACUUAGGUGCAUCAGGAGUUGCACGAAAAAUCUAAGUUAUGGGUUCCUUAUAAGUAUAUAAGUAGUUCACAACUGGUUCAUGUACUUAGGAAAUUAAUUUAAAGUAGUAGUGUAAGACCUCCUAAUAAGAAGGAUAAUUUGUCUUGAUCAUUAAGAUGGAGUUCCCAUGAUAUGCACUAGUAUGAAUGGUUAUACAUUUGACAAGACGUACAGUGAGUCAUGACAUUAACUAUUAAGAAGUCAUGAUUUUACCAAUCAACUUUGUUACAUAAGCUUUCAACUUUGAGAGAAUAUUGAGCUAGUGUUGAGGUCUACAUUGACUUUGACCUAUGGGUGAAACCCUAAAGUGGUCAUACAUUCCCUAUGGACCGGGUUAUCAUUAAUUAAGGCAAGUAAGAACAAGUAUUCUCAAGAUAAACACCAUGAUAUCUCAUAGGUUUGAGAUAGUAUAUUCUCUUGCUAUUAGGAUAGAACUCUUCAAAGCAUGAUGCAAUAAACUUUUGGAUUUUAUUAUUUAUUAAUAAAUUUUCAAUUCACUUUUAUUUAUCUUCAUUCCAUGCAUUAUACCUUGUCAACAUUUUAGCUUGCAUUUCUUGUAUUGUAUAUGACUUGGGUGCAUUAGGAGUUGUAUGAAAUAUCCAAGUCACGAGUUCCUUAUAAAUAGAUGACUUAUUCACAACCAAUUUGUAGGCUUAGGUAACUCAUUAGAGGUUGUAGUAUACUGCCUCCUAAUUAGAGGGAUGGUUAGUCUUGGCUAUCAAGAUGGGUUUCUCAUGGUUAGUGUACUAGUGUAUAUGGUUACACAUUUAAUAGGACUCAUGGUGAGUCAUGACAUAAAGUUAUCAACUAUGAGAUAAUAUCCAACUUGUGUUAAAUUUAGCAGUGGCUUUGACUCAUAAGUGAUCGUAAGUUGAUCAUAUAUUUCCUAUAGAUUGGGUCACUAUUGAUAGAAGUUAGUAGUAAUAGGUAUUCUCAAUAGAGGCACCAUGAUAUCUCAUGGGAUUAAGGUGAUCCUAAGAAGUUGUGUUCAUGUAAAAUAUGGUCAUAGUAGUUUUUUAAAUGAAACUUCACAUAAGCUCUUAGAGAGUUAAAAUGUGUCAGUUGAAGACAUAAUAGAAGAAUUUAUAACUCAAGAAUAGUAGAGGUAGUCUUAAAAGACUGAUAAUUUUCACCUUAUUAGACUAUAUACAUCUCACAGGGAGAUUGUUGGAAUUGAGCCCUAGAAAGUAUGACAUGAUGUAAGUGAUUGAGAAACAUUUAUAAAUUUAUUUAUUCUUGUUUCUUGGUUUCCCUUUGUCUCAUUUGUAUUAAUUGGUCAUUUGAACAUAUACAUCAAUAUCUCUUACAUUGUACAUGAUUUGGGUGUAUUAGGAAUUGCACAAAGGAUACAAGUCAUAGGUUCUUUGUAAGUUGAUAAGUUGUCCACAGUCAAUUCAUGGAUUUAGGCAAUACAAUAGAGAUUAUAGCAUACUUCUGUGGACUUGCAUUUUUCAUGUGCAUUCCCACUUAAUGGCAAAACUCACUUUUAAAGGUGAAAAACUGUUUUAUGGAAAAUUGGAGUAGCCACUUAUUUUUAUUAUUUUUUUAUAGAGAAAACAAAAUAAGAAACUAAAACCUUAAGAAAACUGACUCAUUAAACUUUUAGAAAAAUAUGUCUUUGAAAAACCCAAAUCUGAGUCCAAUGAUCAGGUUACCUACCGAAAAUGUACGAUGAUAAGCCAUAGCACCUCUCUAAACCCUAAAUCAAGUCUCUACUAAUCAAGUUAAGGUAGAUAUGACAAUUAAUCAGGAAAUCUAUGGAUACCAAGCAAUAAGCAUAGGUGAUCAAGCUUAAGAGCAAACAACAUGCUAUUUGUUUCCAAACAAAUAUAUCAAAGCAAUCAAUCAUACUAGAAAGAAAGAUAGGCGUAGCUGAGCUGCAACGUAAAGCGCUUUUAUGAAAACAUCAUAGUUAGUUUAACAAAUAUAACAUACAACAUGCAUUUUAUUCUAUUCAAGGGAUGAAGCACUAGUCAAAGCAAUUUGAAACACAAUCAUAGAACUAAAGGGAUUAAAGGGGAGAGGCAUACUUGGAUAGGAAGCAUAAUUAAACACUUCUUGGAAACAAAGGUAAGUAUAUACAAUAUAUAACAAGUAUAGGAUAAUCACAUGCAUAUCAUAGAGCAAGCAAAAAUAAAUUAUUCAAUCAGCAUAUCGGAGUUAAUAUUCAAAAGAGAAUGACACAUAUGUUGGGCCCUACUAGUGCCUAGUUUAUUUUUUAUAUGAACUGAUUCUAUAAUCUUCAUUUUCUUAGUGAUCAUAGAGAAGGAUCACAGGAAUUUGGAUGAAUUUCAUGAUUUUUGGAAACAUAGAAUUUAGUCAUUCUUUUAAAAAAAAAUGACAAAAAUCAAGACAUUUAUUAAAAUCAGAGAAAAUAACCAAAAUGCAUGCUAGAGUGAAAUGCGGCAGUAUGUUUGUUAAAAUUAGACUUUAGUGUCCCAAAAUUUUUAAGGAAGAAUAAAAAGUGAAAGGAUUAAAAUUAUUUGAAAAAUCGGUUUUGAAAACAAAUUUACAUGCAUGCAUGGAGCAUUAAGGGAUGCAUCACAAGGGUAUUAAAAUAAAGAACAGGAGGGUGACCAUGCGUGCCAAAUUUACAUGCACGUGGGAAGGUGGUGCACUCCUCCUUUCUCAACAUGUUUUAACUAUUCGAACAGCAAGAUUAUUCUAGCAUUAGGUUUCAUCAAGUCCACUUGAUAAUUCCUAGCUAUAAAUACAAUCAUCCUAGUUUCAUCUCCAUUAUUAACCUCUUCAAGCUUCUGUACAAUUGCCUAUUCAAGAAGCAUAACCCUAGAACCAAAAGUAUCGCCCUUUGGAGAAGCAACCUUGGUGCUUGAAUAUUCUGGAACCACAUAACUGAAUUCUUCAAGGUUCCCAUUUGCAAACGAACUAUCAUUAGAAUUAGCAGAAACCACCAACCUAAAAUCAGUAAUCUAAGCAUUAUAAUAAUCAUCAAUGAGAGUCACAUUUGAACUAACGUUCCAAGGCAAGUAGGUGGUUGUAUGUUUGCCUCCCGCAAUGGAAGGCAAUGGAGUUGCAUGGCUGUCACUUAAUGCUUCGUUACACUUGGUGUGACCAGAUACUAAUGCAUGAGUAGUUGAGACUUGAAUUAUAGCAAGAAAAAGUGAAUCUCAAUGACGGACAAGGGGGGGGGGGGUGAAUAGGUGUUGUUGAACAAUUAAAAAGAUCGCACAACAAAAAUUACGUAACCUUAGAAUUUCUCAAUGUCUAUAAACUUAUUUUCCAACAACUUUUCAACAAAGCAUACAAUUCACAAGAAAGUAUGAAUGCAACAACACUCUCCCAACAAUUUAUAAAUGUUAGUCACAUGCAAAUACUUCAACACUCCUCAAAAUUAAUUCAUAAGAACAAUUAUCUCCUUAACUCAUUUCAAUUUACUAUUUGAUAUCAUCAACCAAAAUGAACAAAAAAACUUAUUCAGAAUAUCCAAUAGAUAAUCACAUUUAUUUUAGCUCACAUUUCUUUUAUUCAACAUAUAUACUCAAGUAACUAAUGAUAUCAAAAAAUGAAAAUAAAUUAAUGAGUAGAAUGAGAGAAAGAGACAAUGGCACCAAAUUUUAAUAUGGAAAACCUCCGAAUAGAUAAAAAACCACGGGCCUACAACUGAUAAAAAACAUCCACUAUGAAGAACAAAAGACUAAAUACAAGGUUUUACCUAACUCAAGUCCACCGAUUCUUCCCGGACCACUUGACUAGCACCUUUCCACUUCCAGCUUCACAUCUUCUUUUUCAGGAGCACACUUGAAGUCCACAUCAACUCAAUCUCAACUUCUUUUUAAAUCCACACAAGAAGAAAAUGGGUUUUUACCCAAACCUAAUAGUUUCAAUAUUGAGAGAUGAAUGAAGAAAGGAAUCACCCAUUUUUUUCUCAAGAAAAUCCAUUGAAAACAAUUUAGAAAACAAUAGGAAAAUUUGAUUUCUUAGCAACCAAACACCCCAAACUAGGAAAAGAAAAGAGAACUAAAAGGGGAUGGUUGUUGUGUCUCUGGUAUUCUCUCUACAGCACCAGGAAGCAAUUUUAGGCUUUUAAAUGAAAGAAUCCAUUAAUUUAAGGAUGGGAUUUUAUCAAGAAAGUGCAACCUAGAUCGAUCUAACCCGAAGUUGGAUCGAUCCUGAAAUAGGGCAUUUUGAACACUUAGUAAAACAAUGUUUCCCAAGCCUUCCUAACUUCUUAAAAAACAUUUCAAGAAAAACAACAUUUAAAUAAUACGGUUGAUUCAAUUUAAUCCAACUCCAACCUCAACUAUAUACCUUGGUUUCUUGACAAAUUCAACAACUCAGAACUUUAUUAGACAAGUGGUCUGAAGGAGGAUUAGAAAACUGAGUUAGGAGACACUUAAGAAUUUUGUCCGGAAUUACUAACUUUGCUAAAUAAAAUAUUUAGCUAUGGUGAGAGUGUGGCAGAUAGGAGCCACAUUGUACCCAUCUUCCAGAUGAUCAACCUCGCUCUUUGUCAUGAAGGCGAAUCUCGGUUCUCUCUGCCUCUUUUGGCUUGUCGUCUUCUUGGGUUUCAACCUGUACCCCAUAAAUGCAAACAAAAAGGAAAAAAAGAAAAAAGCCAUGAACAAGCAAAUCAAACAUCCUUGUAUCCUUUCUGAAUUUCUCCUCAAAUGGUUUCAACCCAGAUAGUAAAAAUCCCCAUUUCUUUUGAUCUUAUCAACAAAGUAAAAAACUUUUACAAAAACACCGUUUUGAUUUUGUUCUUAAGUGGGUUUUCUCAUUCAUGUCGGGAUAACUCACUCUUUCUUAGGCUUCCUCUCUUCCUCAUCCUCCUCUCUUCUUCAACUGCUUUGCUGCCUUGCUCAUGACUGGACGCCGACGACACCGACGACACCGACGACGAGUUGGGCGUGGCCGGUGGAUUCAUCACGUCAGGAGACGUCAGCAUGGCCGGAGCUGCACCCGCCUGUUUCUCCAAAGACGGCAGCUGCACCAAAUCAAACAACGGCGGCCCAUAAUUUUGAAUACUCAGUUACUCCAUAAAUCCUAGCGUUCCCUUCUCGCCUUCGUCGGAGAAGUCAAACAUGGCCGGAAUAACCGGAGCGUGAUCUGAAAAUGACCACGAACCGACUGGAUCCUCCAUUUUCAUCACCCCACUCCUCUCCAUAGACGAAUCAGUGGUGCAAAUUCAUAAAAAAAACACUGUUCCCAGUUCGAGAGAGAGAGAGAGAUUUGAAUAGUAUUUACUAGAGAAAGAGAUGGCUUCGAGGCUUGUGUGUUGGUAUAUAAAGGGAGGAAGAGAGGGCGUGAGAGAGAGAACAGUGAGGCUUUGAUGAUGGUGGUGGUGGUGGACCGGCGACAGCAGGUCAAUGUGGGGGUGCAGGCCGGUGGAGCCGGUGUCUGGACAACGCGGUCCAACAAAGUGGCCGACGCAUUCAUACGAUGAUUUGACCGGUUAGAGUGUGAGCGGGUUUUUGGACGAUCGACCACUUCGCACGUGCGUGUAUAUGUUGCAUGUAAAGAUACCACUUCGCACGUGCGUGUAUAUGUUGCAUGUAAAGAUACCACUUCGCACGUGUUGCAUGUAAGCAUUUGUAGACGAAUCCUCCUCAGAUACCCCUUUUAUUCCUUUUAUACCUUCAGCAGUAAUACUGCGCCUAUUAAAACGCUGCGUUUUGGAUAAGCCUCCCCAAAACUUAGCUACCUUACUUUUUUUUUUUUUUUUUUUUAUAAUUUACUUCCAGAAGAAAAUCCCUUUUUGGAAUGGUCCCGGAAAAUGCGGUGACCACUGCAAUUAUUAAUCAUAUUUUUAUUCAUUAAAAUUUAAAUUUUGUUGAAUUCUUUUAGUUGUAAUUAUGGUUUAAAUUUCUAUUUAUUUCAUGGACAAAAUUUUGAUACCCUAUAGAUGUAAAAGGAAAAAUUCAAUGGAAACUAUUAAAAUAAUUAUGGUUUCCAUUAGUUAAUAAAAUAUUUAAAAAUUAAUAAAUAAAAACAUUAUAUUAUUUCAAAUAGGUUAUUAUUAAAUUUCAAAACUAAGACAUAAAUUUUUAGUAACUAUUUUUGAAAACAAUUUUAAAAAAUAAUUUUUGAGAACCUUAUAUUUUGUAAAAUAAAAGUUUAUUUGGAAACUUACAAUAUUUUUAAUAUUUUUAAAUAUAUUUUAAAAAUAAAAUUGCUAACUUAGCUAAAUAAAAAAAAUUGUUUUUUAUUUUUAAAAAUUGUUUUUUAUAAACAACUUGUGAAACACUUUUAUUUUUAUAAAACAUCAGAAAAAAUGUUUUUUGUUCCUUAAUUUCAAAAUAGUUUUUAAAAACAAGUUUAGAAAACAUAACCAAAUGGGACUAAAAUAUUUGAAACAUCUUUUCUAUAUUUUUAAAUAUAACUUUUAUUUAAAAAUUUUAUUUGUAUACUUUUAUUUGUAAAAUUUUAUUUUAAAUCAUUCAUCAUAUUUAUAUAAUUAUUUUUUAAAAUAAUUGAAAAUAGUAAAAAAAAAAUGCACUCAAAAUAUAUGUUAUGUAUAUUUUUAAAAAGAGAAAACUUAUUUUUACAUUUUCAAACAUUUUUUUUUUUAUUCUAAAAAACAUCAACUGUUUUUUAUAACAGUUAAUAUGCAAACCCUUAAUAUUUUUAAAGCUAAAGCUUAUUAUUUUAUUUAUGAAUUAUUUUAUCCUUUAAAUAUCUAUUAAUAUUGAUUAUUAUCAAAACUCUAUUUUCUUGCUUAUUUCUUUCUCUUAAUCACAUCUUUAACAAACAAACCCUUAAUAUUUUUUAAAAUAAAGCUUAUUCUUUUAUUUAGGAAUUAUUUUAUCCUUUAAAUAUUCCUUAAAAAAAUGUUUCAGUUCACAUUAAGAAAAAAGAGUUCAAUUCAAGAAAAAACAAAAAAAAAAUGAUUUCAAAUUUUAUUUUAUUUACAAGUUUGAUUAUUGAAAAAAUAUCUAAAAAAGAUUACUAAUAAAAUCAAACUGGUAUUUAAUACAAAUAAACAUAUAAUAAUAAUGAUAAUAAUAAUAAUAAUAAUGAAUCAAAGGGUCUUAAUAUGUGUUUAUAAAAAAGAUUACUAAUAAAACAAGUUUUAGUUUUUUUUUUUUUUCGAUUUUCGUUAUGAUAAAUGUUAUGAUUAUUUGCCAAUUUUAUUUUUACAUUAAAUUUUGAGCCCAAUUUUAUUAAUAAAUUUUAAAUCCUGAUUACAUAUGAUUUUUGGUUAUAUAUAUAUUAUUUUUUAUUUUUGUUUUCUCUCUCCUCUCUCUUCCUUUUUCUCCUCCUAUCGACUCUCACCUACCCCAUCCAUCCCUCGUCACGGAGACAUGCCCCCUCAACUUUCUUCUAUCACUUUUCCUUUUUGAUUAGAUUUUCUCUUCUUCCUACCCACUUUUCCUCUCUUCCCAUCUUUGGCCCCUUCAUUUUCUCCCCCCAAGCUGGCUGUUGUAUUUAUAUACUAAUUAUAACAUAUGGUGUCUAUAUUUUAUAAUAAAAGUAAUAAUAUUGAGAAUCACCUUUUAUACCUUAUUGAUACUCAAUAUAUCAAAUAUAUUAACAUCAUCCACUCGAUGCAUUGAGAAAAAAAAUUAUAUGAAAUUUAAAAUAAAUAAAAAACACUAUGCAAAGAAAAAAAAAUCAUAUAAUUUUUUUUAAAAUUAUUUUAUUAUAAAAAUAAAAAAUGAUUAAACUUUCUCUAUCAUUUUCUUAUUCUUUUUAGAGAAUCUGAAUGAAAAAUUAAACAUUUUAUCUUCCUUGAAUUUAAUACAAAAAUAUAAUUUAUCAAUUUAAAAUUAUAAUAUAUAUAUAUAUAUAUAUAUAUAUAUAUAUAUAUAUAUAUAUGAAAAAAAUCAUCAUUUUUAUUAUAUAAUUAUAAAAAUUAUUUUUUUCUUCAUAAAAUUAAAAAUUAGAAUAAAAAUAAAAAAGGUAAAAAAACAAUAAAUGAUAUUUUAAAAAUAUUUUUUAAAAGUAUUUUUGUUUUAAAUAGUAAAUUUAAAUAAUAAAUUAUAUAUAAUUGUAAGGGUUAAACCCAAAAUUUUGAUUUAAAACUUAAAUAUCAAUAAUUAAAAUAAAUGUGGGACACAUGUACCAUAAAUGUAUUAACAAAUCAAGUGAAGUACUUUAAAUGCUUUGAAUUUUAAAAGUUUUAAUUAAAGGGUUGUUUUGGUAUAUUAAGCCUAUUAAAGUCUUCCCCAAGAAUUAUUAAAAAAUACCAUCAUUUCUAGUCAUUGUUCUGCCAAGCCCAUCCUUUUGGGUAAUUCUCCCAUUUCUUUCUUCUCCCUAACCCCCCCCCCAACUCCCAUUCCCAAUUGUGCUCCUCCAUUUCCUCUUUUCAUUUUUUUUCUUCCCCCAACUCCCACAUGCGGUGGCCAGCCCCCAUUCCCACAUUUUCCCUCCCUUUUAUUUCCAUCCAAACACCCAUCUUUUGAUUUUUUUUUUCAUUUCUUUUUAUUUAUUACUACUAUUAUUUUCUACUCUCCUUUCACCAUACCCAAUCUUUCACCACCAUCGGCAAGACCACCAGUCAGUCGCCGUCAGCCAGCCACUUACCAGCCGACGACCCCUUCCUCUCUUUUCUCAUUUCCUCACUUUCCCAUCACACUCAUUUUCCAUUCUUAUUAUUAUUAUUAUUAUUAUUAUCUUUAUUUUUCUUGAUUUGAUUUUAAUAGUAAUUGUUGUUUGUGAAAUUUAGAUUGUUGAAUUAAUAUGAAAUUUGGGUUAAUUCGUUAUUAGAGAAUUAAUAUGAAAUUUGGGUUAAUUGAUUGUUGGUGAAUUAAUUUGAAAUUUUUUAAUUUGAGUUUGUGGUUAUAUUGCAUUCAGUGAUUAAUUUGGGAUAUUUAGAUUAUAUCAAUUGCAUAUUGUUUAUUUGGGUUUGGGUCUAUUGUUAAUUGGUUAUUUGUUUAGGCUUAUUGGAUUAGACUUGAGAUAUUAUUUCCUUUGGCCAUGUAUAUUAUUGAUGUGUGCUUAUUAAUUAAUAUGAAUUUUGGACCCACAAUGUGAGGGAUAUUUGUUGGAUGACUUGAAUAUUUGAUAUGAGCAUGACCAAUUUGAACUAUUUAAUUUGGGCAUGGAACAAUUGUGGUAUAUAUUAAAUUAGGUAUGGAUUAUGGUAUAUUAUAUUUAGGCAUAAUGAGAUUUAUCUUAAUUUAUCAUGUUUUGAGUUUGAUUAAUUAAGCUUAUGUUUUGGCUAUUAAUUUGGAAACUUUAUAUUAGGGUUUAUGAUAUGUGGGAUAUUUUUGUUGGGUUAUAUUUGUUAAUUUGGACCCAUUUUUAAUUGGUGAAAUUUAUUGGACUAAUUUAAAGUUUGAAUUUGUGCUUGAAUAAUUAUUUUGGACUCUACAUAUUUUUUUAUAUUUACAUUUGUGCUAUUUUUGUUUUUGCAUGGACCCAUUCUGCAAUCUUUUAGCUAAGUACAAAUUUAUGAUAUGUGGAACACAAAAUUUCAUGAAAUAAAGUGAGACUCGCAAAGUUGUAAGAAGAUAUUAAGUUUAUUGUAAGUUUAUUUAGGUAAUGACUUGAAUAUUUGAUAUGAGCAUGACCAAUUUAAACUAUUUAAUUUGGGCAUGGAACAAUUGUGGUAUAUAUUAAAUUAGGUAUGGAUUAUGAAAUAUUAAAUUUAGGUAUAAUGAGAUUUAUCUUAAUUUAUCAUGUUUUGAGUUUGAUUAAUUAAGCUUAUGUUUUGGCUAUUGAUUGGAAACUUUAUAUUAGGGUUUAUGAUAUGUGAGAUAUUUUUGUUGGGUUAUAUUUGUUAAUUUGGACCCAUUUUUAAUUGUGAAAUUUAUUGGACUAAUUUAAAGUUUGAAUUUGUGCUUGAAUAAUUAUUUUGGACUCUACAUAUUUUUUGAUAUUUACAUUUGUGCUAUUUUUGUUUUUGCAUGGACCCAUUCUGCAAUCUUUUAGCUGAGUACAAAUUUAUGAUACGUGGAACACAAAAUUUCAUGAAAUAAAGUGAGACUCGCAAAGUUGUAAGAAGAUAUUAAGUUUGUUGUAAGUUUAUUUAGGUACUUAUUUUAUUUUUCACUUUUAUUUGGUUUUAUUUUUAUUAGUUCUUGUAAAUAUUUGUUUGUAUAUAUUUAUUGAGUGUGUACAGAAUUGAAUAUCAAACAAAUCAGAAUUUUGUUUAAAUAAGAAGAAUAAUUCAGUAAAUAUGUUUUAAUAAAAUAAUAAUUUUAAAAUAUUCUUCUUAAUAAAAUAAAGUUUUUUAUUAAUAAAAAUUCAAAAAAAUGCUUUUAGAAAAAUCCAAAAAAUUGUUUUUAAUAGAAUUUGAAAAAUUGUUUUUAAUAAUAAUAGUCCAAAAAUUUCUUUGUUUAAUAAAAAUUGUCCAAAAAUUGUUUUGUAAAUAAAGUUGUUCCAAAAAUUAAUUUUUAAUAAAAUUGUACAAAAAAUGUUUUUUUAUAAAUGAAUUCUUUUUCCUUAAUUAAAAUGAGAUUAAAAGUAUUUUUUAGAAAUAGAUGAUUUAAUUUUUGUUCAUUUUAAUUAUAAAUUCUUUUGCAAAUAAAGUUAUGUUUUUUUUAAUAAUUUGUACAAAAUCACUUUUCUUAAAUAAAAACAAAUUGAAAUAUUUUUGUAAAUGUAAUUGUAAAAAUUCAUUCAUUUUUUUUUUUGUAAAAGCAAGUAAAAAUAAUUUUUUUUCCAAAUUAAAAUUUUGUAAUAAAUUCUUUUGAUAUAGUAUGUGUAAAUAAAUUUAAAAAAAAAAAUUAAAUGCAAAUAAAAUUGACUCUUUUUUUGUAAAUAAAUAAAUUGAAAUCAUUAAUUGAAAAUCAUUUUUUAUAAAAUCCUUUGAAAUUUCUUGAAAACUUUUUUUAAAAUAUCUUCUUUUUAUUUAGUUCAAUAAAUUAUUUUGCAUAAUCCUCUUGUCAUUUAUUUUGUGUAUUCUUGUAAUUAGAUUUCAUCAUUAUUUGUGUAUAUUGAUUUUCACCGUAACAUGUACAUACUCAUUUGCAUGAUUAUUUUUCUUGGUAUUCAUAAUUAAUUAUCACAAUUCCCUUAAUUCGUUUAGUAGAAACCGUAUGUAUACGGGCUUAGAGGGGUGCUACAACUAACCACCGUACUUUCCCAAUAAGUAACUUGACCCCCGGACCCAGACUCGGUUUCUCACAAACUUGUUUUCCUUCAGGAGUCACACUUAGGGUUUUUCUUUCUUAUUUUGUUUUUUCCUUAAAAAAUAAAACAAAAAUAAGUCACGACUCCAAGUUUUUUUCUAAAAAUCAAAUUUUCACCAAAUAAAUAAAUAAAAAGUGAGUUUCACCAUCAAGUGGGAGCACAUCGAGCAACAUGCAGGGUCCACAAAAUGGCAAUUCCACUAGGGAUGUCAUGAGGGUCAAACUUGAACUUAAGUUGAGGUAAAUGAGACGUUUGAUUAGUUGGUUGAUGGAUACCUCCUCUUUGUGCUUCUCUAUGCUUGAGUGAUCAUAGCACAUUGAGGAUUUUGAUGUGAUGUUUUUCCAUGUUUGAUCGCUAUAUCCAUUUGGGACAUUAACAUGGUGAUGAUAUUGAUUGAUCCGAUUGCUUGUCUUAGCAUAUUGAUUUUGCUCUAACCAUGAUUAUCCUACUCACUUUGACAUGUAUGUUCACUUCGUUAUAUCUCUUAUUUGUCUUGGUGUUGAUUAUCUUGCUUGUAUAUUAUCUUCAUCAUAUUUGAGCAUGCUAUUCUUGUUUCUAUUCAUUUUGAUCGUCAUAUUCUCAUUUAGCUUGUGUGUGGACAUGGAUGAUAUACUUGCACUCUGUUUGACUGCUUGUUGCAUGAUUGUUCUUGUCUCAUGUGAUUACAUGUUGCUUGUCUAUGUGGGUCCCAUAUCUAUCCCCUCACCUCCAACCCUCUAGUUUCAGUCAUUCAUUUUUCUUUCGGUUCUUACAUUUGCAAGUGUGAGGCCUUGUGUGUGAUUGUUUCUCUAAUCGAGCUAGUGGUUAGGAGUAGGGUCAAGCGACGGGCUAUCGAUGUUUGGGAGCAUUUUGGAGGAGGCUGACACAUUGAUGCUGAUUGGAGUCCGAUCUUUGAAGACUUGUAUAGCCUAGAGCUAGAUUUCAUGGAUAUUUGUGUGAACAGUGUGUUUAUUUUUUUGUUUUAACUUCAUAGGUUUUUCGGAUGCACCCACACCACUCACUAUGCACUUUAGUUGACUAUUGAGUGCUAAGAGUUGCAAGAGCUUUCACUAUAAGAAACCCCCCCUGGGAUGUCGAGGUAGUGCAUGUGUGGAGGUGAUGACCAUCUUAUAUGAAAACGACCCGUCUCUUUGGAGACGUGCAGGGGGUUGUGUACCACCUUAUGAUUGCUUCUUCUAAAGAUCCUUUAAAGUCCACUCCUCUUUUUUUAGAGCCACCUUGACCUUGUAGGUUGAGCCUUAGAUCUUUCGUUGAGGAUUUCCUUUCCUACACGUGGGUGCAUUUGAGGGCUUUCAAAGCCUCUUUAGUUACAGUUCGGAUCCAGUACUUCCUCAUUUGGUUUCUAGUUGAGAUGCUUAGAGAUCAGUAUGAGUUUGAGUUAUAGUUAGACCUCCCUUUUGCUUUAUGUUGACCUUGUUUCUUCCAAUUUAGAUUAACAUUUCUUCCAUGUUUUCCUUAUGCAUACUGACUCAUGCCCAAUUAGUGUCUCAGCUGAUUUGUGUUCAGCUGGUGCUCCUUGAUUGAGGAAGUGAUCAACAAAAUUUAUACCUAUAACACCAUACACUAGGGUAGCAAAUACAAAGCUACUAUAGUAUAGUGGCUCUAGGAUCGUUCACUGGGAAUGAUUAACAAGCAAUCAAGGAUACCAAUUCCAAGUGAAUUGGUCUUGUUUCAUUUCACGGUUAGCUUAAGAAAUAAAACACAAAUUUUGAUUGGUAAAGGUUGAGACUUAAACUAACUAACUAAACAGAAGUUUGGAAUAAUUUAGGAAGAAAAACAUUCCUUGGAGAUUUAGGUUCACCGGGGUGGUUUCUCAUGCAAAAGACAUAGCUCCAGUCAGAUGGUUCAUUUCCUCGCAUUAGAGAUUCAACUUAGAGUCAAUUCUCUAACCGGUGAUGUACAGAGACUCCUUCAAUUAGAUUUCACUUUAAUUCUCUCACUGAUGCAACUUGCAAUGGUUCAUGCCUCUCACGAGCACUUACCAUUCAAGGUGAUCUUUAACCUUGGACUUCCCUUCACAAACUCGCAAGAGAUAACUAAUGGAUGUCUCCUAGGAGUCCAAAAGCUUACCAAGUGUUGGUAAUUCCAGAAAAUCCUACCUUGAAGUCACCUCCCGGAGGCUCGCNNNNNNNNNNNNNNNNNNNNNNNNNNNNNNNNNNNNNNNNNNNNNNNNNNNNNNNNNNNNNNNNNNNNNNNNNNNNNNNNNNNNNNNNNNNNNNNNNNNNAGCUAAAACCACAGAGCUUUGCAUUCUUGCACUUGGAACCUUCCCCGGCAACCUUAGCUCCAAGGAAUUGGAGGUUUGUUACUCAUUCUCUGGGGAAAACUCCUCAGAGAAUUCAUAACUUAGAAAUAAAAUGAAAAUACAAAGUGAGAAGGUAAGGCAGUAGAAAGAAAAAACCUUUACUUGCUUACCCAAACGUUUACAGAAAAGAACUCCUCCCUAAGAACAGGCUCCCGAGAGGCAUAUAUAUCAAAACAAUAUAAAACUAAUUGUUACAAAGAUAUUUGGUCUUUUUACUAACUUAAAAACUAAGGAAUCAUGUAAUUGGUGGUUUACAAGGAGUAUUUUGGGAUUUAGACAACAAAAAUCUAAUGGAAAAUAUCUCCCAAUGUCGGUAGCAAGCUUCGGGAGGCUUCAGGAGCCAUUUCGCAGGAGAAAAGUGGUGUCUGCGAAAUUUCGCAGACACCCAAGAGGGCUGCGAAAUUAUUUUGCAAGACCGAGCUAUCUUCACAGGGCUGCGAAGUUGGCUUCCACCUUGAGGUUUCCAGCUCCCUUCUCGCGGCAUGGUUCGUGCAUCCUCAGAAGGAGAAACACCUUACUGUACAAAAGUGCUGCGAAAUUCUCGCAACAAAAGGCUGAUUCCGCAACACUUUAGAGUGAUUGACUUGUAAUGGCUGCAACUUCUUCGUUUCAACUCCGAAUCGCGCACCAUUUGAAGCAUUAGAUUGUUGACUUCCUGAGCUUUGAAAUGGUAUAUAGCAUGCAUCAUUUGGACUUCAGAAAGUGCUCCAAAAGUGGCUGCUACGACUGUCAUCAAGAAUAGGCUUCAUGGCAGAUUCUCUUUGCUUUUUCUCCUUGCAAUCCGGAUUCACUCUUGGCAAUUGAAUUCUAAGCUUUGCCCAAGAUUCCUCAUAGCUCUCCUCAGUCUUGAAUUGCUUUGGUGAUCAAAAUACUAACAAAAACACCAAAACUUACACAAAGUGAUCAAAAUUGCUUUAAAGGAUCCUUAACAUGCCAAUUGAGUUAAAAGGCCUAAACUACUACUCAAAAGUGUUUAAAAGGAUUAAUUAUAGGCUAUCAAAUAGCACUUUUUGAGUAGUAAUCACAUACCAUAUCUCGUGUUUUAUGUUCUUCAAGAUUGGUUCUUCAUUCUUAAUAUGGAUUUACCAUCUUGGGUUAGAGUAUAGAGGAGAUCAGUUUGAUUUUUCGAGAGAUUGGGCAUGGAUUAGCAGACUAUCACAGUUGCCCAGUUCACAGCUGUCAUGGCUUCUAUUCAAGAGGUCUUAGCUAGUCUUAGACAUGAGAUAAACAGUCAGCAAAGUAGACAACCUGUAGUUCAGGAUGAGACGCCUUAUGAUUCAUUGCCACCUCCACCACUACCACUUGGUCCGACAAUGCCACAAGGUCCACCCUAUCUAUUACAUGGUCAUUUUGAGGUUGCCUCACCUGCAGUAGUAUAAACCACAGUCUUUGAGGAUACUCACGCAUGCAUGGAUUGUAUUGAACAACGUAUUAGGUAGUCAAGGGUAUUUGACAGUUCAGCAGCUCGGGAUGAUCUUGAGGGUUCUUGAGGGUCAUUAGAGGAUUGAUCAGAGAUCCCAGAGGGAAGUUCAGACCCAAUUAGAGUGGACCUUAUUUCAUUAGGGAGUUGACCCCAGAAGGCGCUGCAUGGUUGAUGAAUCUAGAUGGAAACGAUUCUCGGAGCCAACUAAUGUAGAUUAGUUGAAGAAAUAUUAUGUUUGAGACCAUGGUGGUAGGAUAGGUGGCUAUCAUUUUGGUUAGCCAUAUACCUUGUUAUUCUUUUUUGACAUAUUGAUCGUUGCUAACCCAUUGAGCUUCGCAUGUGCAUCAGAUUCUUUCUUUCUUAUUACCUUGCUUACAUUUCUACACCAGGAUACGGGCCCUUUUAGUGUAUGCAUGCUUCAUUUAGGAGUUUCAUGAGCCUUGGGCCUACGAGCGCAUCUUCUCUCAUUAUUUUUCCUACCAUCACACUACUGCAUUUCAUCAUAUCUCAUUAGUUGUGUUCUUCAUCUCUUUUUCGUUAUUCUAUCUACUGCUUGUUUUGCUUCAUAUUCUCUCCAUCCUGAGUGGUGAUCCUCCUCAAUUCAUUACAUGAAGGAUAGUCAUAUCAUUUUCACUAUCUAUCCCAUGGACACUAAUUCAGAUAUCCUUAGUUUGAGAAGUUCAUCUAGUUAGAGAGAGUUUUUGUUACCUUAGCACUUGAGAGUGUGUCUAUCCAAUAUUGAUAUCAUCUUUGAGGUUCAUUUGUUUAUGUUUAGGGUAUGUGCAUUUGUAUAUAUGUAAAAAAACAAAAAAAAAAAUGAAAAGAAAAGAAAAAUAAGCACAUAUGUGUAUGUGCAUGGUAUUUUCCAUCAUUGAGCAUGUAUAUUGAUAUCUGAGGGUCAUUUUAUCGAGUAUGUUUGUUGUUGAGAGUUUGUAUGUGAGUUUUCUAAGAUCAUUUUUUCUUUGUAUUCACUUUUUCAUAUUUCUUUGAGAGUGAGAUGAGUGACCUUCUCCUAGGGCCUCUAGGUUAGGAAUGGCAAUGGGGCGGGUUUGGGAUGGAUCAUUCCCAUCCCAUUCCCGCACCCGAUUAUACAAUUAUUUCCCAUCCCCGACACAAACCCGUGUUGGGGCAGGUUUAUUGGUUCCCAUCCCCGUUAACAGAAGAAUUAAUAACCCCAUCCCCGCCCCAUCCUGAAUAUCCAUUAGCCCUAACCUUAACUGGCAAAUCUCAUACCCAAAAUACACUUUCCUUUCACUGAUUAUGAUAAUAUACCAAAUAUGAAAAAAUAAUAUCAAAAUUGAAAUUAACACCACAACAAUCAAUAAUUUUAAGCCAAUAGUUAGCUUAAAUGAUUCAAAAUUAAUGCAAAACACAAAAAAAAAAAAAAAAAAAAAAAAAAAAAAAAAAACCAUCUGAACCAUUUUCAAGAGAACUGAAUGAAAACUGAACCAAAUGAGAAAAUGGAUCGAUAUCAGCCAUGGAUGUGAUUCUCUCUUCAAGCCAAUCUUUGAACCAAUACUUCAUCAAAUCCAUUGCUUCAAAGGCUUUCACGUUCCUUUUAUGUGUGUGCUCUCAGACAAAGACUUCAAGAUGCUCUAGAUGAUUGUGUUGCACAUAUUUAAGGCAAGGAGAUCGAAGUCUGUGACUAGUUUCAUGUCGGUUUUGGGCUCUGAGGCUAAACCAAGAACAAGAUGGAAUUGAUUUUAGAGUAUUUUAGUUGGUGUGAGGGAGGAAGAAAAAAUAGUAUUGAUCUUGGAGAUAGGGUUUCAAGCAGUGCAUCAGAGGAAGAAGAAGAAGAGGAUGUCGGGAAGAAGAAGAAGCGACUGUCGGAAUUAGGGCUAGGAAGAAUGAAAGACCAUUGUAUCAGAAGAAGAAGAAGAAGCGAUCGUCAGAAUUAAGGCAAGAAUUAGGGCAAAUGGGGAAGAAUGAAGUAUAUAUAUAUGGGGAGUUUUUUGACAUUUUAGUAGUUGUUGAAGGGUAAUUUUGUAAAUGUAUAUUCGAGGUGGGACGGGGCGGGUUGGAACAAAAUCCAUACCCGUCCCAAACCCGAUUUGGGUUUUUAAAAUAUUCCCAUACCCGACCUAUACCCAUUUAUUAUAUUUUAUACCCGUCCCAAUGGGGGCAAGGCGGAGCAGGUUACUCGAUUAGCCCAGAAAAUUGCCAUCCUUACUCUAGGUCAUUGUCUUUUCCAUCAUUACAUUCAUUGUUGAUGUGACUUCACUCCAUGUUUGAUUUGAGUUAACCAUCACUUUUCUUCUUAUAGUCAUUAUUUCUCUAUCAUCCUCAUCAUUGCUUGUGAUUCAUCCCAUUCACUUCACCCCCUUGUUCUUUUCUUACACUAACCUAUUCCAGGUUUGAUAUCUCGCUUGUAUCAUUCUUGCGUAUCCCAUUAUCAGUUUGAUUUGCUUCAUCGUCUCAUUAUUGAUAUUAUAUUCACAUUAGGCACCCUCAGGUCCAUGGCUCACGAGCUUUUCUAUACAUGUUGCAUUUUAUACAUGAGGGCAUGAGUUUUUUAUCAUUGGGUAUUUGGGCCUAGUUUCCAUUCAUUUCUAUUACCUUUGGUUUUGCAAAAUUAUUCAUAAAGAUUCUUUUCUAAAAUGUUGUCAAAAUUUGAACAUCUUUAAGGAUCAAAUUUUUCUAUUUAGCUAGGAAAAAUGGUACUUUCCUUAUACCAUAAAAUUCUAAUUUGUUGAUUUGCAACUGCAUCCAAAAGUGUGUCUGCAUUCAGUAGUUGUGUUCCAUCCCAAUACAGAAGACGAGAUCUACUCAUGGACUCUUAAGUUAACACAUAACAUCAAUGCUAUGUUUGGUUCUUAGGAAAAUUUAAAACUAGAAAUAGAACAAUACUUUCAACUUGAUUCUUGAUUUAGGAAAACUAAAAAAAUCUAAUAUCACUUCAAGAACUAACAUUCUUUCAAAGUAACAAGAAACAAUGUGAUGUCAUGCUUCAAAAGGCAACCUACCUCAAAAACAAUACAAGAAACAAAAAUAAAUAGCAUUAACUAUGAAUUCAUGGUAAUGUUCUUCAAUAAUUCCAAGAAACAAAGCUUGAAAAACCCUUAAGAAUUUAAAGAUUUUAUACGCGAAGGCCUUCUUAAUUUCUUGGAAUUUUUUAGACAAUGAAAUGUGUAGAUAAGAGAAGCAGAGGUUCCUUCAAGAGAGAAUUCUAGGGAUAAGACAAUGAGAUCUUGACAUAUGCAACAAAGAAGAAAUUGGCUUCGGGAGUUUGAUCAAUUUCAACAAGAAAUAGCCUCCUCAUUGCAACUUUCCAAAAACUGAAGAGCUUGGUUUUAAGCUUCAACUUGGAAAGAAAGUUAAAAAGCUAUGGAAUUCAAGAUUGGAAAGAAUAGAUGGCAGGAAAAUGGUAGAAAGUGACUAGAAGAGUUGGAGUUCAAGAAAUUAAGGAAUGGUUGAAGAGUUGUUGAAUAGUAUUUUAGAGCAAGAAGGGGGUUUCUUGGAAUUUAUACUAAAACUCCUAUUUUUAAAUUUAUACUAAAACCGUAUUCCUAAGUGUGCAUAAUAUCAAUGCUUACAUCUGAAUAAAGAUUACAGAUUAUCGCAUUUAUUAUAUGGUCAAGUUUCCUAUUCCUAAGUGUGCACAACAUCAAUGCUUACAUCUGAAUAAAGAUUACAGAUUAUCGCAUUUCUUGUAUGGUUAAGUUUUCUAUUCCUAAGUGUGCAUAACAUCAAUGGUUACAUUUGAAUAAAGAUUACAGAUUAUUGCAUUUCUUGUAUGGUCAAGACCCAUGCACAUUUAUGAAUAAAGCCUUGUUGGCCAGGAGCAUUUCUACUGGGCUACCUAUUCAAAGAUGAACUAAUUCCCUUCUCACUUAUUUCUUAAUUAUAGAAUUAUAUCAAAAUUAAUUAAUUUGUAUAAACAUUCCCAACCUCUCUCUUUUAAAUUAUUUAUAACUUCAAAAUAAAAAACCAACUUAUAAAAAUAAAUGCAUGUUUGUGAAUAUUUUUGAAAGCAAUUCUCUAAAAAUAGUUUUAUAAUUAACAUUCUUAAAAAUAGUUUUUAAUUUGUUUUGGAAAUAAAAUUUUAUUUGGGAACUCAAAUAAGAGAAAUAGGUAUGUCGAAUUGUUCUCCAUGAAGGUACUAUCUAUAAUAUAAAAAUUUUCAAAGUAUUCUCCACAUUUUCAAUUGUUACUCAAAAUAUUCUAAAAAACAUUUUUGAAAAUACCUAAAAUUUAUUUUUAUUUUUUAAAAUAACGUAUUUUCAAAAUAAAUUCUUAAGAAAUUGAUAAAUAUGUUUCUUGAGUUUGAAAACUAUUUUAAAAAAUAUUCAAAUAAGACCUUAACUUCAUUGGUUGUGUUCACAUCAUAUGUGGCAAUUAAUAGCUUAGAAAAAGAGUCAUUUCACAAUGUCUUUCCACAAAUCAAGUCAAAACAUCAAUUUUCAAGUAUUUGGAAGAGGUAAUACAAUGAUUUGAGAUCAUGUGAUUUUACAGUGUGUUUUACAAUAGGUUAGGUGAUUUUAUUAGCUUUGGACUUUGCAUUGUAUUACAAAGCAUCUUAUUUGACAAUCAUUCAAAUAUGGUGAUGUUGCUCACAUCAAUAAUGAAACUCGCUUUUAGAAGUCAAUUUUUUGCAUCUUAUUUACAUAAAACAAACAUUUUAAAAAGUAUAAUAUCAUAAUAUAGUUACACCCACAAAAGUAGUGUAUGAGAUUAAACUCUUUUCAAUAAGAUUAUAAAGAUAUAAAAACUUUCAUUAAAUUUCAAUUUUACUCUAAUGCUAGGUGAAAUCCAAAAACAAAUUCAAAGAAAAAGGAAAAUAUAUAUAUAUAAGGUUUCUUAUCAUCAACACUCUUAAAAAAUAGGUACAACACCAUUAAAGUUUACAUAGGUUUGAUCAAAGGAAAUAAAAACUAACUUACCCUUAUUCCUAAAAAGAAAGAGAAUAAUUCUAAUAUAGUAACUAAAUAAAUAAUUAACUCUAUAGAUCCACCAUUUUCCGGGGAAAGAAAAUCUUAGUUCUACCAUACAUACAACAAUCAAGGCUCAGUGAUCAUGGAUUUUGCCCUCCCUACCCAACAAACCAAUAAACUCAACCACAACCCUAACUGCAUGCAUUUGUAGCUACCAAAGAAAAGAUUGAAGAUGAUAGUGUUCCUCCACCCCCUACUGUGUUCGAUAUGCCCCGAAAAACAACACAAGGCAUUCCAUUGGACAUAGACGGGUGUACAUAAUAUCAACCAUUCCAAAGGUUAUAGAGCUGAAACUAAUAAAGAAAACCCUAUGCCUAUUUGGUACUUGUUUUUUAAAACAAUUUUUUAAACAAAUAACCAAGAAACAUGUUUAACAACCAGAAACAGAAUGCAUAGUGAUUUAAGAGAACUUCUUUUAGGCUUUAUUUGAGAAGUAUUUUAAAAAAUACUAAUGAAAAAAAAAAUUUGAGAACCAUAUUUGAAAAAACUUCAAUGGUAUUUUGUAGGACAAAAGUCAGUUUGGAAUCUUGAAAUACUUUUACUCUAUUUUCUUUAUUUUUAAAUAUACUUUAAAUGUCAUUCUUCAUAUUUGUAUAAUUAUUUUUUAAAACAAUCAUAAAAAAAUGAAAAUAAUUAAAAACUACUAAAAGAUGUUUUAUGAAAAAUACCAUAUUUCUAUUUUUAAGAAUAGAAAACUGUUUUUUUUUUCUUUUUUUCUUUUUUUUUUGGUUAAUAUCAAACAUGUUUUCCUAUCUUUUUGUCUUGGAGAACAGAUAUUUGUUUUCUAAAAUAGUUGCCAAAAAGGGCCAAUUGUUUUUGGUUAUUUUCAUUCGAAUGACUAUUUUAAAAAUAAUUAUAUAAAUAUAAAUAAUGAUUAAAAAUAAAGCAUUAAAUAUAUAAAAGAUAUUUUUAAAACAUAUUUAAAAACAUAGAAAAUAGAUUAAGAACAUUUUAAUUUUUAAAUAGACUUUUUUAAAAAUAAUUUUAAAAAAUUAUUAUCAAAAACCGUUUUUGAAAAUACUUCUCAAAAAUAACACUUGUUUUACCAUUACUAUAGCAGCACUCUCUUCAUCUACAGUCAAGAAGUCUAAGGUCUUGAAAAGGAAUGCAUUCUAUGCCACAUUAUCGACGUAUAUAUCUGCAGAAGAACCUCUCGACCCGUAUGCAACUUUUGGUUUUUCAGGUAGGCAGUAUGUCUUGUUUAAGCACUGCUGCAACUCACAUCCUAGGAAAUGGAAAAUAGUGGUCAUGAAUUCACUUGGAAACAGGCCUGAAUUCACCAUAAAUAGUAGCUCAAAUUAUCAGAGGAAAGUUUGAAGGGUCAAAGACGAUGGUGAACCUGAAGUUAAGUAGCCAGGCUGAACCAUUUUGGAUCGGUUUCAAGCCAGAAGAGCUCUUGCUUUGGCCAGCCGAUGGAGCAUAGCUACACCGACGUGAACUCUAAUGCUGCCAAAAGGUUUUCUCCCUUGACCGGUAAGUUGUAGUCCCCAAAUUUCAAUUCGGGUAAUGCUUCUUUCUUUGAUUUGAAGUCCUAUGCGUGACCAAAUUUGCAUCAGCAUUCAGUUGGAAAAAUGUCAACCCUAAACCCUAAACCUGAUUCAAUAUAAAAGAAAUGAAAUCUAGCAUUGGGAGAGAGAAAUUAAUGUCUACAGUUCAAAACCAAUUUUAAUGGUUGAGGCUUUGACUCAAGUUUCAGCUCAUACCUUCCACUUCCAAGAACCUGUUAGAAAAGAGUUAAACCAGUUCAAUGAGAGAUGAAAUCCAAACAUUGGAAAAAGCCAAUAUGCCAGCAGUUUAAAACCAGUUCUAAUGGUUUAUCAUUUGCAUCCAGCUACUAUACAUAAAAACAUAACCAAUCAAGUUGCACUAUAUAUAUAUAUAUAUAUAUAUAUAUAUACCUUGUCCUAUUGUGUCCCAUUGUUUAUAUUUGGUCUCGUUAUUUUAUGCCUUGGUUCAUUGUUUGUACCCUCAUCUAAUGAUUUAGAUUUUAUCAUAUGCUUUCAACAAGAGACAAAAUUUGAUAGUUAUAGAGCCUGUACCUUAGUUUUUUCCUUAUCAUUUAAAAAAAAUUAUAUAUAUCAAAACCAAGAACCCUAAAUUGAUAUUAGUACUCAUGAGUAAUAAAACGUUUUUUUGAAAAAAUGUCCCUCGAUCCAAUAUAUAAAUUUAAACAAAAAGGGAAAUAUGUCUAUAUAUAGUUCAAAACUAGUCCUAAUGAUUAGUUAUUUUUAAAAAAUAUCAUAAAUAAACCCUAAACCCUAAAUUAUAAUCCUAAUCGUUACAAUAAUAAAGAUUUAUGAAAUUCAAGCAUUGAAAAAAAGGAUACGUUUGCAGCUCAAAACCAUUACUAAUAGUUGACACAAUAGUAAAUAAUUGUAAUUACAAUCAAAUGGUUGCAUAAAAGAAAUAUCAAAUGGUUGACAUAAAUAAUUGAAUCAUUUUUUACAUAAGAUAUUAGGUACUAAUAAUGAGACUCAAUCUAGGAACAUAAUGUCAAGAUCUAUUAUGGGCUAUCAUAGCCCAAUCCAUAUAAGCCCACCAAGAAUAGCCCAUUUCUCCGUUUACAAAGAGAUUGGCCUAAUUGAGGAAGUUAUGGACCUACCCAACUAUGGGCCCAAUUGAGCUACAGAGAGUUGGAGGCCCAAAUCAAGUAACUAACAAUGAGAACUUCGGCCGCCCUAAUUAUGGCCCUAAAUUGAGCCACAGAAUCCAAACUAGGAACCCAGGGCCCAAGAUAUGGUCCUAGUUCAGGAUACCCAAACUAAGAACACUUUUGGCCUUCCUUGGCCUAUCCAACUCUCAGAUGGCCUAUCAAUGACCUGUGAAAUCUUCUCCCUCCAGCGGGAGAUAAAUGAGGUGACCGACUCCUUUAGCCUCUGUCUCAAUACCUUUAACUCUCUCCUUAAGACGUCAAUGACAGUAUUAAAUGUAAACUGUCUCAAAAACUCCUAGGUUAAAUCAUCCCAAAUCUGGCGGCGUGAUACGUCCAAUGAAGCAAACCAUCGUUGUGCCGCACCACUCAAGGACAUAGGGAAAAACAUAAUCAUCUGGGCUUUAUCUAGUCCAUGGGCCCUCAUGAUCGUACUGUAAAGCCUCAAAUGGAUGCAAGGACAACCAAUGUCCGUGUAUCGCUCGAUCUCUAGCUUCCUGAACUUGGUCGGUAGAUUGGCCACUAGUAGUCCAUCGAAAUCAUCUCAAGUAACAGGUCUGUCUGAAGUCCUCAACUGCCUCAACAUCUACUUGAGCCUAUCCAUACGAGCAUAUGGGUCCUCUGAGGUUGGGGUAGGCACGGUGACAGGAGGCGAGGCAACCUCGGUCUAGCUAUGCAGAGUAAAAGGUAUAGUUUGCAUUGUUGACUGACUAGGUGGAGAGGAUGGUGGCACUAUAGGGUCAUACUGGGCGUCAUCCUGAGGUGAGGCCUCUUGAGCCUGCUGCCCAUCUAUCCUCCGAUCGAGGCUAGCUAUAGCCUCCUGAAUCGAAGUCAUGGCAGCAGCAAACUGGUCAACAGUUACUAUCUGUGAGUCUAUAUCUCUCUGAUCUGAUCUCUGGUCUAGUGGGUCUGAUGCUUUGAUCAAUCUGCCUCCAACUCGGAUCCAAGAAGUUGAACCUAUAGCAAAUGUAUCAAUACUCUUGAAAUAGUGGAAAUACUUCAUAAGAUAUGGGGUAAGGAAAACUCCACAAGGAAUGCAUAUCAAAUAUGCUGAAAAGUAACCCAGAAGUAAUCCAACUGAUGUCCAAUCCCGAGCAGAUAUAUAAGAGACCACUAUGAAGGUAACUAAACCUAUCACUACUGAACCGACUCUGAAGGCUCACAGAUACACUCACGUGUUAGGAAAGGAAAUCCUGAUUGAAAGAUCUAAGGCUCAACCUACAAGGUUAAUGUGGCUCUAAAAAGAAAAAGGAUGGACUUUAAAGGAUCCCUAGCAGAAGCGAUCAUACCCUCCGAUGGUACGCAACUCUUUGCACGCCUCCGAAAAAAUGGGGCGCUUCCAUGCAAGGUGGUCAUCACCUCCACACAUGCACUACCUCGACAUCGGUUUCCUACAGUGAAAUUUCUCAAAACUCUCAACACUAAGUGGUCAACUAGAGUGCACAGUGAGUGGUAUGGGCGCAUUCGAAAACCCUAUGAAGCUAAGGUAGAAGAGGAAACAUACUGGUCGCACAAAUAUCCAUGAAACUUAGCUCUGGGCUAUACAGGUCUUCAAUGAUCGAACUCCAAUCAGUAUCAAUGUGUCAGUCUUCUUUAAAAUGCUCCCAAACAUCGGUAUAGCCCAUCAUUAGACCAUACUCCUAACCCGUAGCUCGAUCAAAGAAACAAGCACACACAAGGCCUCACACUUGCAAAAGUGAGAACCAAAACAAAGGAAGUGACCGAAACCAGAGGGUUGGAGGUAAAGAGAUAGAUGUGCGGCCCACACAAACAAGCGACAUGCAAUCACACAAAAUAAGGGUGGUCAUGCAACAGGCAGUCAAGCGGAGCGCAGAUAUAUCAACUAUGUCCAUAUACAAGCUAAGCGAGAAUAUGACAAUCAAAGUGAAUAGUGUCAAAGACAACAUGCUCAAAGAUGAUCAAGAUAAUAUACGAGCAAGAGAAUCAACACAUCAAGUCAAAAUAUAUAUAAUGAUGAGUCUAUACAUGUGAAGUGAGUAGAACAAUCAUGGCAAAAUCAAAGUCACUAUGCUAAGACAGGCAAGAUAAUCAAUCAACACAAUCAACAUGGCAAUGUCCUAAACGAAUAUAAUAACUAAGCAUGCAUCAAGGAUAAUGAUAUCAAGAGCUAUCAAUGUGUAAUUAGUAAUCGAGCAAACAAAAGCACAAAAAGAGGUGGAUACCCACUAAUUGACCAAUCAAAUGUCACAUUUGCCUCAUCUUAAGUUCAAGCUUGACCCUUGUGACUCCCCAAUGGAGUCACCAUUUUGUGGACCCCGUAUUUCAACUCAUGCGCUUCCACUAGAUGGUGAGGUCACUUUUUUUAUUUGAAAAUGAUUCAUUUUUUUUUUUAGAAAGUAACUUGGAUUCGCCACUUAUUUUUGUUUUUUUUUAAAGGAAAACAAAAUAAGAAAGAAAACCUUAAGUGUGACUCCUUGUUCGGAAAAGACAAGUCUAUGAAAAAUCGAGUCUGGGUUCGGGGGUCAGGUUACUUAUUGGGAAGGUACGGUGAAAGACCAUAGCAUCCCUCUGAGCCCUAUAAUAAGGUCUCUACUAAAUAAAGUGAAGCAAGUGGGGCAAUUGAUAAGGGAAUCAAUGGAUACCAAUAAAAUAAUCAAACAAUAAAAUGAAUCACGCGUAAAAGUAAGGAAAGUGGGAGUGGGAGCAUACCUUGGCUGCAAUAGUACACUAUCAUGGAAACGGGGUUAGCUCAAGCAUAAAAUCAUCACAUACAUAUCAAAGAGCAAGACAAAUAUCAAGCAAAAUUCAUUAAGCAUAACAAUUGACAAUCAGAAAAGAAAACUCAUAUGUGGGGCCCGCACCAAAGCCCAAUCGAUCUUGCAUGAAUUAAUCUCACAAAUUCCAUUAUUUUGGAAUUAUGAAAAUUGUCUUCGUGCUUAUUAAAAUAGUGAAAAAUGAGAAAAUAAUUAAAAACCAAAUAAGAUCACAAGAAUCAUGCCUGAAUGAAAAAUGGCAGACGUUUAUUAAAAAUAAGGUUUUAGUGAAUCGAAAUUUUAAUGAAAACAAGAAAAAAAAAACAAUAAUAAUAAUAAUAAUGGCAAAUAAAUAAAUAAACGAAUAAAAUAGAGUAAAAUAAUAAAACAAACAAAUAAAUAAUCAUAUGAAAGAUGAAUAAAUAUAAUAAUUAAAUUAGGCGAAUAAACAAAUCAAACAAAUAAAUUUAAAAAAUUUAAAAUCUUUUGAAAGACAAAUUUUGAAAAUAAAGUUUUGAAACUAAAUUGAAAAUUGAAGUUUUAAGAACUAAAUUAGAAAAUUGGAACUUUAGAAAAAUAAUUUGAAACUGGGAGUCAUGAAAAUUAGAACUUGGAAAAAUUAUUUGGGUAUGAGAUUUCUUAAAAAUUAAAUUUGAAAAUUGAAAUUUUGGAAAAUAAUUUGAGAAUUAAAGUUUGGAAAAUUAAAUUUGAAAAUUGGAGUUUUGGAGAUUAAAUUAAGGAAUUGAAGUUUUGAAAACUGAUUUUGAAAUAAAUCGGAGUUUUGAAAAUUAAAUUAUGGAAAUUAGAAUCUUGAAAAUCAUUUGAAGAUGGCAUUUUUAAAAAAAUAAUAAUAAUAAUUAAAAUAAUAAUGAUAAUAAUAAUAAUAAUAAGUAAAUAAAUGUGAAAAUUAGAAUUUUGGAAAUUGGAAAUCAAAUUUGAAGAUUGGAAAAUUGGAAUUUCAGAAAUUGGGAGUUAAAUUUGGAAAUCGGAAUUUUGAAGAAUUAUUUAAAGAUGGAAUUUAAAAUAAAUAAAUAAAUAAAUAAAAACAUAAUAAUAAUAAAAAUAAUAAUGAUUAAAUAAAUAAAUGUGAAAAUUGGAAUUUUGGAAAUUGUAAAUUAAGUUCGAAAAUUGGGAAUUAAAUUUGGAAAUCGGAAUUUUGAAGAAUUAUCUAAAGAUGCAAUUUUAAAAAUAAAUAAAUAAAAUAAUAAUAACAAAAAUAAUAAUGAUUAAAUAAAUAAAUGUGAAAGUUGGAAUUUUGGAGAUUUGAAGUUAAAUUCGGAAAUUGGAAAAUUGGAAUUUUGGAAAUUGGGAAUUAAAUUUGGAAAUCAGGAUUUUGAAGAAUUAUUUAAAGAUUGAAUUUUAAAAAUAAAUAAAUAAACAAUAAUAACGAAAAUAAUAAUGAUUAGACAAGUAAAUGUGAAAAAUGAAAUUUUGGAAAUUGGAAAUUAAAUUUGGAAAUAGGAAUUUUGAAGAAUUAUUUAAAGAUGUGAUAUUAAAAAUAAAUAAACAAUAAUAACGAAAAUAAUGAUGAUUAGAUAAAUAAAUGUGAAAAAUGGAAUUUUGGAAAUUGGAAAUUUAAAAAUAAAUGAAUAAAUAAUAAAAAUAACGAAAAUAAUAAUGAUUAAACAAAUAAAUGUGAAAAAUGGAGUUAUGGAAAAUUAAAUUUGAAAGAAAUUAGAAUUUUGAAAAUUAUUUGAGAGUUUGAAACUUUAAAAAUUAAAUUUAAGAAUUGGAGUUUUGAAAGAAAUUAGAAUUUGAAAAUUAUUUAAGAAUUGGAGCUUGGAAAUUAAAUUUGAAAGAAAUUGGAAUUUGAAAAUUAUUUAAGAAUUGGAGUUUUGAAAAUUAAAUUUGAGAAUCAGAGUUUUGGAAAUUAGGAUUUUGAAAAUUAUAUCUAGAAGUUGAAGUUUGGAGUUUUUAAAAUUAAAUUUGGAGAUUGAAAUUUUGGAAAUUAAAUUUUGACAUAUAUAUAUAUAUAAAAUGAAUAAUUAAAAUGGGAAUGAGAGCUACACGUGAAUGAAAGAGGGUUGGGAGAAAUUUAAGUGGGAGAAAUAAUGAGAGAAAGGAAAAAGUAAAUAAAUGAAUAAAGAAUGGACUUGGUGGUGGAAUGAGUGGAGGUUCUUAAACUUAAUGUCUUUUCAUGGCCCACUUUCCCAUAACUCUUACAGGUUGGAAGGUCUCGAUUGAAUAAUUGAAGUUCCUCAACUCCAUUUUUUGAGUGGUUUGCUGGUAUGCCCAAGAAAAUCAUAGCUGACCAAGAAACCACAUUCCUCUCACGCAUUUCAUCAAACACAUUGCGUGCAUCGUCCAUUCCCCUAAUCUUCCCAUACAUUCCCAUCAAUUCACGGAUCGAGUUUCACUCAUUAAAUAAGCCAAAAAAAAAAACAAGACGUCACCCACAACAAGCAAUUAAACUAAAUAUAGAAAUAAGAAAUGGGUUUUCAAAUGCAGGGGUGGGAACGAAAAACUAACUUUGAAGAACCAAUAAUCUCAUGACAAUAGCAAUGACUAGCGUUCUUGGCAUAUUCUAAAGCUCCAAUUGGGAUCUCAAUACAGAUAUAAAAAGAAUACCUAAGACCCAGAAAUCGUAGAAUAAAAAAAUAUUGGAAACAGGAACCAAAGCUUCAGGGUUCGAAGACUGUACCUCGAUUUCAAUGCAAAGCAACAGCAUAAUUCAGCACAAUCACUAACCCUCCUAUGGUUGUGGCUCGCACAACACCUCCAAAGGUCAAAGUUCACGCAUAAACACAUAUAAAAACAAAGUCAUAACACCAAAACCUCCCAUUCUCACUAACAGUCUCCAAAAAACGCCUUUUUCUUCCUUUAGAAAAAUCUUCCCCUCUUUUCUCUUGUCUUUCCUCCAGUUUUUUUUUUUUUUUCCUUUCCUUUCUUCUUUGGUUCUCCUUCUCAAUAAUCCCCGACUCCAACUGCCUCAGGGCUCUAUAACUAGCAAAAAAUACGCUUCCUAUCUUCUUCUGUCUGAGCUCCCCAAGAAGACUACCCAAGCUCUCUGUAACCCCCCUUCCCCCCCCCCCCCCCCUUUUUUUUUACNNNNNNNNNNNNNNNNNNNNNNNNNNNNNNNNNNNNNNNNNNNNNNNNNNNNNNNNNNNNNNNNNNNNNNNNNNNNNNNNNNNNNNNNNNNNNNNNNNNNUUUUUUUUUUACUCAGUUGUCUCUCCCUUUUCAAACAGCUAUGUUCCCUCUUUUCUCAGUUGUGUCCUCUGUCCCAAACAGCUCGCCCAUUUUUUCUUUUUUGCUUCCCGUCCCCUCACAGCCAAGAGCAGCUCACCCAUCAGCUACUUUCCUUUCACUUCCAUCCUCUUUGGCUGGCCAAGAAACCACUCCUUCUCAGGGUGGCCAGAAAAAUCAUAAAAUAAAAUAAAAUAAAAUAAAACAUCCACAUCUGAGGGGGGUCUAUAGCGAGUUUCACCAUCGAGUGGGAACAUAUUGAGCGAAAAUGUGAGGUCCACACUAAUGUCUUUUUAAAAUUCCCUAAAAAAAUUAUCGAUUUUUCAAGAAAACUCUCCAUGUACACAUGCUCCCACUUUGAAUUUUUCAAUGAGAUUUCGGUUUUACCAAAAUAUUUCCAAUUUUUUUAUCGGUGACCAAUUUCACUUCGACCACAUAUUUCGAAAAAAAUAUAAUGAAAAUUUCAUUCAUUACCAACAACCAAACUAAUACCUACAUUUUUCUCUCUCUCUAAAUCUUGGUAUGGCCAUAGAAAUGAAAUUGAGAUGAGUAUAAUAGCUGAUUUAUCAGGGUUUGCGUUUUUCUUUUUCACUGAAAAUGAAUUGAAUUUGGUGUUCCACUUGGGUUUUGUACACGGGACUUGGACUUGAAGGUUGGAUUUCUAUCACUUUUAUCAUAACACAAAAGAUUUUGAUUUGAAUUAUGAGCUUACAUUCAUGGAUGAGAGAUAAUCAUUGCAUUAUACCAAAAAAAACAUAUCUGAAUUAACAUCAUGCAUUCUUUACUUAUAUUUAUAUUCAGAAUCGUAAGCCCUCAAUCCAUCUAAUGUCUUCUGUUCUUUUAUAUAUAUAUAUAUAUAUAUAUAUAUUACAAAUUUAUCUUCAUCCUAAAACUUUUUUGGCUUAAAAAAUAACUUUUUUUAAUGUACUUUUAACCCAAAUAUGGUAAUGAAUAGUAAACGAAAUGAAUUUUUGAUUCACAUUCCAUAUUCCAUUAAUUUAACCAUUAAACAUUUCUCAUCUUAGAGGAAUAUUGCAAAGCAAAAGUGACAAUUCCAAGCCCAGCCGACAUGGACUGGGUUAGUUUACAAGCCAUGAACCUAAGCUAGGUUAAGCCUAACGUUAAAGCCCAUUUAUAUUUUCGGGUUGGGUUCAACAUACGAAUUUGGGUCCAAACCAACACAAUAUUUCUACAUAAUGGCCCAUUUUGGUUUGAUUAUAUAGUUGGUGCAUGACUUUUUGGCCUUUUUUUUAAUCCCACCAAUUAUUAAAACAAGGUUGAUUGAUCAUAUAAAAACUGGUUUAUUUUGACUAAGAAAAAACAAAAACAACAAAACAUGAUUCAACUUGUGGAGCCCAAGCCCAAGCUCAUUUACAAUAAAUGACCAGUCACUAUUGCUUAAAGAGACUACAAAUUUGAGGCGAAGAUUAAGUUUUGAGUUUGGAUGAUGGAGAAUUGAGGAAAGAAAUAACAAGGAAAAAGAUGAAGAGAUGAGAAAUGUGGAUUAAAUUUACAUGAUUUUUUCAUUUUCUUUUAAAAAUUUAUUUUAUAUAUAUAAAAGAAAAAGAAGAAUUAAAAUUUUUUUCAAAUUUUUUUAAUUUUUUUUAUGUAUAAAGAAUGAAGAAUUUGAAAACACAUAAAUUUUUAAAUAAAUUUUAUUAUAUAUGUGUAGACCCCAAAAUUUGUCCCAAUUUUAUUUUUACAUUAAUUUUGAGUCAAAUUUUGUCUUUAGAUUUUAAAUUCCAAUCACAUAUGUUUUUUUUUUUUUUGCCACUCACCAUCUAAUUAUUAGCUUUUAUUAUUUUGUAUAUUAUUUUAUUUUAUUUUAUUUUAUUACUAUUACUUUUAUUUUAUUAUUAUUAUUACAUUAUUAUUUAUUAUUAUUAUUAUUAUUAUUAUAUUCUAUUUUAUUUUUUAUUUAUUUUUAUUUUUCGUUUCUCUCUCCUCUCUCUUCUUUCAUUCCCUACCUACCCCACCCACUUCCUCUCUCUCCUCCCAUACCUCCCUCAGUCCCAACACCACCGGCCACCAUCCCAUCUUUUUUUUUAAUUUUUUUAUUUUCUUUUUCUUUUUACCUUUUUCUUCCUCAACUAUUCUUAUACUCUUCUCUCUCCCCCCCAAUCCCCUUUGGUCAGCCUCCCACCAUUUUUUCCCCCCAUUUUUUCCAUUCCCAAGAACAGUCGACCCCUCAUUCUUCUCUCCCCCCAUUUUUUCUCCAACCCUUUUCUCUGCCCAAAACACCCACACGGUUGCCCUCAUUCCCCUCUUGUUUUUUUUCUUUUUCUUCUAGCUUCCCCAACACACACAGAGGCAGCCCAUUUUUCUUCUUCCCUUUCUCUUCCAAUUCCCAGCUGUGCUCCCCCAUUUCCUCGCUUCAUUUUUUUUCUCCCCACAGCACACAUGAACUAUGGGCCCCCCUUUUUUUUGCUCCAUUUUUUCUCCUCUCUCUUUCCUUACUCACUUCCACACGGCCGGAGGCCACCAUUUUCUUCUUCCCCAUUUUUCAUUUUUGUUCUCUACCUAAACACCCACUUGUAGAGACACCAACCGUCCCAUUUCUUCUCCUCCAUUUUUAUUUUUUAUUUUUUUAUUAUCUUCCUUUUUAUUAUUAUUAUUAUUAUUAUUAUUAUUAUUAUUAUUAUUAUUUUGUUUUUGUUUUUUAAAAAAAAACCAUCAACUCUCAUUGCCGCAGACAAGACAACUGGCCAGUCGCCGUCAGCGAGCCACUACCGACAGGCGACCCUUUCUCUUUUCUCUCAUUUUCUCAUCAUAAACAUUUAUUAUUAUUAUUAUUAUUAUUAUUAUUAUUAUUAUUAUUGAUUUGUACAGUGAUGGUUUGUGAUUUUAGGUUUAAUUUAUUUAGUUAUUCAUUUAUUAAAUUGAGUUUGGUUUUGAUUGUGAAUUGGGUUAGCAUAUAUUGGGCUUAAUUUUGGUUGUGAAUUUGGGUUUUUUUAUUAGAUUAGGUUUGAAUUAUGAGAUAUUAAAUUUAGGCCUAAUUAGAUUUAUUUUGAUUUAUUGUAUUUGGGCUUGAUUGAUUAUGUUUGUAUUUUGGUAAUUAACUGGGAAAUUUUUUUAAUAUGGUUAUUGGCAUGGGGAUAUUUUUGUUAAGUUAUAUUUGUUAAUUUGGGCCCAUUUUUAAUUGGUGAAAUUUAUGGGACUAAUUUGAAAUUUGAAUUUGUGUUAUUUUUGUUUUGCAUGGACCUAUUUUGCAAUUCUAUUGGCUGAGUACGAAUUGAUGACAUGUGGAACAUGGAAUUUUAUGAAAGAAAGUGAGAUUGAAAAAGUUGUCAGAAGACAUUGAGCUUGUUUUUUGCAUGGACCUAUUUUGCAAUUCUGUUGGUUGAGUACGAAUUGAUGACAUGUGGAGCAUGAAAUUUUAUGGAAGAAAGUGAGAUUGAAAAAGCUAUUAGAAGAUAUUGAGCUUGUUGUAAGUUUAUUUUGGUACAUGUUUUAUUUUCCAUUUUUAUUGGUUUUAUUUUUAUUAGUUCUUGUAAAUAUUGGUUCGUAUAUAUUUAUAAAGCAUGUACAGAAUUGAACAUCGAACAAACUAGAAAUUUUGUUUAAAUGAGGGGAAGAAUUCAAUAAAUAUGUUUUAAUAAAAUAAAAAUUUUAAAAUAUUCUUUUUAAAUAAAAGAAAUAUUUUUUUAUUAUUAAUAAAAAUUCAUAAAAAUCCUUUUAUGAAUUUGAAAAUUUGUUUUUAAUAAAAUUGUCCAAAAAUUUCUUUGUUUAAUAAAAAUUGUUUUGUAAAUAAAGUUGAACCCAUAAUAUGAGUGAGAUUUGUUGGAUGACUUGAAUAUUUUAUAUGAGUAUGGCUAUUUUGAACUUUUUAAUUUGGGCAUGAGACAAUUGUGGUGUAUAUUAAAUUAGGUUUGGAUCAUGGAAUAUUAAAUUUAGGCAUAAUGAGAUUUAUCUUAAUUUAUCAUGUUUUGAGUUUGAUUAAUUAAGCUUAUGUUUUGGCUAUUAAUUUGGAAACUUUAUAUUAGGGUCUAUGAUAUGUGUGAUACUUUUGUGGGGUUAUAUUUGUUAAUUUGGGCCCAUUUUUAAUUGGUGAAAUUUAUUGGACUAAUUUAAAGUUUGAAUUUGUGCUUGAAUAAUUAUUUUGGACUCUACAUAUUUUUGGAUGUUUACAUUUGUGCUAUUUUUGUUUUUGCAUGGACCCAUUCUGCAAUCUUGUUGGUCGAGUACGAAUUUAUGAUACGUGGAGCACAAAAUUUCAUGGAACAAAGUGAGAUUUGAAAAGCUGUAAGAAGACAUUGAGCUUGUUGUAAGUUUAUUCGAGUACAUAUUUUAUUUCUCACUUUUAUUUGGUUUUAUUUUUGUUAGUUCUUGUAAAUAUUUGUUUGUACAUAUUUAUUGAGUGUGUAUAGAAUUGAAUAUCGAACAAAUCAGAAUUCUGUUUAAAUAAGAGGAAUAAUUAAGUAAAUAUGUUUUAAUAAAAUAAUAAUUUUAAAAUAUUCUUCUUAAUAAAAGAAAGUUUUUUUUAUUAAUAAAAAUUCAGAAAAAUGUUUUUAGAAAAUUCCAAAAAAUUGUUUUUAAUAGAAUUUGAAAAUUUAUUUUUAAUAAAAUUGUCCAAAAUUUUCUUUUUUUAAUAAAAAUUGUCCAAAAAUUGUUUUGUAAAUAAAGUUGUCCCAAAAAUUAAUUUUUAAUAAAAUUGUCCAAAAAAUGUUUUUUUAAUGAAUUAUUUUUCCUUAAUUAAAAUGGGAUUAAAAGUAUUUUUUAGAAAUGGAGGAUUUAAAUUUUUUUUCUUUUCUUUUUAAUUAAAAAUUCUUUUGUAAAUAAAGUUAUUCUUUUUAAUAAUUUGUAUAAGUUACUCUUUUUAAAUGAAAACAAAUUGAAAUACUUUUAUAAAUAAAAUUGUAAAAAUUCAUUCUUUUUUUGUAAAAAACAAGUGAAAAUAAUUUUUGUACCCAAAUUGAAAUUUUAUAAUAAAUUAUUUUGAUACAAUAAGUGUAAAUAAUUUUUUAUUUUUUAUUUUGAAAAUUGAAUAUAAAUGAAAUUGAAAAAAUAAAUUGAUUCUUUUUUUUGUAAAUAAAUAAAUUGAAAUCAUUAAUUCAAAAUCAUUUUUAAUAAAAUCCUUGAAAUUUCUUGAAAACUAUUUUAUUUUAUUUUAUUUAGUUCAAUAAAUCAUUUUUGCAUAAUCCUUUUGUCAUUUAUUUUGUGUAUUCUGGUAAUUAGAUUUCAUCAAUUUUUUUUUUUUAUUGAUUUUCACUAUGACUUGUACAUACUCAUUUGCAUGAUUAUUUUCCUUGGUAUCCAUAAUUAAUUAAUUAAUUGUCACAAUUCCUUCAAUUCGAUUAGUAGAGUCCGUAUGUAUACAGGCUUAGAGGGGUGCUACGACUCACCACCGUACCUUCCCAAUAAGUAACCUGACCCCCGGACCCAGACUUAGUUUUUCACAGGCUUGUUUUUCCUUCAGGAGUCACACUUAGGGUUUUUCUUUCUUAUUUUGUUUUCCCUUUAAAAAAUAAAACAAACAUAAGUGGCGACUCCAAGUCUUUUCCUAAAAAUCAUUUUUUUCACCAAAUAAAUAAAAAAGUGAGUCACGCCGUCAAGUGAAAACGUACGAGAAAAUGCAGGGUCCACAAUAUGAUUUUUUUAUCAUAUUUUUCAUGAUAAACUAAACAAAAGGUUUUGGAUAUCUUUUUUUAUUUGCUUAUUUUCUUUAGUACUUGUAAUAUAGAGAGAAUAUAAGACUUUUUUUAAAUCUUGUAAAGUUUGAGGAAAAAUUUAAAAAGAAAAAAAUAGACAGAAAAUUGGAAGGAAUGAAAAGUAUAAUAAAGAAAAUAAAUAAAUUUAAACUCAAAGUAUUUUCUUACAUACUUUUAAAAUUUAUUUUCAUUUUUUUCCUCCUAUACAAAAAAAUGAACGUUAUGUUUGGUUCUUGGAAAGUAUUAAGGAAAAAAAUAUUAAGGAUAAUGAUUUUCUUCUGUUUGAUUUUAUUAUGAAAAAUAUCAAAGAAGCCUAUAAAAAAAAUAAUUUAUUUGUUUUGAAUUUAUUUUUUAUUCUUCGUUACUUUCUUUUUUCCUUUCACUUUUCCUUCUUAUUUUCUUUCCUUUACAUUUUUUCUUAAAUUUUUCAAGAACCAAACAUGGCCGAAAAUUUUGAAAAUGUAUAAAUUUCAAAAUAGUUUUUAUUUAUUUAUUUAUUUAUUUAUUAUUAUUAUUAUUAUUAUUAUUAUAUAUUUGUACUUUUUAUGAUAAAUCAAAUAAAAUUUUUCAAAUUCUUUUUUUUUUUCCUUUCCAUCCAUGUUUUUCUUGACGGGAACCAAAUAAAAUUUACUUUGAUACUUCUUUCUACGCCCACCAAAAAGGAGCGUAAAGGGCUAGUAUAAUUUUUCAUGCAAGUUUUGACACUUUAUCAAAGUAAAAGAAAAAAAUAUGAAAGAAAAAAAAAAGAAAAAAUUGUGGUAGUUGAGAGGAGGAAAGGAGGGUUAGAGGAUAGUUUUGACUUUUGAGUCCAUAUUUUUUGGUUUAUUUUUAAAAAAAUAUAUGUACUUUAAAAGUCAAAAUUCAAACUUAAAAAUUUAAAAAAAAAAAAAAUUAACAAGACUUGAGCUAGUUUGUUUUUUUUUUUUCUCUUUCCUUUUCAUUUUCUUAUGUUUACACACAAGAAAAUGAUUUGAUACAAUUUCUCAAUCCAAUUUGAUUUUAUUUACAAAAAAAUAAUUUUUACAACUCUUAUUUGAAAAAUUAUUUUUACAAUUUUGAUGAUAAAAAAAUAUAUAAAAAAGAUUAGUAAUAAAAUCAAACUAGUGUGUAAUACAAAUAAACAUAAAAUUAUUGUUAGCUGUAUAUAUUUGUACUUACCAUAAUUAAGUUGUUUCCUUAGGGAUAAUACCUUCCUAAUUUAGGACUCUCAAUUGUGUGUGUAUAUAUAUAUAUAUGAGUAUUAUUCCUCUAAUAAAAAUACAGGGAAUUGAGAAAUACCUUUGUUGAUUUACAUAGUAUUAGGGCCUUUGGCUCAAAUUCUGGGUUUGUUAUUUCUGAGUCUCUGAUUUCCAGUGACAUUCUGCCAUUCUAUGUUCUUCUUGGGUCACGGAAUAAAAGUGACCUGGUAGUGUCACUACCUUUAGAUGGGAGAAGCAAGGUGUCAAAAUCGGUCAGUACUCGAAGUCCUGCAACCGGAAGCUAAAUAUGUGAAGCUCAUGACUGAGAAGCAGGACCCGUCAACUCACGCGUCGGCACGUGGAGGAGAGUAGCAGCUUCUUUUGACCUCUGACUAGUUCCAUUGGCGUCGCAAUCCCGUUUUCCGGCCAGGGUGAUCUCAUUCUUGGAUUGUGAGAUUAUGUUCUUGGGACGCGUCGACGAAGUUCCUCGUUUCCUUUGAAUGAUCAAAUUUGUCAUUUACAUCCACCUUCUCUUCUCUCAACUUCACCAUUGCAACCAAAAUUUCUCUCUUCCAUCUUUGAUCAGCUCCCUUCGCUAGAAAAUCACGACGUCGAUCGAGGGAUCGUGACGAUUCAUCGGCGAUUACAGAAUCGCAUAGCUUUUCGAGAAGGAGUGAGAAACAUGAAGGAAUCCUUACCCUCGCUGUUGUUACUUCACCGGAGUAAAUCUUGGAACCUCCACUACUUCGACGCCGAUCCAGUCGAACUGCUCUUCUUAGAAACCUGGUUGAUCUGAGUUUCUCGCACACUCCUCUUCGCCCACCUUGGCCACCACAUCGGCAAUCCAUUUUCCCUCACAAAUUUCGAGGUGAGAAAGAGAGGGAGUCAAGGGUUUUAUAAUUGCUACGGCAGAAAUGGGGAAAGAAAAAUUAUAAAUGAGUUAACGUUUUUGAUGCCUUCUUGUAAGAGAGGUACUUGUCUCUUUCUUUCUUCUUGCUGUGGUGAAUUGCAAUUUCUGGUCUGGGUUGCUCUUAUCUGGGUGUAAAAUUACUUUGGAGAUUGAAUUUUAUUGCCAUGGAAGAGAACAAGAAUUUUGUUGCUGAUAUAGUGCUUGUUGUGUCAAAAAUAACUGAACACAAAUUAAAUGAGUCUAAUUAUAUUGAAUGGAGCAAGACUAUCAAAAUUUAUCUGAGGAGUGUUGCUAAAGAUGACCACUUGACUGAGGAACCUCCUAAUGAUAACACUAGAAAACUUUGGAUGCAAGAUGAUGCACGAUUAUUUAUGUACAUUAAAAAAUCUAUUAAUAGUGAUAUUAUUGGUCUGCUGAGUCAUUGUGAAUUUGUUAAAGAGUUAAUGGAUUAUCUAGAUUUUCUUUACUUUGGAAAAGGAAAUGUAUCUCGGAUGUAUGAUGUAUGGAAUGCCUUCCAUUGUCUUGAAAAAUGAGCUAAAUCCCUCACUGCAUACUUUAUGGACUUCAAGAAGGUAUAUGAGGAAUUGAAUGCACUUAUGCCUUUCAAUCUGGAUGUUAGAGUACAACAGGCUCAACGGGAACAGAUGGUUGUUAUGAGUUUCUUAUCAGGUCUCUCAUCUGAGUUUGAGACUGCAAAAUCUCAUAUUCUUUCUAGUUCUGACAUUGGUUCCCUUUAAGAAGUUUUCAAUAGAGUUCUAUGAACUGAGAAUAUCCCAUCUUCUUAGCAUACCAAUGUUCUUAUUGCAAAAGGAGGAAAUGCAGAGAAUGCAAGGAGGGUGAAUAACAAGGGCAAAAACAGGGCAUUUGAUAAUCGUGGCAAUGAUUCAAGUACCAUUGUGUGUUUUUACUGCCAUGAGGCUGGCCAUACCAAGAAGAACUGCAAGAAAUUCCAUAAUCGGAAUCGGAGAAAUCAAACUGCCAAUGUUGCUACAUCUGAUACUGCUACAUCUUCAAACUCCUCAGACAAGAUCAUCACAAUGACAGUGGAAGAGUUUGCUAAAUAUUCACAGUAUCAAGAAGCACUAAAAGCAUCUACUCCUGUUAGUGCUUUGGCAGAGUUAGGUAAAACAUGUCUUGUCUCCUCCUCAAACAAAUGGAUAAUUGAUUCAGGCACCAAAAAUCAUAUGACAGGUAAUCAUAAAACUUUCUCUACCUUCAUAACACAUUCUACUUCUUCUAUUACUGUUGCUGAUGGUUCUACCUAUGAUAUUAAAGGGUCUGGGACUGUGAAAUCAACAUCUUCUAUUACGUUAUCUUCUGUGUUAAACUUACCAAAUUUGGCCUUUAACUUAAUCUCUGUCAGUAAACUUACCAAAAAUUUGAAUUGUAGUGUCUCAUUUUUCCCUGAUCAUUGUGUGUUUCAGGAUCUUAUGACGAAACGGACAUUUGGUAAAGGACAUGUAUCUGAUGGGCUCUAUAUUCUUGAUGAGUGGGUACCUCGACCAGUUGUGUGUGUCAGUACUGCCUCUCCUAUUGAAGCUCAUUGUCGGUUAGGACAUCCUUCUUUACCAGUGUUGAAGAAAUUAUGUCAUCGGUUUGAUAAUUUACUUUCAUUAGAUUGUGAGUCAUGUCAUUUUGUGAAGCAUCAUCGUAGUUCUUUAUGCCCAAGGAUUAAAAAACAGGCUGAGUCUUUGUUUGAGUUAGUACAUUCUGAUGUUUAGGGUCCUUGUCCUAUUACUUCUAAAACUGGGUUUCGAUAUUUUGUUACCUUUGUGGAUGAUUUUUCUCAAAUGAAUUGGAUUUAUUUUAUGAAGAAUCGUUCAAAAGUAUUUUCACAUUUUUGUGCAUUCUCUGCUGAGAUUAAAACCCAAUAUGAUGUGUUUGUGAAAAUAUUAAGAAGCGAUAAUGGAAAAGAAUAUGUGUCUAACUCAUUUCAGAACUACAUGAGUCACAAUGGGAUUCUUCACCAAACAUCUUGUGUUGAUACUCCUUCUCAAAAUGGGUUGCUGAAAGAAAAAACAAGCAUUUACUUGAGAUGGCUCGUGCACUCAUGUUUCAGAUGAAGGUUCCGAAACAAUUUUGAGUUGAUGUAGUUUCCACAGCUUGUUUUCUGAUCAACCGUAUGCCUACUGUAGUGCUUAAAGCUGUUAUUCUGUACAAAGUAAUACAUCCACAUAUAUCACUCUUUCCAAUUGAACCAAGAAUUUUUGGAUGUACAUGCUAUGUUAGAGAUACAAGGCCUUUUGUUACUAAACUUGAUCCUAAGGCGUUAAAAUGUGUUUUCUUGGGGUACUCAUGACUGCAAAAGGGCUAUAAAUGUUUCUCGAUUGAUCUCAAUAAGUAUCUAGUAUCAACGGAUGUUGGUUUUCAGAAGACACAUCUUUUUUCUCUUCACCCAUAAGUUCUGCAAGUGAGGAGGAGGAUGAAGAAUGGCUUGUGUAUCAAGUGGUUAAUUCAAGACCAACUGUUGGGCAAUCAGGUGUGGUUGAUUCUAAUGCAUCUCUUGCUCAUUUGGGUACUGUUGUUGAUGUUCCUCCUACUCCAAUCAAACCACCAAUUAUACAGGUGUACUCUCGGCACCUAAUGACAACAGAUACAUGUCUUGCACCAGCUCCUUCGUCAUCUGAUCCUUCUAGUGAUCUCGACCUUCCCAUUAGACUUCGAAAAGGUAAACGACACUGCAAAUCUACCUAUUCCAUUGCUAACUUUGUGUCUUAUGAUCACCUGUCAUCUUCCUCGAGUGUUCUUAUAGCCUCUAUAGAUUCUAUUUCAGCACCUAAAACUAUUACAGAGGCCCUGAAUCAUCCUGGUUGGAAGAAUGUAAUGCUUGAAGAAAUCUAUGCAUUGGAGGACAAUUAUACAUGGAAACUUGUUGAUUUGCCUCAAGGAAAGAAAGUUGUUGGCUGCAAGUGGGUCUUUUUGGUAAAAGUUAAUCCUGAUGGCUCUAUGGCAAGACUGAAAGCCAGGCUUGUAGCUAGAGGAUAUGCUCAGACAUAUGGAGUAGACUAUUCUGAUACUUUCUCUCUAGUUGCCAAACUAAAUUCAGUUUGACUAUUUAUUUAUAUUGCUGCUUCCCAAUAGUGGAUGAUAUAUUAGUUAGACAUCAAGAAUGUUUUUCUUCAUGGUGAUCUAGAAGAAGAAGUCUAUCUAAAGCAACCUCCUGGGUUUGUUGCUUAGGGGGAGUAUGGAAAGGUUUGUUGUUUGAAAAAAGCUCUCUAUGGAUUGAAGUAGAGUCCCCGUGCUUGGUUUGGAAAAUUCAGUAAGGAGAUUCAAGCAUUUGGCAUGAACAAGAGCAAGAAAGAUCAUUCUGUUUUCCACAAGAAAUCAGCUACUGGUAUCAUACUUCUUGCGAUUUUUAUCGAUCAUAUAGCUAUUACAGGAAAUGAUCAUGCAGGAAUCUCUGAUCUUAAGGCAUUCAUGCAUUCCAAGUUUCAUACAAAGGACUUGGGUGAACUGAAGUAUUUCCUGGGAAUAGAAGUAUCAAGGAGCAAGAAAGGGAUGUUCUUAUCACAGAGGAAGUAUGUGCUUGAUCUGCUUAAAGAGACUAGUAAGACAGAAGCAAAUCCAUCCAAAAACGAAUGAUUUGGAAUAUAAAAUGAUAGCAUUCAUUAGGAACAUGUUAAAUUAGGAAAACUACAAAUAUAAAUAUUGUUUACACUUAUAAAAUGAUAAAUACUUAUAAUAUUUUGACAAAAGAACUAUUUUCUAUAUUCUGGAACUACUUACAGAGUUCAAUCAAGUGUGAAUAUUACAUGGAUUGGUUCCUAAUGUACAGCUUAUGCUAGAUGAUGGAGAUCCCUUCUACAACCCUGAGAUAUUGGAGGGUGGUUGGGAAGCUGAAUUAUCUCACUAUGACGCGACCAGAUAUUGACCAGAUAUUACAUAUGCAGUAAGUGUUGUUAGUCAGUUCACAUCUGCGCCUACAAUAAAGCAUUGGAUAGCUUUAGAGCAGAUUUUGUGCUAUCUAAAGAAGGCUCCUGGUCUAGGCAUACUAUACAUUAGUCAGGGACACACUCGCAUUGAGUGUUUUUUUUAUGCGGAUUGGGCAGGUUCUAAGUUUGAUAGAAGAUCCACUACAGGUUAUUAUGUGUUCUUUGGUGGGAAUCUAGUGGCUUGGAAAAGUAAGAAGCAGAGUGUUAUAUCCCGUUUGAGUGCAAAAUCUGAGUAUAGGGUCAUGGCACAAGCUACUUGUGAAAUCAUAUGGAUACAUCAACUCUUAGGUGAAGUGGGAAUGAAGUGCACAAUGCUAGCGAAGCUUUGGUGUGACAAUCAAGUCGCUCUUCAUAUUGCUGCGAACCCAGUCUAUCAUGAAAGAACCAAACACAUUGAGGUCGAUUGUCACUUUAUUCAUGAAAAGAUUGAGGAAAAUCUAGUCUCUACUGGCUAUGUGAAGACUGGAGAGCAACUUGGGGAUAUUUUUAAAAAAGCUCGAAAUGGAACUCGAGUUGAGUACUUUUGUAAAAAGCUGGGCAUGAUCAACAUCUAUGCUCCAGCUUGAGGGGGAGUGUUAGCUGUAUAUAUCUAUACUUACCAUAAUUAAAUUGUUUCCUUUGGGAUAAUACCUUCCUAAUUUAGGACUCUAAAUUAUAUAUAUAUAUAUAUAUAUAUAUAUAUAUAUAUAUAUAUAUAUAUAUAUGAGUAUUAUUCCUCUAAUAAAGAUACAAGGAAUUGAGAAAUACCUUUGUUGAUUUACAAUUAUAAUAAUAAUAUUGAAUGUUCAAUAAAUGAUCACCUAAUUGAUGAUUACCCAAAAGAAACAUCGACUAAAUGGUCACCUUUGACAAUAUCUUAUUUUCCCAGUUAUUGUCUCUCCUUUAUAAUGUUGACUUUUAUUUUCCCUGUCAUUGUCCCCUUAUAUGUCAUUGUCUCCUCAUAUCCUUUAGAAAAAAAUUAGUAACAUCAUCAAACUAUGAAGUAAUACAAACAAGACAUAAGAUAUAAGAUAAUAAUAAAUAGUCAAUAAAUGAUCCCUAAUUGAUGACUGUAAAAAAGAAAGAUAAUUCUUUUUUACAAUUGUGGAUAACAAUAUCAUUAUCUUCCUCACAUUCUUCACUUAUUUUCCCUCUCAUUUUCUCCUCACAACCUUCUCCCAAAAAUAUUAGUAAUAAAAUUAAACUAGUAUGUAAUACAAAUAAACAUAAGAUAAUAAUAAUAAUGUGACAAAUCUGCAGCUGAUGGCCUAUUUGGAAAAGGUGCUUGAUGGAGGAAUGCACCAGUCUUCAGUUGCCGCAUGCCCAUUUCCGUUUGGCAUUUUGAAACUUGUGUUUCGACAACUCAAACGGAACUAAAGGCAGAUCCCCUCAAGUCCGAUGGUGGAAAAGGUGCUUGAUGGAGGGAUGCACCACCGUUUUCCGUUUGUCAUUUGGCCCCAUGCCCAUUUCCGUUUGGCAUUUUGAAACUUAUUUUUCGUCAACUCAAACGAGAACUAAAGGCAGAUCCCCUCAAGUCCGAUGGGGUGGUUCAGUUUGUCUCAUUGCGAUAAAUAAUACACCACCUGAAGCUUAGCCAUUCACAGGAAAUUCAUAAUGCCAAGAACACAGCAGAAGAAAUCGCUAUGGACCCCAGAUGAAGACAAUAAGCUUAAAGAAUUUAGGCGCAAAUACCCCAAUCUAUCUUGGCCAGCUAUCGCAAAGCAGGCAGAGCUGAACAGGACUGGUAAGAGUUGUUGGGAGAGGUGGGAGAACAAUCUGAAUCCUGAUAUCAACAAAGAUAAAUUCUCCCGAGAGGAAGAUGACAUCAUCAUCCAGCAAAUGUCGCUUCCUCAGAAUAGGUAAUGAGAAUCAUCCACAUAUUUUUCCAUUAUCAUAUGAUAAUGAUAUGAUUGAGUCUGAGGUGGAGUUCCUGUGUUGUGUUGUUUGCAGCUGGGCAUCUAUGGCAAAAAAUGAUCUUCGUGGGCGAGCUGCUAAUGCUAUCAAGAACCGGUGGAACCACCGCUUGAAGAAGAGGCAUGCGACUAUAAGUGACCUCAGGCGAUACCUUCUCUACCUAGAGGAACACCUCAUGGAUGAUGAGGCUAGUGAUCACUCUGUCCGGGGAGAUGACCUUGAGGCUUUGAUGGUCGAGAUUGCUUCCUUGAUUCCCAACAUUGAUCCAAAUCAGACUAGCGAUCACUCUGUCCGGGAAGAUGACCCUGAGGCUUGGACGUCCAGCCCUACUGAUUUGAGUCCCAACCAUCAUCCAAAUGCAAUUCGUUCAAUUAUGGACACAUACACCAGCUGAAGAAAUAGCCAAAUUAUGGAUAAUCAGACAAAUCGAAAGUAUAUGUUUUACAUGUCUUUGGGUGUCAUAUAUAUAUAUAUGCUUGUUGCAAAAUAAGCAUCAUCUUGUCCAUGGUGAUGAAUCCAUGCAGCUUAUAAUAAAACUGUGUUUUGUAUUAUGCUUAUCAGGGUUUGUAGGUUGAUUUCUGAGUAUUGAGCAGUCUUCUCAUAUGAUGAUAAUGCUAAAUCCUCUCAUCAUCUACUGCAUCAACUCCAUUCUCCAAUUUUCUUACUUUAACUCUUUUGAAAUGACCUUUAAUCACAUAAUUCAACCGUGGAGUAUAUAAUUAGGUUUUAUUUUUUUUGUCUAAGAAAGAAAUAAUAUAGCAUAACCAAUGAGGAAAAUGUCAGGAUAUAUCGGCGAUAUAUCAACUCCAUUCUCCAAUUUUCUUACUUUUAACUCUUUUGAAAUGACCUUUAAUCACAUAAUUCAACCGUGGAGUAUAUAAUUAGGUUUUAUUUUUCUUGUCUAAGAAAGAAGUAAUACAACAUAAACAAGGAAGAAAAUGUCGGGAUAUAUCAGUAAUAUAUCGUGUCGACAUAAUAUUUUGUGGAGAAAAAUCGAAGAGGAUCGCCGAUUUAAUGGAAAAAAACGGCCUAAAAGGAAGAAAAUCAUCGAUAUUUCGACUGGUCAACAUCGGUCAAUGCGCCACAAUGCUCCACUACAGUGCACCCUCAAAAAUGUCUCUUUUUUGUGCCAUUGAGGGGAUUCAAACCCCAAACAAAAGGUUUGGAAUUCAGCUCAUCAAACCACGAAGGCAAACUUGCCCUUUAUUAAAUGUAUUGCAUUAAAAAUAUAUAUUCAAAGUCAUCAUGUAAAGAAAAUUUUAAAAGAAUAUUUUAGAGAGCAAAUUAAUUAUAAUUAUUGUAUAAUUAAAUACAAAAAUUUAUUUUAAUUGAUUGCCAAAAAUAUAAAAAUUAUCAUAAUAAUUUUCUUCAUAGUGUUUUUAAUAUCAUUAAUAAAUUAAUUAAAUAUUAAAAAAUUGUACAUAUAUCAUAAUUUAUUUUAUAUCAUUUAAUACAAUUGAAUUAAAUGGAUCAUAAUUUUAAUAUUAAUAUAUAUUUUUAAGUUAGACAUAUUAUAAUCAAAUAUCAUAAUAUUAUUAUGAAAUAAUAUUUGAUAUAAUUUAAUAAUAAAUGUACACUUAUAAAAUUUAUAUUUUUAUUGAUGCAUACAAUAUUAUUAUCAAAAUUAUCAAAUAUGAUAAAUUAUAUUAAACAUAUAUCAAAUUCUUUAAUAAAACAACUUUAAAAUAUCUAUUAUACUUCUAAUUACAUUUUUAUGAAGUUUUUCUUAUAUUUUUAUAAAUUUUGAUCAAUUUUAGGCUUAUCAAUAUUUUUUUUCAAAAUAUCUAUAAAAUUGAAGUACUAUUAUAUCUGUGAUUACUGAUAUUUGCAUUUUUUUAGCAUAACUAAUUAAUAUAAAGGCAAUUGGUUUACACAUCUACAAUCCAAUCUCCCACCAAGAUUUUGAAAUGAUCAAUUCUACGCCCUAGGGCAGUCUAUUUCAAUUGCCUUGCACAAAGCUUGCACCGAGACAAUAAUAUUAUUCCACAGUUGAUCGUUUUGAUUGGCAUUUGGCCCCACUUUUGUUUUCUUCCUAUCUUGAUUGUCCACAAUUAGCCAAACAUGUCCUUGACUCAACUAUUCUUUACCUAUUAGGAAAGAAUCGAUCUCACCCACAGUAGUUGAUUUUACUAAUUUUCUUUAAGACAAUUGUUUUUUAAAAAAAAUAAUGAGAUAAAUAUGAAGAAUAAUUAAAACCCACAUUAGUUGAUUUUUUUUAAAAUAAUAAUAAUAAGAUAAAUAUGAAGAAUAAUUAAAAUAAAAUAUUAUAUAUAAAAUUUAUUUUUAUAAAAUAUUUGAAAACAUAGAAAAUAAGUUAAAACCAUUCUAAAUUCUUAAAUAAGUUUUUGCUCUAGUAAACAUUAAAAAAUAUUAUUCAAAACUAUUUUCAAAAACCAUUUUUUAAGAAUAAUUUUCAAAACCUUCCCAAGCAUACCCUAUUUCUUCCAAACUAGGUUCCGAUAAUUUGAAUCUUUCAUCUCCAUGGACUUGGUUUGCAUGCAACAGACGCUCCUAGUCUUCCUAAUCUUGAAGCACCCAGUUUUAAUUCCUACUAUACUUUUUUCCCCCUAAUUGUUUAAAUUACUUCAACUUUUCUAAAAAAGUUGAAGUGAAAGAACAAACCUUUUAAGACCCAGAAAUGUUUGGUAGGUUUUAUCCAUUUUACACCAAGCUGUAAAUCUAAAUAUUGCCACCAUCGGCUUUUUUUUUCUUUCCUACUUUUCAGGAAUCAAACAAUGCAUUAAUCUAGGAAGCUCUCCCAAACAUGGCGUAGGAACCUCUACCCAAAAAGAAUAAUUAUAUGCUAUACCUAAAAGCUGGAAUUUCACCUACUAUUCUCAGGGGAAGCAUCCAUGUGUGACACGUGGCUUCCUUUUUCUUUAUUAAUAUUAAAUCAAAUAAUUUUUAUUAAUUCUAUUUUAUUUACAAAAUUUUAAUAUUAAAUUAAAAAUUUUAAUUUAAAUGUAAAAUAAAUUUCAUGAUAUGCAUGUCCUUUAUAUAACACACUUGAUGCGUAGUACUUAAAAAAUCUAUUACAAUGCAAUAUGUAUAAAUUAUUGACAUGACAUUUAAUGAAAUUAAAUACCUAAUAUAGAUUAAUAUUAAGUAUAUACUUAAAAAAUUCAUAUUUCUUAUCAACACAUAAAAUAUUAUUGUCACAUAUCACAUAUUAUAUCAUAUAUAUAUAUAUAUAUAUAUAUAUAUAUAUAUAUAUAUAAUUUUUUUCACCAAAACAAUUUUAAUAUAUGUAUUAUUAUUUUUUGGGAUAACAUAUUAAAAGGGAUAAAAUUCCUUCAAUAUUGCAAAACUAACCUUCCACUUUUAACAGCCUCCAAAAUGACCCAAUUUGGACAAAAAUACCCCUUAGCUACUUCACCCCAUUUUCCCCUCCCACUCUAAUUUUAUUUCCCUCAUUCCUCCUUUUUUUUUUUUUUUUUUUUUUUUUUUUUUUCAUUUUCUCUUGUUAUUCCCAUUUCUCUCUUUUCAACACAUUUCUUCAAAUUUCACACAAUUUCUCUUCAAAUUUCUUCAACUUAAAGUGCUUAAAGUUGUAACUAGAUAAAUAGUGCUUAAAGUUAUGGUUUGAUCAACAAUGUACGUUUUUUUUUUUCCAUAUUUUUUUCUUUCAUGUUUAAUUUAUUGAAUAUUUUCAAACAUUUAAUGAGAUGUAGUAAAUAUUUAAAUAAGUUUGAAAUUGUUAUAAUUUUCGUAAUAUCAUUUAUAGCGAUGAAAAAAUGGGUUAAAUGAAAGAAACGAUCAACUUAAAAAGUGUAGUGUGGAGAAACAUUGUCCAUAUGGAAAGAUCAAAUGAUGGUAAGUAAUAAAACUUAUGAAAUUUUAUGAUGGUUUUAGUAUUGUUUGCAUAUUUGUUCUUUAUAUAGAUGUAAAUAUAUGUGUUAACAGGGUUUUGAUAUAAUAUAUAAAGUUAGCUUUUUUUAGUUAUAUACCAAAACUUUACGGAUAUUAAGUUGAACUUGACGUAAGUUAAGAUUAUAUAUAGUUAUUUUAUAGUAACAUAAUAUUAUUGUUAUUUUAUUUAAUUAUACUCGAUUUGAGUUGAACCAUUUGAAAAUUACCCUUGACAUUAAUGAAUUAUAGCAUAACCAAUUUUUUAGUAAAUAAAUAUAUUUUUUAUUGUUAAAAACAGUUGAGAGUUACAAUAUCUAAAUUUAUUUAAUAACUAUAAACAUUAUAUUUCUAUAGCAUUAUUGGUAUUAUUUGAGGUUGUAAAGAUGAUUAAUAAUAUUAUUUAUUUUUGUUUAUUAAAAAUAAAUAAAUGUGUAAUGAAAUAGUAUGUAUUUAAUAAUGAAUGAGUUUUUUAAAAUUAAUACCUACUUAUUGAUGGUAAUACUAUGAUGUAACUAAAAAAAUAUUCUAAUAAUAUAUGUUGAUGACAAUAAUUGAAUUAUUUUGUUAUUUCAAUGGUUGAUGAAGUAAGAAUAAUGCUUUUAUAUGAAGAAGAAUGGGUAUAGGAUGGAAAUGCUUUCUAUUUUGAAGGAAGUAAAGGUAAAGGCAUUGAGGUCCUGAAAACUAUAUCAUAUAAAGAGUUAUUAAGAGUUGUCUGUCAUAUUCUGAAGUUGGAUCCAACAAAUUGUUCUCUUUCAAUGAAGUAUGUAUUCAAUGCCAACAUACCCACAAGUCCUAUACAACUAACUAAUGAUGGGGAUGUGAAAUUCUUUAUUAGUUUAAAUUGUACAAAUGGUAAGCUGCCUGUUCCAUUGUGCAUCACAAUUGAAAAGAGAAUCGAUAAUCACAGUCAGGAAUCAAUUUGCAAUUUUUAUUUCGAAUACCAUAUGUCUUCUAAGAUUGAUAAAGAAUUGAACGGGGACUCAACAUUGAUGCAUAAAAGUAGACACAUUCAUUGUGAGUCAAUUGAAACUCUUAUUGUUGAUGGUGAAAAUGGACCAAAAUUUCAAAAUGAGUCACUUGAAGGGUAUAAAGUUCAUGAUUGGAACAUAAAUGAGACUGUAAUCAAUGAGAAGGAUUAUAGGAUGGAUAUAAACCCUACUAAUGAUGAGCAAGUGACCCAAAUUGGCUCCUUCAGAACUAGUUCAGCUCAGAGUGUAGAAAUCUUGACCAUGAUUGAUACAGAUGAUGGUUCCAUACAUGACAAUCCCAUUAUAAUCGAAGGUGUAGCAAAUGAAUGACAAAACAUGAUGCAACAACCUAUAAUUAGUGGAAUUAACGAUGACCAUCUAGAAGAGCACCAAAUAUACUAAAGUAAGAAAUAAUUACAAAGAAAGUUGUAUAUGAUGGCUCUCAAAAGGAAGUUUGAGUUCAAAACAACUAAAUCCACUAUUAAGUUAUUGCUUGUUGAAUGUUUUGAUAAUAAAAAAUGCAAGUGGUGAGUUUGUGCUACCAAAUUGGGGAUUUCCAAUAUGUUUCAAAUAAUGAAAUACUAUUCAACACACACUUGUCGGUUAGAUAUGAUGUCUUGUGACAAUCGACAUGCAAGUAGUUGGUUGAUUGGUGAGAGUAUAAGAGAAACAUAUCAAGGGGUUGGUUGUGAAUUUUGACCAAAAGACAUUGUAGCAAACAUUCGAAAGCAAUAUGACAUUCAAAUCAGUUAUGAUAAGGCGUGGAGAGCCAGAAAACUUACUUUAGGUUCUAUUAGGGAAUCACUUGAGGAGUCCUAUAACACUUUACCCCUAUUGCUAUGUUUUAGAGCAAAAAAAUCUUGGUACCAUUACUUAUAUAGUUACCAAUUGUGAUAAUCAAUUCAAAUACUUUUUUAUGUCAAUUGGUACAUUUCUUACUGGGUUUCGCACAUCAAUAAGGCAUGUGGUUGCAGUUGAUGGGACAUUUUUGAAAGCAAAGUACUUAAGGACUUUGUUUAUUGCAACGUGUAAAAUGGCAACAAUCAGAUAUACCCUUUAACCUUUGGGAUUGGUGAUUCCAAAAAUGAUGCCUCAUGGGAGUGGUUUUUACAAAAAUUGCAUAAUGCAAUUGGACACAUUGAUGAUUUGUUUGUGAUAUCAAAUCGACAUGGUAGCAUUGAGAAAAUAAUACAUAAAGCAUUUUCCCAUGUGAGGCAUGGUGUCUGCACUUAUCACGUUGGACAAAAUUUGAAGACAAAGUUCAAGAACCCUACAAUUCAUAAGUUGUUCCAUGAUGCUGUCCAUGCUUAUUGUGUUUUAGAGUUUAAUUUUAUAUUUGGGUAACUAGAGAUGAUUGACCCAAGAGCAACAAGAUAUUUGAUGCAUGUAGGAGUUGAUCGAUGGGCGUGUUCAUAUUCUACCAGAAAAAGAUAUAAUAUCAUGACCACAAGGAUUGUUGAAAGCCUUAAUGUUGUGUUGAAAAAUGCUACAGAUCUUUCGAUUUUGCAAUUGGUUGAAGAAUUGAGAAACUUACUUCAAAAAUGGUUUGUGACUCGUCAACAACAAGCAAUGUCAAUGUCAACUGAACUUACCAUGUGGGAUGAUGGAGAACUUCGUUCAAGGUAUAAUAUGCCUGCAACAUAUCUAGUGAAACCUAUCAACUCCAAGGAGUGUAAUGUUAAAUAUGUUGGCAUUAGUGCUCAAGUGAAUUUAGACACUCGUUCAUGCACAUGUUGACAAUUUGAUAUUGAUCAUAUUCCAUGUGCACAUGUUAUUGUUGCUUUUAGAUAUUACAACAUUACAUGUUACACUUUGUGUUCCCAGUAUUUUACUACUACAGCAUUGUGAUCUUCAUAUUCAAAGUGUAUUUAUCCAACUGAAAAUGAAAUAGAUUGGAUAAUACUUGAUCACAUUCGUAACAAAGUUAUGUUACCACCUAAAACAAGACGCCCAAUACAAAGACCAAGGAAAGUAAGAAUUCCUUCUGGUGAAGAGGGUAAGCGCACAUCUCAUUAUAGUCUAUGUGGUCAAUAUGGGCAUAAUCGAAAAACAUGCAAACGACCAAUGCCAUGAUAUCAUGAUAGCUUUGGCACCCUAUGAACUUACAUAGAAUGAAAAUUGUAAUAAUGAGUUUUUUUUUUUUGGUAUCCAUGUGAACAGAAAUGUAAGUUACUUUUUCAUAUAAGGUGAUAGGAUAAGCACACAAAUGAAUAUUAUAAUAAUGAUCCCCUUUUUUUGCAUACCCAUAGAAAUAGAGAUAUUUGUUACUUUUGUACAUAUAUAUUAUGAUGAGGUAUGUAUAAAGUAUGAAUGAAAAUUGCAUGUUUAUUCUCAAACUAUGGACUAAACUAUUCUCACCUUUAUUGAUAAGGAACUUGACAAUAGUUAAGUUCAGGUUUUGUUUGAAGACUGUGGACUUAACUACCUUCAAGUUUGUACAUAAAACAACUUAACAAUAGUUAAGUUCAAGUUUUGUCUGAAGACUAUGUAUUUCACUACCUCCAAGUUAGUACAUAAAACAACUUAAUAAUAGUUAAGUUCAGGUUUUGUCUGAAGACUGUUAACUUAACUACCUUCAAGUUUUUACGUAAAACAACUUAACAAUAGUUAAGUUCAGGUUUUGUCUAAAGAUUAUGGACUUAACUACCUUCAAGUUUGUAGAUAAAACAACUUAACAAUAGUUAAGUUCAAGCUUUGUCUGAAGACUGUGGGCUUAACUACCUUCAAGUUUGUUCAUAAAAUAACUUGACAAUAGUUAAGUUCGAGUUAAAAGGGCAACUAUAGACACAAUUUCCUAUGAGUCUAUACAAGAUCAACUUAAUAUCUAUUAAGUCCAAAUUAAAUAUGCUAUUCUGGAAUAGACUUCGACUUAACAUCUUUCAAGCUUGUUCAUAGUUAACUUGAUAGUAGUUAAGUUCAGGUGUUCUAUUAAGAUUGUGGACUUAACUACCUUCAAGUUUGUACACAAAACAACUUGACAACAGUCAAGGUUAGUUUAAAAGGUCAAUUGUAUACAUAACUAUUAAACUACAUUCAUCAAAUAUCCAAGUAUAUAUAUCAAGUUGUCCAACUACUUUUAUCAAAAUGUCUAACUACAUAUAUCAAGCUAUCCAAUUACAUAUAACAAACCAUCCAACUACAUUAUCCAAAUGUGAAAUAUCAAUAUGAAUCCAUUACAUAGGCAAGUAAUUCAUAUAAAAUAACUAUGUUACCAUCUUUUCCUAGAACCAGUCCAUUCGAGCACCUGUUAAUGACUUCAAUGGAUGGUUGUGCAUUAAGUAUUUAGCAUAUUUGAUAACAAACAUGCCACAGUCACCACUACAUGGUACACAGAUAAUCAAUGUUAGAGAUAUUAUUAAAGAUUAAGUGCAUAAGAUAUGAAAGUAAAUCUAAGAUCACUUACUCAUGUUCUUGUUCAGGAAUAUCUUACAGCCGUUCAAUUUCCCAUUCCUGGUAGUUAGCCUUUAUGUCACCAUGAAACCCAUAAUAUGUUAUGGCAUUCAAUAUAUGCGGCAACAAUUUGGCUAAUGGUUUAAUGACAACUUGUAAUCUUGCAUUAUUAUUGAUGUCCAUCAAUGAGUCAUACAUAUAUAAUCCUUCGACAAAGGUGGACAACUCCUAAUACUUAGUGACUAGCCCGAACAUUGAUAGGGGCAUACACAAUGUAACACCAAGCCAUUUGACAUAAUAAAGAGGCUGAGAACCAUUGGCAUUAUUAAUAAGAAUGUCAUUCUCUUGUAAUUUGAAUUGGUUCCAUUUCCUUUCAUGCUUAAUACAUCUUACUUGAGCAUUUUGCUACAUAGAAUAAAGUUAACAUGCAUAAAUAAAUAACCAAGAUCAUAAGAUUCAUUAUUACAAAAAAUUAAAAAUGAUAACUAAAAUGCAAACUACACAUACCCAAAACAAAGUAUCCACUGUGGUAAACUUGUGGGAAAAAAUGAGGAUUUUUUAUUCACCGCUUCCAAAAAAAAAAAAAGACAAUAUCAAUGUGUUAACAAUUACAAUAAAAUAAAUUAGUUAUAUUAUUUAGUUGUAAGCUCAACAUAAUAAUAAAUAAAUAAAAAAGGCAUCAUUUAUAAACCGUGUUAGCAAGCCAUGAACCAUGAUUAGACAAUGAUUGAAACCAUUUUUUAUCUACAUGCAUGUAGUCAAUGUCAAUUGUGGACCUUUGACAUCAAAGUAGAAAAAAGAAUUAGUAAUUUUAUAACUUGUGAAUAACACAAUUUUACAAGUAUGGAUGUAUAAAACUCACCAUUGGUCAUGACUCAUCCACUUUCGAAAGGACUCCAAUGCUUCUUUAGAGGUUGGACGCAAUGGAUCAAAUAAAAUUAAUGGUUCCUCAAUCUCUUUUCUUAGUUUCUUUCUCUUGGUGGGAUCUGUAAAAGAGUGCUACAAAAUACAGGAUUUUUUAAUCUCAUGUCUUUGCUUUAAAAUGGUAGAAGAUAGAUGGUGAGGUAUGACAUAUACUAAAAACUCGCCCGACAUAGUUGGGGUACCAAACAACUUGGCAAUAUCAAUAACUGGAUCAUCAUUAAAGUAAUCAUCUUUCAACUCUUUAGUCAUGUGUUUUUCUGCAAGUUGAAGGUUCUAGAAGCUUCCAUGCCAAUGUUCACAUCCAUGGGAAUGUCAUUCCUCUCCACUUCAUCAUCUGUAACAUCCUAAAUAAUUCCAGUCUGGAAAUCAAAGGCCAUAUUGUCGUCCUUUUCCUUUAUAUUAGAUUUUAUGAAUCUAGUGUCAUGCAUAACUUGUUCUUUAUUCGAACUUUUAACCUGAAGUUGCAUACACCACCCAAUAAUAAUAAAUAUGAGAAAACACAAAUGUCAAAACAUUGAAGUAUUAGAAAAUAUAAACAUAGUUAACAUGUCACUAACUUCUACUAAAAGUUGUUUCAAUUCAUCCAUCUUCAAGUUAAGUCCUUCAAUUUCUUUCUUUAGAUGACUGAAAUUUAACUCUGAGCUUUGUCUGAAUUUCACAAACUCCAUCCAUAAUUUCAGCACAUAUUGCACAUAAAUGAAAUAAAAAUUUAACACUUACAACAUUUAAUAUAUAUAUAUAUAUAUUAUGACAAGUUUGUUCACUUUGAAAUAACACACUUGUUAAAUUUAGGUUUUUUCAUGAUCCCUAUAGACUUAACUUCCUAUAAGUUUAUUUAUAAUGAACUUAACACUAGUUAAGGUCAGGUUCCACAUGUUAAUUAUGGAGUGAACAUCUUAUAUUAAAUAAAAGACAAAAAGAAAGGAACAUGCAUGCAUUAUUUAUGAUGGCUAAGUUUAGGUUAAGUUACCUUUAUUGAUGGGGCAACUACAUCAUUCGUUCUUUCUUCUGCCAUUGUAGCAGUAGUAGCAGCAACAUAUGUAGCAAUGUUCGAUGAGCUUUUUUCAUGCCUUAAGUCAUCAUUCCUGGCAUCUUGUGAUGCAUUUGAUUGGUGCAACAUUUCUGCUGAAGCUUCUUGUUUAUCUAUAUGCUUACAAUAGUCUUAUUAUUGUUCCUCUAAGUGGGUGUUAGAAGCGAAUGAAAAGUUAACUACAAAAUUCAAAUCAAAUAUAAUUAUUAAUAAACAAUAAUACAAUAAUAUUUAUAACUGUAUUCUUAAAAUUUAAAGGUAAAGAAUUACUUACAAUAGGCUCUAAAAAGACCUUUUCAACCUCAAUAGACCUUAGAGUACUAGUUGCACUCCAAUUUAAUAUUCGAGGAUAACUCUCAGAUACAUAAGUGGCAUAUUUUAAUCCAAUAAGUGGAAUAGUCUCGUAUAUCCAAACCUGGAAGGCAUAUGGAAAUCCAACAAGACUAUAUGUUUCAACUGCAACUUCUCCCUUUACUUGCUUCUUAUCUUGGUAUUUGGAUACUCGGUUCUCCAAAGCCCUUUGCAAACCAAAUAGUGUCCUCUCAUAACAAAUCGCCUCCCAUGGAUACUUGUUAGAAGCCUUCAAAUUAUCAACCAGAGCAACCCAUUGCAUAUCUAUUAAAUUUUUUGUUUCUUUCCCAAAUAAAACAUGCUCUAGAAAAUACAAAAGUGUCAACUUUAUCAACUUUUCAUCUUAAGAUUCUUUUAUUAUAUUUUUCUUAUUCUUUUUCUUUUUUUCACCUUUCCUAAAGAAAGAAAAACUUUCUCCAACUCAUCAUUAUGCACCUUGUUUUCUCCUUUAAAGUAUGUGUCCCUUAUUCAUAAUGAUUUUUGGUCAUAUUUUGGAAUAAGACCAAAACUCAAGCCUAUAAUCAAUACAAACUCUUCUUUACUAAAUCUUAAGCCCUUUGACUUUAAUAAAAUCCAUAUUUCAUUGUCUUUUUUUGGUUUCACAUUGAUGUAACAACAAUUGAUGAACAAUUUGGGCUAAAAAUCUAAGUUCAGGAAAGAGUAAAAAAUGACCAAAACAUGAUUUUCCAAACAUCUCCAAUUGUGGUUCAGUCAAUUUCUUCUUAAUAUUUUCAAUGGCUACCAAGUGAGACAAACAUGCAAUGUUUCCAAGAAAGUACUCCUCUUUAGGUAUUUUAGAUAUAAAAGAUAGGAGAGGAAGAGAAAUGUCAAUCUGCAAGAUAAUAACAAAUUGUAAAAAUAUUAAUAUAAAUUGAGUAAAAUUAUAUUACCAAACAUGCAAUUUCUUCUUAAGAUUUUCAAUGGCUACCAAGUGAGACAAACAUGCAAUGUUUCCAAGAAAGUACUCCUCUUUAGGUAUUUUAGAUAUAAAAGAUAGGAGAGGAAGAGAAAUGUCAAUCUGCAAGAUAAUAACAAAUUGUAAAAAUAUUAAUAUAAAUUGAGUAAAAUUAUAUUACCAAACAUGCAAUUUCUUCUUAAGAUUUUCAAUGGCUACCAAGUGAGACAAACAUGCAAUGUUUCCAAGAAAGUACUCCUCUUUAGGUAUUUUAGAUAUAAAAGAUAGGACAGGAAUUGAAAUGUCAAUCUGCAAGAUAAUAAUAAAUUGUAAAAAUAUCAAUAUAAAUUGAGUAAAAUUAUAUUACCAAACUUAUUCAACUAUGUUAAAACUAUCAUUUUGUAUUACUUCUUAACAUAGACUUUAUUUUCAUAUUAUUUAAGGAUGACAUAUCAAAUGCCAAUAUUCUAAAGAUAUCAUUUUACUAAUGCAAUUGAAUUGAAGCUAUUAUAUUUUACUAAGUUGCAGCUAAAAAAAAUGCAAACAUUAUUCUAAUGUUUAUUGAAAUUUGAAAUAAAUUAAAGCAUUUUGAAAUUGGAACUUGAUGACAAUAAACUUGAUAGCAAUUAAGUUCAGUUUUUUCUUAACAUAUAUAUAUAUAUAUAUAUAUAUAUAUAUAUAUAUAAAUCAAAAUUCUAAAUAUAUGGAUAAAAUAAUUUCAUAAAAAUUAUAUUCAAAUACGUUAUUCAAAACCUUUUGAUAGUGAACUUGAUAGUAGUUAAGUGUAAUUUUUUCUAAUCAUUCAAAUAUUGUUUUAUACCUUGGACUAUAACCUCACUGAGAAAAUUUUCAACUUCAAUUUCAUAAAAGUUUCAUUCAAUUAGAUUAUCAAUUCAUGAAAAAUAAAUUCACAAAAAAAAUUAUUAAAAAGGAAAAAAUUUUUAAACAAAAUGAAAAACCAAAAUUUCAAGUAGAAAAUUAAUCCUUACUGAUUCAGUUGAUUUCUUCUCAUUUUUUUAUGACAAUGACGAGGUUUCAAAAUAUUAUUUUAUUUCGCUUCCCUUUUUUCCCAUAAUUUUAUACCUCUUCCAUUUUGUAUUUUUCAUCAACGAAAAUUUUUUUUUCCGCCAUUUUUAUAAACCGAAUCAACACACAAUAUCAGAAACAUGAAAAAUAGGGUUUGAUUUUAAAAUAAAAUAAAAUGAACCAAAAUAAGGCACUUAGGGUUUCUUCUCAUUUCAUGGAUGAAGGUUCAUAUGUAGAGUUCGAAAAACUGAAACCAAAAUAAGGCACUUAGGCACUUAGGGCUUCUUCUCAUUUUUUGUUUUUCUCUCAUGUUGUAUUGGCUUUAUGUUCUCUUGCAAUGAACGGAAAAGUCCUUUGUGAUUUCUUUCUUGCAAGGUAACAAAUGGAACAAAUGAGUUUGCAAGGUAAGGAAGGGACGUAGCACAAAGAAAAUUGGAGUUUGAGGGAAAAUGGGCCAAAAAGAUAGCUAAGGGGUAUUUUUGUCCGAGUUGGGUCAUUUUUUAGACUUAAAUAAUUUGGGGGGUUAGUUUUGCAAUAUUGAGGGAAUUUUAUCCCUUUUAAUCAAUUAUCUCUUUUUUCUUUUCUAUCAUUUUGUGGAGUUUUUCUAGAUAUUUUUAUGAAUUUUGAUCGAUCUCUAUUCCAUCGAUUUUUUUUUGUCCAAAUUUCCAUUGAUAUUUUCAUAUCUAUCCAAUAUGUUCGUAAAAUUCAGCACUGAUACAUAAAACUAAUAUUUUAAUCCUUAAUUAUUUUAAGUUUUUUAUAAAUACUUUAAAUUUUAUUCUUAAAAUUGAAUACUUUCCAUUAAAUUUAAACAUUUCAUUUUAACAUCCGUCUUAUAUAUUUAUUAUAAAAACAUAAUCUUAACUAUUAUGUUAGCAAUUAUUAUUCAAAAUUUUCUCUUAUAAUGUUGUAACAAAAAGAAUAUAUAUAUAUAGGGUUAAUUUCACUCACCUCCUUAAGGUUUUAGCUAAAAACAACAAUCUCUCACUAAUUUGAAAAUUCGUCAAAUAUCUCCCUUAUUUUAAAUUAAAAAUGAUAUAAAUGAAAACAACAAAUGAGAAAGAGACAGAAGGCUAAGUGUUUUAAAAACUGGAUCGUCGGUUCGAUUCCCCCUUUUGGGUCGACUAUCAAUUGGAUUGGUGCUGAACUGCUUGAGCCGACGGUUGAACCGUCAAACGCUUAAGCCGGCCGAUUUUUGGACUAAGUGGGCCACUCACGACCCAACAUAAAUUGCCUACCCCUUUUUUUGACAAAAUAGACUCUAUACCCUCAACGGCCCAACAUUAAAUGCCCACCCCCAUCUUGCAAAAUGGGCUCUGUCAUACGACCCAACCACCACUUAGUUAGUUGGGAAAAGGUUUAUAAAGCACUUUAUUUUUCCUCUUACUUCCAAUGUGGGAUAAGGUAAAGGGAUUUAAAAGUAAAAAUCAAUUUUGUUCCUGCCUGCAAUAAAAAGGUUUGAACCAUGGACCACAAGCUCAUAAUGGGCAUAAGCACUCCACUAUGUUGCAUCUUUGUAUGUGUUAAUAUUUAACAGAAAAUAACUACAUAAGCUAUUUCAAAAAAUAAUAUAUAUAUAUAUAUAUAUAAAUCAUUUUUUUUUCUUUUUCAAUUUGUUCUCAUAUUUAAAUACAACCUCUUCUCUUUUACCAUUUUGAAUAUAUUUUCAUAUUUAAAUAUUGUAUAUAUUUUGUUUAAUAAAUUUAAACCAUUAAUACAUUUAUAUAAAAAUGAUUAAAUAAUAUUAAAAAUAUUAUUUUAUUUUUAAUUAUCUAUUUUAAAUAUUUUAUAAUUAUUUUAAUUUUAAUAAAAUAUAAAACAUAUAUUUAUAACUGGUCCGACCACAAUUCGACCACUGGUCCAACCAGUGAACCGCAAAUUGGUAACUUUUUUGGUUUAAUAUCAGGUCUGAUUCUCAAAACAUUGAUAAUAAUAAUAAUAAUAAUAAUAAUAAUAAUAAUAAUAAUAAUAAUGGUGAUGAUGAUGAAUGAAAGGAGCUAAAUAAAUCAAUGUGGCCGAUCAAAGCAAGAAAACAAGUAAAGUAAUGAUGAUGAUGAAUCAAAUGAGCUAAAUAAAUCAAUGUGGCCCAUCAAAGUAAGAAAACAAGUAAAGUAACCAUACGCUAACCCAUGUGGUCAGUAGCUCAUCUCCGAUUAGAUCAAAAAAUGAUCGAGACAUGGAUAUGCACCGUUUCCGUUUGGCGUCGGUUUGGCCUCAAAGGGCGCUUCCUGUGCACCUGAACUAGCUUAUCUCCGAUUAGAACCAAAAAGGGAUGGAGACUUGGUCGCACCAUUUCCAUUGGCAUCCGUUUGGCUUCACAGGGCGUUUCCUGUGUACCUGAAGAUGGAAAAGACAAGUAUAAAAUAUAAAUUUAUUAGAAACUUACUUUUCAUCAAUAGUGUUUUGUUGAAAAUCAAUUCCUUCUUGAGGUCCACCUUUUUGAGAAAAUUUGGACUCAAACUGAGGAUUUUUAUAAGAGUACCAUAGUUUUAAAAAAUAAUUCCUAAAUUACCAUAGGAAGAAAAAUAAUUCCAAAUCUACCGUAGUUUUGUCCUAUGAAAAUAAAUUAUAAGUGAAAAAUCGUCUCUUCAAAAGAUGAUUUUCAAAAAAUUAAAAAAUUAAAAAUUUAAGAAGUGAGAAAUCAUCUCUUCAAGAGACGAUUUUCACAAGAAAAAAAAAUUAAAAAAAAAUUAAGAAGUGAGAAAUUGUCUUUUCAAGAGACAAUUUCCACAAAAAAAAAUAUACAUGCAAGAAAUUCUCACUUAAAAGAAAAAAAAAAAAACCAAAUGGGAAAUCGUCUCUUUAAGAGACAACAAAAAAGAGAAAUCGUCUAAGUGUGAAAUCGUCUCUUCAAGAGACGAUUUCCAUACCACUUUAAAAGUAAGAAAUUCUCACUUCAAACAAAAAAAAAAAAACCUUCAAAAAUCCAUUUUUUCAUUCUUUAUUCUAUUUAUACAAUAAUACAAUUAUUAUAAAUAUAUAUUAUAAAAUUAAUUAAUUUUAUUUACUAAAUUUAAUAUAUAAAUAACAUACUAAAUUUAAUAUAAGAUAAAUAAUCUAUUUUUUUUUCUCUUACUUUGGAAUUAAAAAAAAACUAUUAUCAAUUUAUGUGAAAAAUGAGUUUUUAAAACAAUUGUUAUUAAUUUAUUAAAUUAUUAUUUAGUAUAUUAUUUUUUUUAAAAAAAACCAAAUGGAAAUAGUCUCUUGAAGAGACGAUAUCCACAUCACCUUUAAAAGUGAGAAAUUCUCACUUCAAACAAAUAAAUAAAUAAUAAAAAAAAAACUUUCAAAAAUCCAUUUUUUUCAUUCUUUAUUCUAUUUAUACAAUCAUACAAUUAUUAUAAAUAUAUAUUAUAAAAUUAAUUAAUUUUAUUUACUAAAUUUAAUAUAUAAAUAAUAUACUAAAUAAUUAUUUAAUAAAUUAAUAAAAAAAAAUUUUAAACUUAUUUUUCACAUAAAUUGAUAAUAGUUUUUUUUUUAAAUUCCAAAGUAAGAGAAAAAAAAUAAUAGAUUAUUUAUCUUAUAUUAAAUUUAGUAUGUUAUUUAUAUAUUAAAUUUAGUAAAUAAAAUUAAUUAAUUUUAUAAUAUAUAUUUAUAAUAAUUGUUUUAUUGUAUAAAUAGAAUAAAGAAUGAAAAAAUGGAUUUUUGAAGGGUUUUUUUUUUUUUUGAAGUGGAAUUUCUCACUUGAAGUGACGAUUUCCACUGGGGCUUUUUUUAAAUAAUAUACUAAAUAAUUAUUUAAUAAAUUAAUAACAAUUGUUUUUAAAACUCAUUUUUCACAUAAAUUGAUAAUAGUUUUUUUUAAUUUCAAAGAGAAAAAAAAUAGAUUAUUUAUCUUAUAUUAAAUUUAGUAUCUUAUUUAUAUAUUAAAUUUAGUAAAUAAAAUUAAUUAAUUUUAUAAUAUAUAUUUAAAAUAAUUGUAUUAUUGUAUAAAUAGAAUAAAAAAUGAAAAAGUGGAUUUUUGAAGUUUUUUUUUUUUUUUUUUUGAAGUGAGAAUUGCUCACUUUUAAAAAGUGGUAUGGAAAUCGUCUCUUCCCACUUUCUCACUUUUGCGUGGAAAUCGUCUCUUCAAGAGACAAUUUUCUACUUAGGUGUUUUUUUUUUUUCAAUUUAAGUGAGAAUUUCUCACUUUUGUUGUCGUCUCUUAAAGAAACAAUUUCCCACUUGGUUUUUUUCUUUUUUUUAAGUCAGAAUUUCUCACAUAUAUAUUUUUUGUGAAGAUCGCCUUUUAAGAUACAAUUUCUCACUUCUUAAAUUUUUUUUUUUUUUGUGAAAAUCGUCUCUUGAAGAGACGAUUUCUUACUUCUUAAAUUUUUUAUUUUUUAUUUUUUAUUUUUAAAUCAUCUUUUGAAGAGACAAUUUUCACUUAAUUUUCUCUUUCCUAAAACCAUGAUAGAUUUGGAAUUAUUUUUCCUACCAGGGUAAUUAAUGAAUUAUUUUUUAAAACUAGUGCACUCUUAUCAAGCCAGCACCUCAAAAGCCGCCCCCCCCAACCCCAAAAAAGCACCUCUCCUGACUCAAAUCAAGCCUAAGAUCAGCAGCAAAAAGUGAGCCCAGGCUAGUUCCUUAACACUAGUAACCUGAACCACCAAUUUGUCUCCCAUACCCAUCAAAACCUGAGUUCUCUCGCCGAUGAAAAUACAAGUGAAGGUGUUCAGAUACGUGGAUUACUAUAGAUCCAUCCAACAAAGACCCAAAAUCAGAUACUGGCUUGCCACUAUCCCUGAAAUAUGAUUGCACUAGUCCCCAGGCUAGCGAAAUUUCCCACACUGAUAUUGAAACAAAACCAAAGCCACUUAAACUUAAACCUGCUGUUCAUCGGGGUUUCUGAGCUCUUGCUAAAGAGAUACCUGCUUUGGAGUUGUACAGGCUGGCUCAGAAGAAGAAACGGAAACUCGUUCUUUGUGGUCAUUCACUUGGUGGAGCAGUAGCAGCAUUGGCCACCCUCGCAAUUUUGAGAGUUAUUUCUGCUUCCUCUUUAUCAAAAGAAAAUGAAAAAGUUGCUGUCAAAUGUAUAACAUUCUCCUAGCCCCCGGUCUGAAAUGCUGCAUCAAAAGAUUAUGUUGAUAGAAAAGGAAAGCAUCCAGCUGGACCAGUAGCGUCUUCUUCUACAUUAGCAAACAGCUAGAGAACGGCUGGACCCCAGAAGUUAAUAAUAUUCAAAGGAGUUGACCCUCCGCCGGGUGCUUCGCCUCUGUGGUGACGUCAGGAAGCGUAAGAAAAGGACCCCACCAAUGUGAACAGCGAAGAGAGCCAGCUUUCGGAAAUGGCGACUGCAGCUCUGGCGAACAGAGCUUCGACGGAUCGAACGUGGAACCUCCUGAGACAAUCAUUCAGAUUCUUCAGAAGCUUCAGCGCUGCUCCAUCUGCUUCUUCUUCUUCAGUGGCAUCAUGUUCAUAUUGGAAUUUUUAUGUGUGGACUUACAUAAUCAAUUUAAUAAUGUCAUAAAUCAGUGUUAUUUAUUUUUAUAUUGUGGUCCAUAAUGGGAUUGGACACAUUGUUGCUUGAUUUUUUAUGGGCUCACCCUAAUUCACUUGACUGACCCAUUAAGUCAAGUGGUGGUCCAAAUAAUGUGUGUGAUAUAUAUAUAAAAGAAAAGAAAGGGCUCUCUGGCUGGCUGGCUUGGCUCCCAGCUCUUUCCUCCUUUGGCUGAAAGAGAGCACGCACUCUCGUUUUGGACUGAAUCUUGGUGUAGAAGGGAAGAGCUCAUUAACCCGUAAUUCUCGCACCAUCAAGCACUGGAGGAGCUUCCUGAAUACCAGAAAAGAGGAAGAAAUGGUCUUUCACGGAAUUAACCAAGGUGAACGUUUCCGUUUUUGCCGUUCAAUGCAUGCUUAAAUGUCAACAUGUGAUAUAUGUUGUUAAGAUUUUCAUCACUUGGUAUCAAAACCAGCAUGGAUGACAUUUGAGCUGCAAUUUUGGGUUAAUUUUUGGGUUUCCCGUUUCCUAUUGUGGAAGCCAUUUUUUUGGAAUUUUAUUUCUCGUUUGAUGUUGAUUCUCUGUUUUCAAGCCCGAUUGUUGUUGGAAACUUGUAGAGAAUAUUGUUUGGAGCAAAACCCAUCAUUUUAUUUGAUUUUUGAAGCUUGUUUGGUGGGAUUUCGAGAAUUAGUGCUUGCUUUGGUUCUUCCUAUUAUGCGAUUUUUGUGCAAAUUUUGGGAUUAGAUUGAAGGUUUGAUGUUUGAGGAUGGAAAUCUAAGCGUUUUUUGUUGGAAAAUGCCCAAAAUUUUGGCCGAAAAAGGAAAAUAUUUUUUUUCUCCUGCACCAGGCCGUGUUCAGCUGGAGAAGGAGAUGAAUAGUGACGUGAUGACGUCAUCAUGACAUCAUAAAAAAAUUAAAAAAAAAAACCAAAUUUUUUUUUUUUUUUUUUUUUUUGUUGCCUUGGUAUUCUUGGAUUGAUUGUGCAUAUGCUAGAAUUAUUAUGCAUUUGUUAAAUUUGACUUUAUUGGGACAAUUAUUAUUAUUAUUGUUCUUUAUGGUAUAAUUUUUCCUUAUAUCAAUAAUGUUGUCCUAUGUCAAUUUUGUUAAAUAUUUCAAUUUAUUGAGGCAAUGAAGCACACUUGUGUGAUUGCCUAUCGCAAUUCCAAGUGUGUCAAAUUGUGAAAAUUAAGAUAUUUUGAAUUUUAUUCAUGACAAUUGUGAACAUAUGUGUGGUUGCCUAUCGUGAUCCUAUAUGUGUCAAAUUGUCUUUGUUGAGAUAUUUUAUCUCCCUCUUUUGAUUGCUUUAUUAUUGUGAUAACUAAGGUCCAUACGGGUAUUGUGAUUGUCCUAUCGAUGAUUAUAAUAUUUGGUAGGAUGCUUGGAUUGGUGAAGGAAAUUAAUUUUAUAUUAUGAAUCGUACUAAUUUUCUUUGCCCUUUUGGUAAUAAAAUUAGUGCAUCUUGGUUGUGAUAUUUAAUUGGUUGUCCUUAUCGCCGUGAAAUUUUCAAAAUUCCAAGCUGUUGCUAAAUUGAGAAAUUAUGGAAACUAGCAAAUGCAUGAUUUUGUAGUAACAUGCAUAUUGCUUAAUUUUGCUAUUUUCCAGCUACUAGCAAUCCUGGUAUUACUCUGCAAUUGUCUGCCAUCAAACCUCUUACUGGAAUAAUUUUGAGGAAUGUUUUGAGUCUUUCAAUGUGCACAUUUUGGACUGGGCUUUGAGAGUUGAUUAGCCAAGUAAAUUUGAGUUCUUCCAUAUUGUGGCACAAACGCCUAGGUCAUAUUUCUAGGCAAAGAUUAGAGAGAUUGGUUAGAGAUGGUGAGUAUUAUGGGAGAUAUGAUGAGACUGGACGGAAUCCUAGACCAUUUGCUAAGUUUCUGUUGGAAUGUGGCAUUGAUGCGAGAUAUACAAUGCCAAGCACUCCUCAACAAAAUGGGGUUGCAGAAAGGAGGAAUCGCACAUUGUUAGAUAUGGUGAGGUGCAUGUUGUCCAAUUCCUCUUUACCAGAAUUUCUAUGGGGUGAAGCCUUAAGGACUGCAGCAUAUAUUUUGAAUCAAGUGCCCAGUAAGUCUGUGCCUAAGACACCUUAUGAGCUAUGGUCAGGGAAAAAACCAAGCCUUCAUCAUUUCCAUGUUUGGGGAUGUAAGGCUGAGGUUAGGCCCUAUAACCCAUAGUCAAAGAAACUUGAUCCUAAAACCAUUAGUGGUUUCUUUGUUGGUUAUUGCAUUGGAUCAGGGGGUUCCAGAUUUUAUUAUCCAUCUCAUACCACCAGGAUCAUUGAGUUAGACAGGGUUGUAUAUUUUGAAGAUGUGAGCUCUGUUGAUGAAAGAUCUAGUGGUAUCUGAAGUUUGAUAGUAUUAUCACCCAAAAUGGUUUUAAAGAGAAUACAGUUGACAGAUGCAUAUAUUUGAGGGUCAGUGGGAGUAGUUACAUAUUUCUUGUUUUAUAUGUUGAUGAUAUACUACUCGCAUCAAAUGAUUCUGACUUCUUGUUUGAGACAAAGCACAUGUUGUCAACCCAUUUUGACAUGAAGGAUCUUGGUGAGGCUUCUUAUGUUUUGGACAUAAAGAUUCUUCGUGACAGGGAUAAUGGAGUGCUUAAAUUGUCUCAAAGAACCUAUAUUGAGAAAAUAUUGAAGAGGUUCAAUAUGCACAACUAUAGUUCUACUAGAGCACCAAUUGUGAAGGGUGAUAACUUUUCAAAGGCUCAGUGUCCUCAAAAUGAUGAUGAAAGAGAGGAAAUGAGGACCAUUCCUUAUUCAUCUGUGGUGGGCAGCCUUAUGUAUGCUCAAGUAUGUACACGACCUGAUAUUGCUUUUGUUGUAGGCACGUUGGGAAGGUACUUGAGCAAUCCUGGGAGUCAACAUUGGAAAGCAGCUAAGAAGGUCCUUAGGUAUUUGCAAGGAACUAAGGACUUAAUGUUGACAUAUCAGCACACCAGUUUACUUGAUGUAGUUGGGUUUUGUGAUGCUGAUUUUGCUGGCUGCAUAGAUGAUAAGAAAUCCACUAUGGGCUAUAUUUUUAUGAUGGCAGGAGGAGCUGUAUCUUGGAAAAGUGUCAAGCAGACACUUACAGCAUCCUCAACUAUGGAGGCAAAGUAUGUGGCAUGUUAUGAGGCUUGUUGUCAUGCUAUGUGGAUGCGGAAUUUUAUUUCAGCUUUGGGAGUUGUUGACUCCAUUUCUAGACCGCUGAAAUUAUUUUGUGAUAAUUCCGCAGCUAUUGCUUUCUCCAAGAACACUAGGAGUAUUUCUCGCUCCAAACAUAUUGAUGUAAAGUUCUAUUUUGUUAAGGAGAAAGUGGCAGAGUCUCUUAUUGAUAUUGAACACAUGUCCACAAAAAGUAUGUUGGCGGAUCCAUUAACAAAAGGUUUACCCAUAAUUACAUUUCAGGAACAUGUAUCUCAAAUGGGGUUGUUGGAAGCCUAGGUUGUAUUAAGUUAGUGGGAGCCAUUUUUGGUAUUGUAAUACUAUGUUAUUGUUGAAAGGAUUGCCAUUAAAGUACAUUUCCCUAUGAAUCAAGCAAUGAAGCAUAUAUGAUUGCUUUUGAUUAUUUAUUUCUGAUGAGAUUCUAUGGGACAUUGAUUUAUGAUUAUGUGUAUGUUGUAAUGUUUGAUUAUGUAGUCCAAGUGGGAGAUUGUUGGAAUUUUUAUGUGUGGACUUACAUAAUGUCAUAAAUCAGUGUUAUUUAUUUUUAUAUUGUGGUCCAUAAUGGGAUUGGACACAUAUUGUUGCUUGAUUUUUUAUGGCCUCACCCUAAUUCACUUGACUGGCCCAUUAAGUCAAGUGGUGGUCCAAAUAAUGUGUGUGAUAUAUAUAUAAAAGAAAAGAAAGGGCUCUCUGGCUGGCUGGCUUGGCUCCCAGCUCUUUCCUCCUUUGGCUGAAAGAGAGCACGCACUCUCGUUUUGGACUGAAUCUUGGUGUAGAAGGGAAGAGCUCAUUAACCCGUAAUUCUCGCACCAUCAAGCACUGGAGGAGCUUCCUGAAUACCAGAAAAGAGGAAGAAAUGGCCUUUCACGGAAUUAACCAAGGUGAACGUUUCCGUUUUUGCCGUUCAAUGCAUGCUUAAAUGUCAACAUGUGAUCUAUGCUGUUAAGAUUUUCAUCAGUUCAAACCCUACAGCUUCCAAGAAGCCAAAGCGAAGAAAGAAGAAGAACCUGUUCGAGGUGGCUCAGUUUCUCCCAAACUGGGGACUCGGAUAUCACAUGGCCAAGACUCACUGGACCGGCGUUUCCUAUGAGAUUAUCAAGAUCAAUAUCUACAAGGACGGCAGGCAUGGGAAGGCGUGAGGACUUGUUCACAAAGACAGUUUGCCGGCUGCUGCUCCCAAGAAAACAAGUGGGUGUCAUUAAUUUGGCGAAUUGACUUUGCAUGGGCUGUGGAGAAGGACACGAAGAAGCAGAAAGUUAUGGUAUCAUCAAGGACUCGGAAUCUCUAUGCAAAUAUCUGCUUGAUAAGGCAUAGGUUGCGCUGGUCCCAGGAGAAGCAUUCGGGGAUGACAAAUGCAUCCGCAUCUCCUACACUGCAUCCAUGUCAAAUUUGCAGGCAGCUUGCAAGUCUCCAUGAAUUUGCUAUAGUAGACCUAUCCUGCAAUCUUUUGACUGGUCCCAUACCCGAAAAGCCCAGCAACUUAUCAAGCUUACUACUUAUGAAUGUGUCAUUCAACGAUGUCUCUGGUUCAAUUCCUUUAGAAAAGAUUUUCAGAAUGAUGGGUAGCAGUGUUUUUGUUGGCAAUUCAAAGUUAUGUGGAGAACCUUUGAAAUCAUGUGCUGAUUCUGAGGGAAUUCAGCGUGGAUUCAAACUGGAGAGCAAGCUGAACUAGGCACAUUCCCCUAAGUCCAGUGGGGUGGUUCAGUUCAUACAAGAAAAUAAUUUUUACAACUCUUAUUUGAAAAUUUAUUUUUAUAAUUUUGAUGAUAAAAAUAUAUAUAAAAAGGAUUACUAAUAAAAUCAAACUAGUAUGUAAUACAAAAUAAACAUAAAAUAAUAAUAAUAAUAUGACAAAUCUGUUGCAGUGUUUGUUUGUUUUCUUCUUGUAUAUUUCAUGGAAACAACGUUCAUUUCUUCCAUCUUUGCAGGGAAAUCAAAUUAUAUAUAUAUUUGUACUUUCAAAUAUAAAAAAUUAAUUUCCUUUGGUUUUUUUCCUUUCCAUCCAUGCUUUUCAUGAUGGGAAAUAAAAUUUACUUUUAUACUUUCUUUCUAAGCCCACCAAAAGGGAGGGUAAAGGGCUAGUAUAGAGACAAGUUUUUAUUUUAUUGUCUUUUUUAUCACUUUUUUAUAAAGAAAAUAUUGUCAUAUUACUUUUCAAAAGUAAUUACUUGAGGAAACAUAAUUAAUUGUUUCUUAAAAUUUUUAUUUUUAAAGUUUAGUUUCGAGGAUUAUAUUAUUUUUUAUUUACUUUAAAUAAGAAUUUAGUGAUUGAUAACUUCUUAACACAAGCUAUUUGUUUAAAUCAUUUGUAUUUUGAAUUUUAGGGUGUGAAGUGUAAAAUAAUUAUUAUAUCAUUAGAGUGGAUUCAUAAAUAAUUAAAAUAAAUAAAAAUAGAAAAAUGAAAUAAUGAAAAAAUGAAAUUAAAAGAUUUUAUGAAACCAACACACUAAAAAACUAAAUAAUAAAUAAAAAGCAAAAAGGUGGAGAUAUUAUUGAAGAGGAAAAAAAUGAAAAUAAAAAUCAUAUGAUAUGGUUGAUUGUCACAUGCCAAUUUUUUUUAUUUUUUAAAUAAAAGACAACACUUUACCAAAGUAAAAACAAGAAAAAAAGAAAAGAAAAAAAAAUUGUGGUAGUUGUUAGGAGGAAAGGUGGGUUAGAGGGUAGUUUUGAACUUUUGAACUUUUGAACACAUAUUUCUUGGUUUAUUUUUUCCAAUAUAUAUGUACUUUAAAGGUCAAAAUUCAAACUUCAAAAAAAAAAAAAAAAAAAAGCAUAACUUCAUAGCUAAUUUGUUUUCUUUUCUCUUUUCUCUUCUUUUUCUCGUGUUUAUCUUUUUUGAGAAAAUUGAUGAUUUUGUGAAAAUUUGUGUGAAGAGUUUAUAAUAUAUUUAAUAUAUAUAUAUAUAUAUAUAUUCUCCAUCGUUUUUCAAAAUAUUUAUCAAAAUAAUCUUUUAAUUUUAUAAUUCAUUAUUUUCUUUUAUAAUAAAACGAUGAAUACGGUUUCAAUCUUAGAGCUAAAAUCACAUUCAUUAAUUAUGAUUUUAUCAUGAAAAAAACAAUAUGUAAAUGCUAAUAUGCCAUGAUGAAUAUUUUAAAAAUAAAUCAAGAUUAAUAUAUAUAUAUAUAUAUAUAUAUAUAUAUAUAUAUAUAUAUAUAUAUAUUUUAAAAAGGUUAGUUUGACAGCAAACUAUGUGUUAGGACCAAAACGUUUUUGUCCAUAUCGAGGAAAUUAAAAGGGGAAGUGGCCGUUACCGAGUGAAAAAAAGGCGGGAUUGGCCGUCACCGAGUGAAAAAAAGGCGGCAUUGAAAGCCAUGUCUGAUGAUUUUAUAUGGUCUACUUCUGGACUUUCCAACUUUAUGAACCUUUAAUGAUUGAAAAUUGAAAUAUGGGCGGCCCACUGGCCUCUUGCAUGUGUGUUCCAAUAAAACCUGGAUUUGGUGUUUGGUGACAAUGAUGGGAAGUCAAUGGCAAUUCAAGAGUUCCAAUCACAUGAAUGUUGCCUUUUGCCCCUCUGUUGAGAUGAAGACAGGAGAGCACUUGUUGAAUUUUCUUUUUUCUUUUUUUAAAAAAAAAAUUACUUUGACCGGAAACCCCAAAAAAAAAGGCUGUCUUCUGUAAUUUUUGGUUUCACAAAUAAGUUUUUAUGAGAAAAAAAAAAAAAUUCUUAACCACAAAUUAAUUUAUGAUAAAACCCCUUUGUAGUGUGAUUUUUAUUUUAUUUAUUUUAUUUACAAAGAAUGCUUCAAAUUAUAAAAAAUGAUUUGAUAUAUUUUUAUUUACAUAAAAAUUCUUCAACAUAUUUUUAUUUAUAUUUGGGGUGACGUUUUUUGACUUAUUUUUAUUAAAAGAAAUUAUUCAAUGCAAUUUCUCAAUCCAAUUUGAUUUUAUUUACAAAAAAAAAAAAAAAAGUUUGAUUUUAUUUGUAAAAAUAAAGUUUUUAGAAUUCAAUUUUAUUAAGAAAAAUGAUUUUUAUUAAGUAUUGAAAUCAAUUUUUAUUAAAAGAAACGGCUCCAGUUUAAUUUAUAUUUACAAAAAAAUCAUUCGAAUGAUUUUAGUUUGAUCAUUAAGGAAAAUGAAUUCAAUUUUAUUAUUAAGAAAAAUGGUUUUAGUUUUAUGUUUCAAGAAAAAUGAUUUUUAUUAUUAUUAUUAUUAUUAUUAUUAUUAAAAUCAUCUCAAUAUUCCUUUAAAAAUGUUUCAGGUUACAUUAAAAAAAAAAAAGAGUUCAAUUAAGAAAAAAAAAACAAAAAUGUGAUUUCAAAUUUUAUUAUUUUAUUUACAAGUUUGAUGAUUGAAAAAAUAUAUAAAAAAAGAUUACUAAUAAAAUCAAACUGGCAUGUAAUACAAACAAACAUAAAUUAAUAAUAAUAAUAAUAAUAAUAAUGAAUCAAAGGGCCUAGGUAAAUCAAUGUGGCCAACCUCCAAAGCAAGAAAACAAGCCAAGCAAUGACAAGCUAACCCAUAAUCCAAACGGAGGUGAAAACAAUAAAGAUAAAAGUGAAAUGAGACAAAAAAAAAAAAAUAGAAAGGGUAUUGUACGAACCAGUUAUGUGGCCAAUAUGAUGCAAGGUGUUGAAGGCACUAUCUGUGAAUGCAUGGACAGACGAAUUAUAACACCCAUUCAAAGUUAUUGAUAUCUUAAUUGAGUACAUUGGAGCUAUGGUAUGUCGCUUUACUUUGUGAUUUUUCAAUUAUUGUAUAACCAUAAUAGACUUAUAACAUAAUAUCCUUAAGGCUAUGUUUGGUUCGGGAAAAUGUGAAAAAAAGAAAAUUGGGAGGAAAAAUGGAAGGAAAGAAAAAACUAAGGAAAUGAUUAUAAAUUUUUUCACUUAUUUGGUUAUCCAUGGAAAAUUCACGGGAAAAAAAAAAAAUCAUUUUCUUUUGUUUGGUUAACCAUGAAAAAAAGUAAAGGAAAAAUUGAAGGAAAAUAAAAUCAACAAUUUAUUUUAAAUGGUUAUCAAUUCGUUGAAUAAUAAAAUCAACAAAUUUUCAUGUCUAGCAUGUUCAAAACAUGUUGCAGAAACUAGUUACAUUUAGCUACUAAAAUUUCCAUUGCAGCCCACAGGCUGAAAUUUAAACCAUCACAUUUCAGUCACAAACUUCCAUGAAUUUACCUUUUCUGCAUCGAGAGAAAUGAGAAGCUUUUGGUGUAUGAACAUAUGGGAAAUGGGAACCUUUAUCAAUGGUUACACCCCAACAAAGCCAAGGCCAAGAUCUUGGAAUGGCCUUUGAGGGCUAGAAUUGGAGUUGGGCUAGCUAGAGGUCUGGCAUGGCUCCACCAUAACUGUAUGUUCUUGGUAGGACAUGGCAAUAUUAACUUAAAAUGCAUCUUACUAGAUCAGAAUUUUGAGCCCCAAAUUUCGAAUUUUGGAGGGACAACACUCAUGAAGUCAAGCAUCACUGAUUCUACCUGGGGUUUGUUUGUGGGUUCUGCAGAUACUGAGAAUAAGCGUGUGCAAUGCCCUCUAAAGAAAGAUGUCUACAGCUCUGGAAUUAUCCUCCUUGAGAUGGUGACAGGGAAGAAACCUCACAAAAUUUCAGAUGCUUCUCGAAGGUUUGAUGGGACUUUAGUUGAUUGGAUCAACCAUCUUUUGAGUACUUCUGGCCUCUAUGAUACCAUUGAUAAAUCUUUAAUCGGACAAGGAUUUGACGGCGAGAUCUUUGAGUUCCUUAAAGUUGCAUGUAGUUGUGUCAAGGCCUCUCCCCAUCAAAGGCCAACAAUGCUAGAAGUUGAUAAAAUACUAAGAAAUACGGUAGGAAGACACCAAAUUGAUGAUGAUUCUGAGUCAUGGACACAAAAUGAAUGCGGGACCUCUAACGAUAGAGAUGAGUAUACAGACAUCUUAAUUUUGAUUUUAUGGUAACAUUUCUAAUCAAGAGAGUAGAAACUAAUAUUUCUAACAAUCCAAUGUUAAACCGUCCAAAAAUUGAUGCCACCAACAAUGAUACAAAACAAUAACCAAGCACUCAGAAGCAGCAACAACAUACAUAUAUGCAAUACACAACUGCAGACCCAUUCCCGCAACCAAAUUAUGAAAAAACCAUUGGCCAGUAAACAAUAGCAUAACAUCAAGGGUAAAAAUAAGACUAAAUCCAGAAAGCAACAAGCCAAGAAAGUUUAGAAAAAUUAAGGCAAAAUUUAAGAAACGAGAAAGGUGAAAGCAACCUAGAAACCCAAACAGAGAACCCAAGAGAGAGCGAUUACCUUGGGUUCCGGGUUUUCACAGAAUGAGGUGGAUUGGAGUUCAAUUCAUACCUGAUCUAAAGACAUGGAUCUGAAUACAUUCACUGGAUUUGAAGAAUUCAUUUCAUUCAUGGGAAAUUGAUUUGAAGAACGCACUUCAUCCAUGGGAACUCGAGUGCCUUAAAAGAGUAGGUUUUCGGAACUGGAAGGUGGUCGAAGUGAUAGUGGUGGCUGUUGAAAGGGUCGACGACGGUGAGAAGCCAUAGCCACCGAUGAAUAGGAAGUUAGAGGUGAAGUCUCGGUGAACAAGAGCCCAAUAAAAUUUCCCCACCCCCUCCCUCCCUUUUCUCUUCUCUUUUUCUCUUAUUUUCUUCAUUAUUUUUUAAGGAAAAUAAUAGGGAAAAUAUUACAAUAUUUUAUUUAAUAUUUUCCUUUAUAUUUUUUGCCAUCAUAUUUUCCAUAUCAUCCAAACUAAAGAAAACUAUUUUCCUUUGCAUUUUUUUUCCUUUCCUUAGCAUUUUCCGGGAACCAAACAUAGCCUAAAUCUUUAAGGCUAUAUUGCUUAAGGCUAUGUUUGGAUUUUAAAAUAUACUAAAAAAAAAAGAAAAAAAAUUUAUAUUUAAUUUGUUUUAUAGAAAAUACAAAAAAAAAAAAGAUACAAUUGAAAUGAGUAUGAAACUUAUAUAUUUUUAUAUUAUUUAAUUUUUUUAUAUAAAAAAGUUGAAUAAGUAAAAAGAGUUUAAAGUAAUAUAUAAUUAGGCCUUAAAUUGAAGCCACAAAUUUGGUGUGUAGCUUAUUCUCCCUUUUUAGAACCAAAAAGUGGACACACGUGCACCAGUUCAGUUUGGCGUCAAUCUCGCUUCAAAGGGACCUCUCCUCUACCGGAGACAAUGCACCUAAAAUUGGAAAAAAGGAGUAUAAAUUUAUUAGAAACUUAUGAUUCAUCAACAUUGUUUUAUUGAAAAUUAAUUUCCUCUUGAGGAGGACCCAAUAUUUUAUUUCUACUCAAACUGAACUAAGAGCGGCCACUCAAACGGAGCCCGGCCCAUUCCCUCAUACCCUCGUGUAUAAAUAUACCCACUACGAAGCAAGCUUUCCCAAGCAUUUCAUAUUGAUCACACUAUUUCUUCAAGCCCACAUUGUAAUGUUUAUUUAUUUAUUUGUUUGCCUUCUUCUUGUAUAUUUCAUGGAAGAAGUUUUAUUGUGUUCAUUUCUUCCAUUCUUUGCAGGGAAUCCAUAAUGGCAAGACCACCGAAGACGAGAUGGCUAUGGACCCGAGAAGAAGACUAUAAGCUUAAACGCUGUAAGGAAGAACACCCCAAUGAACCUUGGGGAGAGAUCAUAAAGUGAGCGAACUUGCAGGACAGGGAUGAAAAGAGUUGUUCACAUAGGUGGAAUAACUAUCUGAAGUUUGAUUUCAACGACGGGGAAUUCUCCCAACAGGAAGAUGAACUCGUCAUCAAUCUAAAGAGCGGUGGUAUGAGGUAAUGAGAAUCAUCCUCAUAUUUUUCCAUUAUCAUAUGAUAGUGUGGUGAUCAGCUUGAAUCUAAGGUAGGAGUUUUGUGUUGUGUUGCAUGAAGCUGGGCAUUUAUGUCAAAACAGCGUCUUCUUGAGGGGCGAUCUGCUAAUGCUAUCAAGAACUGCUGGUACAACCACUUGAAGAAGAGUACUGCGACUAUAAACGACCCUAGGCGACCCCUUCCCUACUGAUUACUACCCAAAAAGUGCUAUUUUACACCUUUAAGUCAUUAUGUUUUAAGCACUUUUGUGUAGUAAUUCUUCAUCUUUAUUCCAAUUGUCAUGUUAAGGACCUAGCAAUGACUCCUAAUCAUAUUUGUGGCUAGUUUUAGUGUUUUUGACAUCUUUUUAGAUCAUUAAGACAAGCCAUCCAAAGGAGAAAAGCAAAGAAAACCAAAGAGAAGCAAAGAGAAGCAAGGAGGAAAACAGAGGACAGCAGCUGCAGUCUUCUUUAGCACUUUUGGAGAACUUCCCGAAGUCUAUUGUUUACAUGUUAUAUACCAUUUCAAAGCUCAGGAAGUCAAGAAUCCAACGCUUCAAACCGUGUAUGAUUUGGAACUGAAACGAGGAAGAUAUGGCCUUCGGAAGACAACUGCUCCAGGUGUGCGAAUGGUGUGCGAAUGGUGUGCGAAAUUCGCACACCCCCUUAGCUGUGCGAAUGGUGUGCGAAACUCUCACACCCCCCUCAGGUGUGCGAAAAUUCGCACACCCCAUGCGUGGUGCGAAUUUUCCUCUGUUUUUGCCGACUCCACUUUAGAUAUUUUCUUUUGUAUUUUUUGAUGUAAUUUCCUUUCUUCUCCUUGUAACAAGCCAAUCACAAGCUUUGCUUUUGUAAAAACUAUAUAAGGGGUGGAAAUCACCUCUUGGAGGUAUCACGCGUGUUAUGUUUUACACUUAGAAAAAUAUACAGAGCUCUCUCGUUUUCCCUUUUCUCUUUACUAUUUUCUUUUUCUUGGAAGCCAAACAACCUCUGAGGAUGUUUUCUCAGAGGAUGAGAGGCUAAACUUUUGGUUUCUUGGAGUGAUGGAAGCUAGGUGAAAAGUCCAGAUGCAAGGUGGAAAACGCUCGUGCCUUAAAUACAGGUAGUUGAAGUUCAUAAAUGGCUUUUAAAUCCAAAGUUUUGCUUUAAAUCCCUUAGAAUCACUUUGAAUGGCUAAUACAUGGUAAGCUUCAGGUCUCUGUGGAUGCUUAUUGCUAGAUCCAUAUCAGUCCAUUAGUUAUCAUGUACGAGCCAUUGGAAAGUGGUUCAAGGUGAAGACCCAUAGUGUCUAAAGCCAUUAAUGGACCUUGACUACCAUUUCUAUUGAUUUUUAUGGAUUAAAUCUUCAUUGUUAAACCUAUACCGGUUCGGGAAAUAACUAUAGGUUAAAUCUCCAAUGCGAGGAGAAAAAUCCGAAAUUUUCCACUUUGCAUUCUAAACUUGAUCCUAGCAAUCCUGAGCUCCGGGAGACUUUUUUUCUUCCAUUUUUAAUUAGUUUAUGUUAAUUUAGUUUCAAACACUUUCAAAACAAAUUUUAUUUUCUUUUAAACUCUAAGUUUUUUAUAAAGGAAAUCAUCAAAUUCAAUUCCUAAUCAUGAGUAUAUCACUAGUAGAAUGAAAACCCAUCCCAGAGUUCGACCCUAGAGCCACUAUACUAUAGUAGCUUUGCUACACUAGUAUGAGGUCAUAGGUUUUAUAAAUGUUUUUUAUUAAAUGACUCGACUAGAUUUACAUCCGCGAAUCACCUACCACGUGCAACAGCCUCUCAUGAAUGAUCAGACUACUGAUCAUUCCUUGUCGGAAGAUGACAUUAAGGCUCGGAUAUCUUCUUUGUUCACCGACAAUGACAUUGAGGCCUGGGUGUCCCCCCCCCCCCUUUUCCCUCAUCUUUUUCUCUUAUUUUCCUCUGUAUUUUUUAAGGAAAAUAAUAGGGAAAAUAUUACAAUAUUUUCUUUAAUAUUUUCCUUUAUAUUUUUUUCCAUCAUAUUUUCCAUGUCAUCCAAACUAAAGAAAACUAUUUUCCUCUGCAUUUUUUUUUUCCUUUCCUUAGCAUUUUCCGGGAACCAAACAUAGCCUAAAGCUUUAAGGCUAUAUUGCUUAAGGCUAUGUUUGGAUUUUAAAAUAUACUAAAAAAAAAAAGAAAAAAAAUUUAUAUUUAAUUUGUUUUAUAGAAAAUACAAAAAAAAAAAAAAAAGAUACAAUUAAAAUGAGUAUGAAACUUAUAUAUUUUAAUAUUAUUUAAUUUUUUAAUAUAAAAAAGUUGAAUAAGUAAAAAGAGUUUAAAGUAAUAUAUAAUUAGGCCUUAAAUUGAAGCCACAAAUUUGGUGUGUAGCUUAUUCCCCCUUUUUAGAACCAAAAAGUGGACACACGUGCACCAUUUCAGUUUGGCGUCAAUCUCGCUUCAAAGGGACCUCUUCUCUACCGGAGACAAUGCACCUAAAAUUGGAAAAAAUGAGUAUAAAUUUAUUAGAAACUUAUGAUUCAUCAACAUAUCUUUAUUGAAAAUUAAUUUCCUCUUGAGGAGGACCCAAUAUUUUAUUUCUACUCAAACUGAACUAAGAGCGGCCACUCAAACGGAGCCCGGCCCAUUCCCUCAUACCCUCGUGUAUAAAUAUACCCACUACGAAGCAAGCUUUCCCAAGCAUUUCAUAUUGAUCACACUAUUUCUGCAAGCCCACAUUGUAAUGUUUAUUUAUUUAUUUGUUUGCCUUCUUCUUGUAUAUUUCAUGGAAGCAGCUUUAUUGUGUUCAUUUCUUCCAUUCUUUGCAGGGAAUCUAUAAUGGCAAGACCACCGAAGAUGAGAUGGCUAUGGACCCGAGAAGAAGAUUAUAAGCUUAAACGCUGUAACAAAGAACACCCCAAUGAACCUUGGGGAGAGAUCAUAAAGCGAGCGAACCUGUAGGACAGGGAUGAAAAGAGUUGUUCACAUAGGUGGAAUAACUAUCUGAAGUUUGAUUUCAACGACGGGGAAUUCUCCUAACAGGAAGAUGAACUCAUCAUCAAUCUAAAGAGCGGUAGUAUGAGGUAAUGAGAAUCAUCCUCAUAUUUUUCCAUUAUCAUAUGAUAGUGUGGUGAUCAGCUUGAAUCUAAGGUAGGAGUUUUGUGUUGUGUUGCAUGAAGCUGGGCAUUUAUGUCAAAACAGCGUCUUCUUGAGGGGCGAUCUGCUAAUGCUAUCAAGAACCGCUGGUACAACCACUUGAAGAAGAGUACUACGACUGUAAGCAACCCUAGGCGACCCCUUCCCUACCAUGUGCAACAGCCUCUCAUGAAUGAUCAGACUACUGAUCAUUCCUUGUCGGAAGAUGACAUUAAGGCUCGGCUAUCUUCUUUGUUCACCGACAAUGACAUUGAGGCUUCGGUACCUUCUUUGUUCACCGAGGAUGACAUUGAGGCUUGGGUGUCCCCCCCCCUUUUCCCUCCUCUUUUUCUCUUAUUUUUCUCUUUAUUUUUUAAGGAAAAUAAUAGGGAAAAUAUUACAAUAUUUUCUUUAAUAUUUUCCUUUAUAUUUUUUUCCAUCAUAUUUUCCAUGUCAUCCAAACUAAAGAAAACUAUUUUCCUCUGCAUUUUUUUUCCUUUCCUUAGCAUUUUCCGAGAACCAAACAUAGCCUAAAGCUUUAAGGCUAUAUUGCUUAAGGUUGUGUUUGGCUUUUAGAAUAUACUAAAAAAGAAAAGAAAAAAAAUUUAUAUUUAAUUUGUUUUAUAGAAAAUACAAAAAAAAAAAAAUACAAUUAAAAUGAGUAUGAAACUUAUAUAUUUUUAUAUUAUUUAAUUUUUUUAUAUAAAAAAGUUGAAUAAGUAAAAAGAGUUUAAAGUAAUAUAUAAUUAGGCCUUAAAUUGAAGCCACAAAUUUGGUGUGUAGCUUAUUCUCCCUUUUUAGAUCAAAAAGUGGACACACGUGCACCAUUUCAGUUUGGCGUCAAUCUUGCUUCAAAGGGACCUCUCCUCUACCGGAGACAAUGCACCUAAAAUUGGAAAAAAUGAGUAUAAAUUUAUUAGAAACUUAUGAUUCAUCAACAUUGUUUUAUUGAAAAUUAAUUUCCUCUUGAAGAGGACCCAAUAUUUUAUUUCUACUCAAACUGAACUAAGAAUGGCCAUUCAAACGGAGCCCAGCCCAUUCCCUCAUACCCUCGUGUAUAAAUAUACCCACUACGAAGCAAGCUUUCCCAAGCAUUUCAUAUUGAUCACACUAUUUCUUCAAGCCCACAUUGUAAUGUUUAUUUAUUUAUUUGUUUGCCUUCUUCUUGUAUAUUUCAUGGAAGCAGCUUUAUUGUGUUCAUUUCUUCCAUUCUUUGCAGGGAAUCCAUAAUGGCAAGACCACCGAAGACAAGAUGGCUAUGGACCCGAGAAGAAGACUAUAAGCUUAAACAUUGUAAGGAAGAACACCCCAAUGAACCUUGGGGAGAGAUCAUAAAGCGAGCGAACCUGCAGGACAGGGAUGAAAAGAGUUGUUCACAUAGGUGGAAUAACUAUCUGAAGUUUGACUUCAACGACGGGGAAUUCUCCCAACAGGAAGAUGAACUCAUCAUCAAUCUAAAGAGCGGUGGUAUGAGGUAAUGAGAAUCAUCCUCAUAUUUUUCCAUUAUCAUAUGAUAGUGUGGUGAUCAGCUUGAAUCUAAGGUAGGAGUUUUGUGUUGUGUUGCAUGAAGCUGGGCAUUUAUGUCAAAACAGCGUCUUCUUGAGGGGCGAUCUGCUAAUGCUAUCAAGAACUGCUGGUACAACCACUUGAAGAAGAGUACUGCGACUAUAAGCGACUCUAGGCGACCCCUUCCCUACCACGUGCAACAGCCUCUCAUGAAUGAUCAGACUACUGAUCAUUCCUUGUCGGAAGAUGACAUUAAGGCUCGGCUAUCUUCUUUGUUCACCGACAAUGACAUUGAGGCUUCGGUACCUUAUUUGUUCACCGAGGAUGACAUUGAGGCUUGGGUGUCUUUUCUGUGUUCACCGACCGACGAUGAUGAAAAUCCAAUUAGUUCGAUUACUAAACACUCUCAUUCCUUUUCAGAAGAUGACAUUAAGGCUUGGGUAUCUUCUUUGUUCACCGACAAUGACAUUGAGGCUUGGGUAUCUUUUUUGUUCACCGACGAUGACAUUGAGGCUUCGAUACCUUCUUUGUUCACUGACGACGAUUAAAAUCCAAUUAGUUCGAUUCCUCAACACUCUCAUUCAUUCGGAAGAUGACAGUGAGGCUUAGGUAUCUUCUUUGUUCACCGACGAUGACAUUGAGGCUUGGGUGUCUUCUUUGUUCACCGACGAUGAUUAAAAUCCAGUUAGUUCGAUUCCUGAACACUCUCAUUCCUUGUCGGAAGAUGACAGUGAGGCUUGGGUAUCUUCUUUGUUCACCGACGAUGACAUUGAGGCUUGGGUGUCUUCUUUGUUCACCGACGAUCAUCAAAAUCCAAUUAGUUCGAUUCCUCAACACUCUCAUUCCUUGUCGGAAGAUGACAGUGAGGCUUGGUUAUCUUCUUUGUUCACCGACGAUGACAUUGAGGCUUGGGUGUCUUCUUUGUUCACCGACGAUCAUCAAAAUCCAAUUAGUUCGAUUCCUCAACACUCUCAUUCCUUGUCGGAAGAUGACAUUUGUAGGGAACACCCCCAGACGCCCACGUGGCAACCCCGCGCAGCAUCCCCCCAUGCGACACGUGGCACAUCAACUCUCUACCCAGGUCCCCUCACGGGGGCACACGGCACUCUCAAAUCCUCUACCCGGACAGUGCUCUCCCUUGUUCGGAUAUGUUGUCCGAACCUAUGGCCGUAAAACGCAAGUCAUGCUGAGUCACUUCAGACAACCUGUCAUAACCCGCAUUUCGCCGCCUGCAGAGCGAAAGGACAGGAAUGACGGCAAGUCAUCUCCCACAAUUUCUAACAGCCGCCUGCAGAAUGAUGAUGACUCUACCAUCACCUCAGUGUCAUCAUGACAAGCUAAAAAGUCUUCCCACCAUUAAAGGGGGACAGAGCUUCUGACACUAUAAAAGGGCCCUCACGCAAAGAGGGAGGUAAGCUAUCUGACUCAGAAAAAAGAGGAAUAAAUUGAUCAUCUGAGCAAUGGCUAACAAAAUCAUCAGAGGGUGUGUCCGGACAUCUUUUGCAGGGAUGACCGAGCCAGGAAUCAUCUUCAGUUGAGAGGGAGCGUCAUCUGGUGACCGUGAGGACCUUGGUGACGUGAGGCUUCAACAUUGGCCCCGUCUGUGGGAACCUUUUGCUCAGUCAACGGCGAAGAUGUCCACACCGUCCAGGAGCCACUCAUCAGCUAGAGAAGACGAAGGAUAUUUUGAAUGGCGUGAAGCCAUGGAAAUGCGAUAAUUGGAGGGCGAGCGACAAAUGCAAGCUCUCCUCCAGGAAACAACGAGACUGAGAGAAGAAAACGCUGUGUUACGCAUCCAGGCUUCGUCCUCGGGGCCUCUUAGUGACCAACGCUCAAGAGGUCAGGGGGUAAACUCAAGGCCUGAUCCAGAAUCGAUAUAUCCCGGAACUACGGGGGUCAUCCCUGAUGUGCGCAAUGAUCGAUCUCGGGGACGACCCAUGCCCAUGUACCAAGCUCCCCAAAAUGAAAGCUCAGACUCUACUCAUCUCUCAUCAAAGAAACAGCGCGAUAAAAGGCCCUAGUUAUCAGACAUGAUGCGCGCAAGGUUAGGCCCGUAGGAGCCUGGUAAGGCGAGGCCACCGGUCGCCGCAACCUGGGAAGCGUACCCCGACCUCCCAAUCGCACCCACUGUUCAGAACAACCUCCCGCACCAAGCGGUACGACAAGCCGGAAAGAACUCAUCAAAUGAACCACCCUCCGGCUCCAUUAGCAAAAGGCUGGAUGACAUGCUCUCCACGCCUUUUGGCUCGCAUAUCAUCCAUUACGACCCCCCAAGGGGAUUCCUCGUGCCAAAAUUUUUUGCGUAUGAUAGGUCUAGCGAUCCAUUCAACCAUAUCAUGCAUUAUCGGUAGCUCAUGACUCUAGACAUAGGAAAUGACGCGUUGUUGUGCAAGGUAUUCCCCGUCAGCCUACAAGGUCAGGCUCUCUCAUGGUCUCACCGACUACCCCCGAACUCUGUUGAUAACUUCCAAGACAUAUCGGAAGCUUUUGUGGGGCAAUACCUAUGUUCCACCCGGCAUAAGCAGAACAUCAGUACCCUACAAAACAUAAAAAUGCAGGAGAAUGAGUCUUUAAGAGAAUUCGUGAAAUGGUUUGGCCAGGUUGUGCUACAAGUAGAGGCCUACAACAUGGAUGUUGUCCUCCAAAUCUUCAAGCGAAGCAUAUGCCCAGGCACCCCAUUCUUUGAAUCACUCGCUAAGAAGCCUCCCACGACUAUGGAUAACUUGUUUCGACGCACGAGCAAAUACUCGAUGCUGGAAAAUGACGUGCGUGCAGCCACACAGCAAAUUUUGGUUGUCGAACAAACAUCCAGAAGCAAUGCGGAAAGAAGUUUCAAACUUCCGGACCGGCCAAGGCCGUCUGGUCGAAGGUAGGAGGAGCAAAGUCGCCCAGAACUGCCACCACUUACGCCCCUUUCUGUAUCAUAUGAGAAGCUCCUCCCUAUGAUCCAAGACCUAUCCGACUUUAGGUGGCUCGGACCCAUCAGAAUGGAUCCAUCCAAGAGAGACCAUAGCAAGAAGUGUGCUUACCAUAAAGAGCAUGGUCACACUACGAAGUGAUGCAGGAGCCUCCAUUAUUUGGUAGAAAAGCUCAUAAAAGCAAGACAUUUGAAGCAAUACCUCCGCUCAGAAGCCAAAGUUAGAGAUACUCCCCGAAACCGCGAUUCUAGGACCUCCAGGACCCUAGUCGCCCCCAAAGUCGUCAUUAAUUACAUCCACGGAGAACCACUAGAUGAGGAGUACAACUCCAAACGAAAGAGGCAGAGGUUGUUGCGAGCAACAUCAGUGCGUGAGCGCGUCAAUUCCAUCCGGCCUGGGAUAAUUGGAGGGGGCACCCGACCCAUAGAUGGGACAAUCGUUUUCCCCUCAAUAGAUCUCACACGAAUAUUACAACCACACUAUGACGCCCUCAUCUUUGAUGUGAGACGGAUCCUAGUCGACCCAGGCAGCUCAACCGAUCUUUUACAAGCGUCAGUAAUUAAUCAGAUGGGACGCGAACUGUCCGGCUUAGAAAACCCUGGGCGGAUCUUGUCCGAAUUCAAUGGAGCGGCAACUACCUCCCUGUGAGACAUUGUGCUGCCGAUCCAAGCAGGCUCAGUCACCCUCAAUGUGCAGUUUUCAGUGGUAGAAGAUGUCCCCCUUUAAUGCUAUCUUGGGGCGCACGUGGCUGCACUAUAUGAAAGACAUCCCUUCCAUGUACCAUCAAAUGGUAAGCUUUCUCACUGAAGAUGAAGAUAGGAAAAUCGAUCUAUACGGCAGUCAGUUGGCCGCUCGCCAGUGCCAUCAGAUAGCACGAGAGGUGGGGUCCAGCAAAAAGGGCGAGCCCCUCCCCAAACCCUCCAACGCAUCUGACCAAUAGCAAUUACUGAAUCCGGCGGACAAAGAUCGCCCGGCAGCGAACCCCUUACGGACAAUCCAGAUCUCAGAAGAAAGCACUCAUCUCACACAUAUCAUCUCCCUCUUGACACCCGAGGAGGCCCAAACAUCCAAGACGCCCUCCGACAAAGCCAUGACGUCUUUGCAUGGGCGCAUUUUGACAUGACGGGAAUCCACCCUUCAGUCGCCUCUCAUAGGCUCAACAUCUUGCCUUCAUCAAGACCUAUCCAGUAGAAGGUUAGGCGGUUCCACUCGGACAGGCAAAAGAUAAUCCAAGACGAGGUUGACAAACUAUUGGAAGCCGAAUUUAUUAGAGAAGUGGAGUACCCAGAAUGGCUGGCAAAUGUGGUGGUGGUCCCCAAAAAGGAGGGAAAGUGGCGGGUGUGCAUUGAUUAUACCAAUCUCAACAAUGCGUGCCCAAAAUACAGUUUCCCUCUGCCGCGGAUAGAUCAAAUUGUGGACUCCACUGCCAGACAAGGAAUGCUCUCCUUCCUAGACGCCUUCUCCGGAUACCACCAAAUUCCCAUGGGCCCCGACGAUGAAGAAAAGACAACCUUUAUAAUAUCGCAUGGGCUUUACUGUUAUAAAGUCAUGUCAUUCAGACUCAAAAAUGUCGAUGCCACCAAUCAAAGACUGAUGACGAAAAUCUUCAAACCCCUAGUUGGCCGCACAGUGGAAGUAUAUAUUGAUGAUAUAGUAGUUAAAAGUAGAACCCGAGAUGAGCAUGCACUCCACUUGCGAGAAGUAUUCCACAUGCUAAAGAAGUACGACAUUAAAAGUUGAAUCCAUCCAAAUGCGCUUUUGGCGUGAGUGCCGGGAAAUUCUUGGGAUUCAUGGUCAGUCAAAGAGGGAUAGAAGUUAGCCCUGAUCAAGUUAAGGCAGUCAUGGAAACACCACCCCCUAGGAGCAAAAAGGAAUUGCAGCGCCUCACAAGCAAGCUUGUCACACUAGGGCGCUUCAUAGCCCAGUUCACUGACGAAUUGCAACCCUUCUUCUUGAUGUUACGAAAAGCCGAUACAACUGGAUGGACGAACAGCUGCCAAAGCACUUUCGAGAAAAUCAAACACUACCUCACGCAGCCACCCAUCCUGAGCAGCCCCUUCCCUAGAGAAAAAUUGUAUAUGUAUAUGGCUAUAUCAGUCUAGGCAGUUAGCGCUGUUUUGUUCCGCUGCCCCACGCAUAAGGAGCAGAAACCUAUUUAUUAUGUCAGCAGAGCAUUGGCCAACGCAGAAACAAGGUACUCAAAGAUAGAGCAAACGGCUUUGGCCCUUCAAGUGCAACCUAGAAACUCCGCCCCUACUUCCAAGCUCACCCUGUAGUCGUCCUUAUCGACCAGCCCCUACAUGACAUCCUGCACAAGCCGGAUCUAUCUGAAAGAAUGCUCCAAUGGGCCAUAGAAUUAAGUGAGUAUGGGAUCGAAUACCAACCAAGAUUGUCCAUGAAAGGGUAGGUAAUGGCUGAUUUUGUGGUAGAAUACUCCCAAAAACCUGCUCAAGACAAUGAACCACAUAAAGAAUAAUGGUGGACUUUGCAGGUUGAUGGAGCCUCUCGAUCAUCGGGAUCCGAAAUAGGGCUUCUGCUGCAGUCCCCAACGAAGGAACAGUUGGAACAAUCUAACAGGUUGGGAUUCCCCGCGUCGAACAAUGAAGUAGAGUACGAAGCCAUCCUAUCCGGAUUAAACCUCGCUCUUGCACUAGUUGUCUCCAAGCUCCGAAUCUAUAGCAAUUCCCAACUCGUGGUGAGACACGUGCAAGAGGAAUACGGAGCCAAGGACAAACGCAUGGCGCGAUACCUGACCAAAGUAAGGGACACCCUACAGCAGUUGGGCAAAUCGACCAUUGAAAAAAUUCCACGAACUGAUAACGUACGUGCCGAUGCCCUGGCAGGAAUAGUUGCUUCCCUGCCCAUCAAAGAUGUCAUAUUAUUGCCCAUAUAUGUGCAGACUGUUCCCUUCAUCAAAGAGGCGCCCACUUGCAGUACUAUUAAGGGGAGCCAGAAAGACGGCCAGGAGUGGAAGGAAGUCAUUGCACGGUACCUCCGGACAGGCUCGCUACCUGAUGAGCCCAAGCAGGCGCACAAGAUCAGGGUACAGGCUGCUCGUUUCACCCUAAUUGGGGAGCACCUUUACAAGCGAUCUUUCAUAGGCCCCUACCUCAGGUGCCUAGACCGCUCAAAAGCCGGAUGUAUUAGCUAAGUUACAUGAGGGUGUAUGCGGCAAUCAGUCCAGAGGACGAUCUUUGGCACAUCGGGCGCACUCACGAGGAUAUUAUUGGUCCACUAUGAAAAAAGACGUGGCGGCUUAUAUCAAGAAGUGUGACAAAUGCCAAAGGCAUGCCCCCAUACCGCAUGUGCCGUAUGAGACAUUGAAGCCAAUCUCUAGCCCCUGGCCUUUUGCGCAAUGGGGGUGGACAUAGUAGGACCUCUACCAGUUGCAACUGCCCAGAAGAAAUUUAUGCUCGUCGCCACGAAUUACUUCAGUAAAUGGGUAGAAGCAGAAGCAUAUGCUAACAUCAAAGACAAAGAUGUCACCAAAUUCGUGUGGAAAGCUAUCAUUGCCGACAACAGUCCGUAGUUUGACAGCAUCACCUUUCGGAAUUUCUACUCGAAACUCAAAAUCCAGAAUUCGUACUUCACACCACGUUACCCUCAGAUCAAUGGACAGGUAGAGGCAACAAACAAAACCUUGGUGACUGCCUUAAAGAAGAGACUCGAGCAAGCCAAAGCAAAGUGGGUAGAGGAACUGCCCGGCGUCCUAUGCGCCUAUCGAACCACGCCUGGGCGACCCACGGGAAACACUCCAUUCACCCUCGCAUACGGCAUGAAUGCAGCCAUCCCCAGAUAGAUAGGCCUGCCCACUAUCCGGACUGAGGCAAAAGGACAGAGUGAUGGAAGUAUGGAGCUAGAAAGAAAUCUGGACUGGGCGGACGAAGUGAGAGAAAACGCAUCCAUCCGGAUGGCCGACUAUCAGCAAAGAGCGAUCACUCACUAUAACCGCAAGGCAUGACCUAGGGUCUUCAAGGUUGGAACACUAGUCCUCAGAAAAGUUUUUGAAAACACCGUCGAAAGAGGAGCCAAGAAAUUCCAAGCGAAUUGGGAAAGUCCUUAUAUUGUGACUAAGGCAAGUAAGAGCGGAGCCUAUCACCUACAGAAACUAGACGGAACCCCGCUGCUCCGUCCAUGGAAUGUAUCUAACCUUAGGCAAUAUUAUCAGUAAAAAGAAACGAGAGAUGAACAAAAACAGCAAAAUGUAAUGUAUUCGUAAAUGAUUGAAAAAUUGUCUUUAUAGAAUCGGCCACCCCAUAUGCAGCAAAACAAAGAAAAAAACUAUAGAGAUUGCACACGGAGAAAUCUCAGCAAUAGGGGCCCCCGGGUAUCACAUCCUCCUCAUCAAAAGAAAGAAAAGGAACAUCAUGCAUAAUGUCAUUUUUCUUCAUACAACAACGGUAGCCAAAGAAAUACAUCUCGCCUACCUGUUGCUAGUAUUCCGUCUCCAUCUCCUUCUUCUGAGCGGCAAACCCGACUUCCAUCUCCUCCUUCUGAGCCGCUAAGUUCACCUGCAAAGUCUCUGUCUCCUUCUUUUGAGCUGCAAGGCUAGCCUGAAGUUCAUCCAUUUCUUUCUUCAACUGAAGAUUCUCCUGCCCCACUUCAGUGACUUAGCCCUCCAAGGCCUCCUUUUCCUUCUUCAACGUGUCCGCCUCAACCCGGACAACCCCUUUUUCUUCUUCAACCUGGCUCAAUUGCUCCGCCCCAUCCGCCACAGCUUUCUGAGCAGCAGCCAAUUCGGCCUCCACCUUCUCCAAUCGUGAGGGCAGCUCCUCAAUACCGCCCGAAUGGUGGGAGAUGAAUGCAAGCAUGGCCUUCGCCACUUCCAGUCGCUUGAAAAGUUGCUCGCGCGUGUGCAUCAUAUAGCGGAUGCCGGCUAUAACCUGGGCAAAACAACAACAAAACAAAAGCUAAGGUCAUGCAAAGAAGUAACAACUACUAAGGAAGAAGAGAAAAAUAACAAAGAAGUAAUUACCACUUCUGCAAUCUCAGGGAUCGUCCACUCCUGUAGAUGUUGAAUACAAGACACGGCGGACUCAGGAGUGCCAAAAGGAAGUCGCGCCUUGACAAAUGCAGGAGGGUCACCACCCAUGUUCACGAAGACACGCUUGGUCAGCAGGAAGAAGUCAGACAUCUUUAUGGAGGGAGCCUCCGAAUCCGUAAAGCAUGGCACCCCCUUUAGCAUCUCCAUCAUUUCCUUCUAGCUUGGAGGAACCGCGGUAGCAGGACUACUCUUCUCGUCCAGAGCCUCCUCAUCGAUUGUCGCAUCCGGAACCCUCUCUAACCCACGGGUCUCCACUGUAGCUGGGGCAUCGCCAAAAGCAGUUGUGCCUAGUUGAGCAGCAGCCGCUGAGCUAGGCCUUGGAGCGUCAACCUGAACUGUUGCUGUCACGGCAGCUGCGCUAGGACUUGCCUCGUCCGAGCGGGUCGUAGCUGACAACGGAACCUCUGACGCCGGAUCCUUCCCACCUCGCUCUGGGCAGACUUUCUUAGCUUAUGGAGGCUCAAGAUCGAUGGGAUCAUACAGCCGUUUGCGAUGCCUUUGCAAAAACCCGGUCCUGAGGUCGUUCAUGUCUCUUACUUCUUCCAGCUCGUGCACGAUCCUCAGACCAACGAAGUCUGGCUGAGGUUGGGAGGAGUUAGGCCCCGGGCGGAAAGUCUCAAGCUUCGGGGAGCCGGAGGUGUCCUCGGGCUCUGAAGCAGGGUUAUACAGUCGGCUAGGCCCGGACUUGCAGGACGAAGACGAAAGAUUAGGAGUUGGAGACACCACCCAGAAAGCCUGCGCAAUGGUCUUCUUCGUUUUCUUCUUCUUCUUCUUCUUCUUCUCCUUUGUGGCCGGAAAACGGACCACCGGGGAAGAGCGGGUCCCUUCUCACCAGGUGCUUUCCUCAAUGUCCCCUCCUGCCUCUUCUCCUCUCGCUGGUUAAGGCGCUCCUGGCGCGCCUUCGCGUCAGCCUCAUGAGCCCUUUCAUAGAAAGGCAAGUCCUUCAACACAAAAUGUUCCCCGGGCACUACGAAUUUGGGUAGUCACCUAGGGAGAAUAUUGAUAACGUACGGUUGAGGCUCUGGGACAACCGCCAACAGAUUCCGGGCAGAGAGCAGCGUCUGAUAGUGCCUCUCAAUAGCAAUGAUUUCGAACAGCCUGUUCAAACAAUCGAAAGAGGCCUUCUCCACCCACUCGACCAGGCGACCCCUCUUGGAUGUACCUACACUACCCACAAAAAAAAGAGGUUAGUCAUCUGAUAACAAUGAAUCAAAAGUCAAAAAACCAACAUCGGACAAAAUCGGAAAACUACCCUACCCAGGAGCGUCAAUGAACGAUUGGGGGAAAACUCCCUUUCUGGAUGCUUCGACAGGCCAACCCAAAGACCCCUAACCAGUACAUGUCCUUUGGCUCCCCCCUUGUUCGAAUCUGGAAGGUUGGUCACCAAUUGGAGGGACGAAUAUGGGUAAACAGGCUGAAGAGGUCUGUCUUCCCCUUCUUGAUGGUGUAAACAAAAAGGACCUCCAGCAAGGAAAGAUCCAAAUUAAACAGCAUAUUCAAAAUGCUGCACCCCAUCAGCACCCGAACUAUAUUGGGAUGGACGUAAGCCAGAGGAAUCUAAGUGAAGUGAAGAAACUCUUUGAAGAGAGACGGAAGAGGAAACCAGAGCCCCGCAUUGAAUUGCUCCUUAGUAAAGUAAAUAGCGUUGUCGGCAGCUUUCUCAAUAGACACAACCUCCCCGUCCACAAGCUGAACGGAAACGCUAUUCGGAAUGCAGAAACGCUCGCAAAACUGCCUCACGUUCAGCUUGUUAGUAGGCUUCUCCGAGUAGGUUUGCCUGGAUGCAUUUUUUCCACUAAGCCCAACCGCACUAGACGAAGCCACAUCCUUUUUUGCAAGCAUGAUAAAGCAUGGGGCCGAGACCAAACCUACGUGGCGAAAUGCCAAUAGUAAAAAAGAGAGACCCAGCCCCACAGCCCCGAGAGUAAAAGGCCCAGAAGGCCUAAAACAGCCAAAACCCCAAGCCUAACCCCUGACUCUACCCCAAAGGAGGAUCAGUCACCCGUAAAGGCAACAGGGGGGCAACAGAAACCCCAACGGGCCCAAAGCGAAAGCAAAACCCCCUGGAAAACCCUAAACACCAACACUGACCCUCAAUCGCAAACAAGAUACCCAACAAGCAAGGGAAAAUCAAAGAAAUAGGAAACCCAAGAGGAAGAGAUAAAAAUACAGAACGUACCUAGGGCAAACUUGCAAACGAGAACGAAGGUCGUGAUACAGUCCCCCUUACGAUGGGAAUUCCGCUAGCAAAAACCCUACAAGGCGACCCUCAGUCACAAGCGCGAAUAAGCAAAGAGGCGAAAGGAAAACGAACAAGAAGAAUGCAGAGGGGAAAAAUGCAGUCGCGGGGGCUAGAUUCCCUAUUUAAAGGAUACCGCUCCUCGGUAUUCCAAACGCCUAAUCGCUCCACUAUCGAAACAACAUGCCGCCUGGGAAUCCUCCCAAGAGCGGCGGCUCACCAUAAAUACCGCCCCCCCCCCCCCCCCCCCCCAUAAGCAUAAUGUGAACAAUGCUUCUUUUACCUUCACAGAGAAUUGAGGUUGAGAGAAAGACAAACCAGCUUGCUGAACGAGAAUUUGAGUCAAACGUCCGUCAAAAGCAGAGUGAGUUGUAUAGCAUAGAGCAAAAAAUUAAAGCUCUUAAUAGAGAGAAAGACAUCAUGGCUGUGGAUUCGGAGGACAGAGUGAAAUUGUCUCUGAAGAAGGGAGAGUUGGAAAACCACAAAAAGAAACAUCAAAAGAUGCAAGUCAAAUAUUUCCCCCCUCUUUAGUUCUAGUGUUUAUUGAUCUUGUAAUCUACCUGAUGUAAUAUAUUUCUUUUUGAAACUGAUGUCUUUUGGUUUUUUUUUCAGAAUGGACGAAUACAAGGACCGAAAUCCAGGGGAGUGCUGAACAGGGAGGCUUCCNNNNNNNNNNNNNNNNNNNNNNNNNNNNNNNNNNNNNNNNNNNNNNNNNNNNNNNNNNNNNNNNNNNNNNNNNNNNNNNNNNNNNNNNNNNNNNNNNNNNCCCCCCCCCCCCCCCCCCCCCCCUUUUUUUUUUUUCCCCCGCAACACCACGUGGCGCAUUAACUCCAAAAAGCAACUAGAGCUUUAAAAACAUCAUUUUUAACCCGCCUAUUCUGCCCGGGCAAAAUAGCCAGGUUAAAAGGGGGCCAUUGUAGGGAUCACCCCCAGACGCCCACGUGGCAACCCCGCGCAGCAUCCCCCCAUGCGACACAUGACACGUCAGCUCUCUACCCGGGUCCCCUCAGAGGGGCACACGGCACUCUCAACUCCUCUACCCAGACGAUGCUCUCCCUUGUCCGGAUAUGUUGUCCGGACCCAUGGUCGUAAAACGUAGGCCAUGCUGAGUCACUUCAGACAGCCUGUCACAACCUGCAUUUCACUGCCUGCAGAGCGAAAUGACAGGAAUGACGGCAAGUCAUCUCCCACGAUUUCUGACAGCCGCCUACAGAAUGAUGAUGACUCUGCCAUCGCCUCAGUGCCAUCAUGACAAACCAAAAAGUAUUCCCACCAUUAAAGGGGGACAGAGCUUCUGACACUAUAAAAGGGCCCUCACGCAAAGAGGGAGGUAUGUUAUCUGACUUAGAAAAAAAAUGAAUAGAUUGAUCAUCUGAGCAAUGGCUAACAAAAUUAUCGGAUGGUGUGUCCGGACAUAUUUUGCAGGGAUGACCGAGCCAGGAAUCAUUUUCAGUUGAGAAGGAGCGUCAUCUGGUGACCGCGAGGACCCCGAUGGCAUGAGGUUUCAACAACAUUAAGGCUUGGGUAUCUUCUUUGUUCACCGACGAUCAUCAAAAUCCAAUUAGUUCGAUUCCUCAACACUCUCAUUCCUUGUCGGAAAAUGACAGUGAGGCUUGGGUAUCUUCUUUGUUCACCGACGAUGACAUUGAGGCUUGGGUGUCUUCUUUGCUCAUAUGCUAAUACUAAAUCCUCUUAUUUUCAUCUACUGCAUGAAUUCCUUCAAUUGACUCCACCACUUAUGGUAACUGGUAACGUAGUUUGUUAAAUACCAGCGUAGAGAACCUCUCCAUGACACAAACUUUCACAUACUUCAAUCUUCUUACCUUAACUAUUAAUUGACUCCACCAUUUCGAUGGGUUUAUGUGUGAAUGUCAAAAUUUAAUUAGGUUUUAUUUUUCUUGUCUAAAAAUUAAAAGGACUAAAUCUAUCAUCCAAUCUCCCACCAAGAUUUCGAAAUUAUAUCAUUUCUAGGGCAGGCUAUUUCAGUUGCCUUGUGCAAGUGUGGUCUCUAGAUGUCCACGCGGUCUUUCAGUUGCCUUGUGCCUCUUUAUCGGUGGUCAACGGCUGGUCCGCGAUCAAAGCUCAAAAUUGAGCUUUUGCUGCGAGGGAUUCGAACCCCUGGUCCACACGGUCAAAGCUCAAGCUAUGUUUUUGUUGAGGGAUUCGAACCCUUGGUCCACAAGGUACAGUCAGCUAUUUUUUUACAGUCAGCUAUUUUUUUGCUGCGGGGGAUUCGAACCCCUGGUCCACACGGUACAAUCAAAGCUCGAGCUAUUUUUUUGCUCGUUGUUGGGGGAUUCGAACCCCUAAUAACAAAAGGUUAAGCAUGCAUCACAAGUGCCACUAGGCAAACUUACCCUUUGAUGUAAAUCUACCACUAAAGAAAUAUAUAUCAAAACUUAGGAUAUAAACAAAAUAUUAAAAAAAACACUUUAAAGAACAAAUUAAUUAUAACUAUUUUAUAAUUGAAAGAAAAAUUUUCAUUUAAUUUAUUAGUAAAAAUAUAUCAUAAUUUUCUUUAUAGUGUUUUUAAUAUUAUUAAUAUAUUAAUUAAAUAUUAAAAAUUUAUUCCUUUAUCAUCAUUUAUUUUAUAAUGUAUCAUAAUUUUAAUAUUAAAUAGAUUUUAAAAUUAAACAUAUUAUAAUCAUAUAUCACACUAUUAUCAUCAAAUAAUAUUUGAUAUAAUUUAAUAAUCAAUAUAUAUUUAUCAAAUUUAUAUUUUUUAUUAACACGUACAAUAUUAUAUAUAUAUAUAUAUAUAUAUAUAUAUAUAUAUAUAUAUAUAUAUAUAUAUAUAUCAAUUUAUUCAAAAAAAAAUAACUUUAAAAUAUCUAUUAUACUUUUAAUUUCAUUUCUAAGAGUUUUAUUUUAUAUUUUUAUAAGUUUUGAUCAAUUUUAGCCAUCAAAAUAUAUUAUAAUCAAAUAUCAUAAUAUAAUCAUCAAAUAAUAUUUAAUAUAAUUUAAUCAUCAAUAUACACUUAUCAAAUUUAUAUUUUUUAUUGAUACACACAAUAUUAUAUAUAUAUAUAUAUAUAUAUAUAUAUAUAUAUAUAUAUAUAUAUAUACAUUAAUUUAUUCAAUAAAACAACUUUAAAAUAUCUAUUAUAUUUUUAAUUUCAUUUCUAAAAGUUUUAUUUUAUAUUUUUAUAAGUUUUGAUCAAUUUUAGGUCUACCAAUAUUUUAUGUCAAAAUAUCAACAGAUAUAUUUUCGAUUUAUUCAAUACAUCCCCAAUAUAUUCGUAAAAUCAAAAUACCGAUAUAUCUAUAAUUAUCUGUAAUUAUCAAUAUUUUUAUUUUGUUUGCACUAGAGAUAAUAAUAAUAUUUUUUUCAUCCUUGCUUGCACUAGAGACAAUAAUAUUAUUCGAGUGAGAUCAUUUUGAUUGGCAUUUGGCCCCACUUUUGUUUUCUUCGUAUCUUGAUUGUCCUCAAGCCCAAAUAUGUCCUUGACUCAACUAUCAGUUGCCUUCACAAAUCUUGCACCAAAAGACAAUAAUAUAUAUUCUUGGCAUUUGGCCCCACUUUUGUUUUCUUCCUAUCUUGACUGUUCUCAAUUGCCCAAAUAUGUCCUUAACUCAGCUAUUCUUUACCUAAUAAUCGAUCUCACCCGCAGUAGUUGAUUUUACUUAUUUUCUUUAAGACAAUUGUUUUUUAAAAAAAAAUAAUGGGAUAAAUAUAAAGAAUAAUUAAAACCCACAUUAGUUGAUUUUACUUUAUUUAAAAAAAAAAUAACUAUUUUAAAUAAUAAUGAGAUCAAUAUGAAGAAUAAUUAAAAUAAAAUAUUAUAUAUAAAAUUUGUUUUUAAAAAAUAUUUAAAAACAUAAAAAAAUAAGUUAAAACUAUUCUAAAUUCUUAAAUAAGUUUUUGCUCUAGUAAACAUUAAGAAAUAUUAUUCAAAACUAUUUUCAAAAACUAUUUUUUAAGAAUAAUUUUCAAAAACCUUCCCAAGCAUACCCAAUUUCUUCCAAACUAGGUUCCGUAAUAUUGAAUCCUCAUCUCCAUGGACUUGGUUUGCAUGCAAUAGACCCUACUCAGAUGCUCCCUCUAGUCUUCCUAAUCUUGAAGCACCCAAAUUUAAUUCCUGUUGUACUUUUUUCCUUCUAAUUGUUUAAAUUACUUCUACUUUUCUAAAAGUGUUGAAGGGAAAGAACAAACCUUUUAAGACCCAGAAAUGUUUGGAGUUCGUUUUAUCUUUGGGGUCACAGUGUAUGCACAUGUUUCGCUAAAAGGUUCUGCAAAAUUAGUAAAUUAAAUAGGAAAAUAAUAAGAACAAAAUAUUUAUUGAAAUUAAAAAUAUUAUGGGUACAAUCUCAAAUAUAAUAUUCUUUAUAAAAAAAUAUUUUCCCUCUUAUUCUUUAACUUUGACCACAAUUUGAAAAAUGACGAUGAUGUUUUCUUGAUUUUGAAGAUCAAUCGAGGGUCACAAGUGGCUUAUUUCUGAAUGAACUCGUUAAAUGUGAAUGAUGCAUGUAGCAGUUCUUUUCCAGUUUAUUGAACUUGUAGGAAAAUUUGAUGAAGUUUUUUAUGAAGUUUUUUCUUUUGUUGGGAAAUUUGAUGAAGUUUUUUCUUUUGUUGUGAAGCAAUUUGAUGAAGUUUUUUCUUUUGUUGGGAAAUUUGUUCUUUUGUUGUGAAGCCUCUUUUCCCAUACGCCUUUGGAUUUUCUCCUUAUUUUUCUGAUUUCUGAUUUUCUCCCCACUUCUUAAUAGAAGACACCUCUAUUUAUAGGAAAAUUUGAAUUUUAAAUUCCCGAAUUUUAGUUGUUUAAUUCAAGGGAUUUAGUUCCUUGAUUUUAGCAAAUUUUCUUGGUUUUAACAACAAGAUAAUAAUGAUAAUAAUAAUAAUAAUAAUAAUUUUUUUAUUAUUAUUGUUAUCUUUUUUAUAGUUGGAGAUUAGGGAAACUUGAGAAUUUUUUUUUAAAAUUUAUUCAUUUUGAAGACCAAAUUAGUGGUAAUUUAAUCUACUAAUUUUUUUUACUUCAAGACGUAUCACUUACAUGCAUUGUCAUGUGGAUGAGGUGAGUCUUGAAGUAAUUUUUUUUUUCAAAUAAAUAUUUUAAUAGGAAGUUUCUUCUUUUUUUUUUUUUUUCAAAAAAAAUAUUUCUUUCCCACUUUUUCCAAACUCCACUUCAUUUGCCUUCUUGAUUUACACUUUGAAUCCUUUUUCAAUUUGUUUUCCUUCUUUCUUUACCCUUUCAGUCAUUUUCCAAUUUAUUAUCCCUAUAUACUUUUUUUUUUAUAUAUAAAUGGGAUAAUAGUUGAGAAACGUGAUCACCUGCAUAUAUAUAAUUUAGUAUAUACAUAUAAUCUCCUUAAAAAUUGGUGGAGAUAUCACCUUAAUGCUUGAGGGGGAAUUUUUUAAUAAAAUUAAAUAUCCAUAAAAAAAUAUGAAUAUUUAAAAUUUGACCCUCGUGUAAUCUAAUCAUAGUCCUGACUUGAAGCGAUGUCAUAUUUUCGACACUUAUGUGUUAAAGUCUUCACUCAUGCAAAUUGACUUGAUUUGAAUGCAUAGUGGUGUUCAAGUUUUAAUAUUUAAUUAAAAUCAAAAUAAUAUUUGAUAUCUAUGCAAACAAGUUAUAGCCCUGAUGUUACGCAGUGUUGUAUUUUUGGCGCUUAUGUGCUAAAGUCUUCACCUAUGCAAAUUGGUUUGACUUGAAUAUAUAGUGAUAUUCAUUGAAUAUAAUGGAAAAGAAUUAUCUACAAAGUUUCCAAGAAACUCGAUAGAUGUAAAAAUUCACAAGUAAAAUGAUUGUGAAUAAAUUAACUAAAUAUGAAAGUGAUUGUAUACAAAUUUACCUAAUCUAGACACUCCUCGUUCCUGAGGGUCUUAUAUCUGCCGACACCAAUUCUCAACUCAACAUUCUAUGUUCCUAGUAGCUACUUUUUAGCCUCAUCAUAUCUGUCAACACCAAGAGAGUCCUCACAGAUAUCCUCAACUCAACCUUCUAUAUUCCCAGUAGGUACUUUUUAACCCCAGGCUAGAGAAUUGAGAGUCUGGGUUAAAAACAACUCUUUAACCAAACAAAUGUGGAUUUUGGCCCACUUUUGAAUCUUUUGUUCAAACGGGCCUCUUUCUAUCCCAUCAGCAUCUUUUAUUAUCAUUUUUUUUUUUAAAUUAUUUUAAAAAAAAUUGAAGAUGGAGGUGUGGGUCUGGGUGGGGGCAACGGUGGGCAUCGUCAGCAAGGAAAGCAUGACAUCGCUGGCUGGCAAUGAGUAGCAGCCAGAGUUGGAAUGAAGGAAAAAUUGACAUCGCUGGCUGGCAAUGAGUAGCAGCCAGAGUUGGAAUGAAGGAAAAAUGGGCAUGAUGGGUAGGAUGGAGAGAGAUAGAGAAGAGAAAUAGGGAGAGAAGGUAACAAGUGAAGGGAGAAAGGGUUGAAGUCGACUGAAGAAGGGGGAACGGAGUGGCCGACUGUAACGACCCGCACCCAACCAUGUAGAUAUUGUCCGCUUUGGGUCCAAGGGGGCCCUCACGGCUUUAAAACGCGUCUACUUGGUUAAGAGGAGCCUCUACAUAUAUAGCGCCAGGAACAUUCUCCCCUAUCCGAUGUGGGACAUCACAAACACCCCCCCCCCCCCCCCCCCCUGGAGAAACCAAGGCCCCGUUUGGUCCCCUGGGAUUGUGGGGGCAAAAACAAAAAUACCCCUUUCGGGGCCCAAAAAACCCCCCCAUCGGNNNNNNNNNNNNNNNNNNNNNNNNNNNNNNNNNNNNNNNNNNNNNNNNNNNNNNNNNNNNNNNNNNNNNNNNNNNNNNNNNNNNNNNNNNNNNNNNNNNNUUUUAACCCCCCCCCCCCCACCAUUUAAAUUUUUUCCCGUUUGGGCCCAAGGGGGCCCCCCCGGUUUUAAAAAGGGUUUAUUUGGUUAAGGGGGGCCUUUAAAAAAAUAGCCCCCGGAAACUUUCCCCCUUUUGCAGGGGGGGAAUUAAAAACCCCCCCCCCCCCCCCCCCCCCAUGCAGACACAACGUCCUCGUUGUGUCCCAUGGGAUUGUGGGGUCAAACAGACAAAUACCCCUUACGGAGCCAAACAAACCCCCACAUCGGAUACCAUUUGUAACGACCCGCACCCAACCAUGUAGAUAUUGUCCGCUUUGGGUCCAAGGGGGCCCUCACGGCUUUAAAACGCGUCUACUUGGUUAAGAGGAGCCUCUACAUAUAUAGCGCCAGGAACAUUCUCCCCUAUCCGAUGUGGGACAUCACACCGACAGCUACGUCGCCAGCGAUGGAUGGGUCCAUGGUGAUGGGUGUGAGGGUGGAAGAGAAGGAAGAAAUACAUUUUUGCAGAAGUCUUUUCAAAAUUACUCUUGAUACAGUCAUGUUGGUAAAAGCAUAAAUGCAACCCAAACUCAGCGCUCACUGAGUGAUUGGCGGGCAACAGAGACCUCAGUUCUCUUCCGUUUUAAACCGGAUAUUCAGGAAAAAAGAAAAAUGAAUGGCGUAAAGUUGAAACGGAAAUCCACUUACCUUCAUCAUUCCUCUUCAAUACACAAAAGCUCCUUGAAUUCGCCACCAUUUUUUUCAUUAUCUAAAAGAAGAGGUGGAGUAGCCUUAGGUGGUGAGGCCAAUAUGACUUGAUUGUAUGAAUCCUUCCCACCUAGUAAUCCCAUUUAAAUUCCCAAGUCAUUGUUCUCUGCUAGUUAUGACUUAUGAGCUCAUAUUUUCUUGAAAGCAGGUGAGUUUCUAUGACCAACAAGGCCAGACACAAGAGGGAAUCUCUAUGUGAGAAAUCCAUGGAUUUCCUAGGCGUAUUUAUAUAUAUGUUUUUUUUUUUCUGUCAUUCUGUGACCUUUUUUUUUUAAUAUUUUUAUGAAUUUUAAUCAAUUUUUUUUGUCCAAAUUUUCAUUGAUAUUUUCAUAUAUAUCCAAUAUUUUAAUCAUUUAAGUUUUUUAUAAAUACUUUUAAUUUUAUUCCUAAAAUUGAAUACUUUCCAUUAAAGUUAAACAUUUCAUUUUAACCACCCCUUAUACCUUUAUCAUAAAAACAUAAUCUUAAAUAUUAUGUUAACAAUUAUUAUUCAACCUUUUCUCUUAUAAUGUUGUAACAAAAGAAUAUAUAUAUAUAUAACUCACCUCCUCUAAGGUUUUAGUUAAAUAUAACAAUCUUCCACUAAUUUAAAAAUUCGUCAAAUACCUCCCUUAUUUUAAAUUAGAAUGAAGAUAAAUAAAAACAAUAAAUUAAAAAAAGAUUGGAGACAUUUGAUGUAAUUUCAAACCAAUAUAAUCUAGACGUAUGUAUAUACAUACAUAUCCCAUGCAAAUUGAAAUGCUUCAUUGCCCUCGUGUUUUACUUAGAUCAACUCCGUGGUCCCAAAUGGGGCUACUAAACAAAAUUAUCAUCACAAAAUGUCUUUAAUAACCAAGUAAACAUACACUUAAGCAAAGCUUAUGAUAGGGUCUAAUGGGAAAAUCGGGUUUAGACCCUGUAUUAGAAUCAACUGCACUGAUCAUGCGGGUCGUAUUACAGCACCAAACAUCACAAGCUAUAAAUCUCAGAUGCAGCCGCCAGCUAUUAACAAAGCUUCAGUCCGCCUGUUACAUCAUCGACCAUGUCAGCAGGUCCUGCACAUUUUUAGGUUCUAGAAUGAAUCAAAGGAACUCAAAGGAGGCUGAUGAAUAAAUUUAUGACAGAUUUUCUCAAAAGUGAAGGUUCCACUGGACUCAGGAGGUCCUAAUGA